rnacentral:lncRNA from 1 species
AAGAGAAAAAGAGAAAAGAAAAGAGGAAAGAAAAGAAAGUGUCAGAAGAAGAACAACUUCUUCAAUUUUCUUUUCUCUGUGCCGUGAACCCAAGAGAAGAGCCAUCUUCUUUAUUUUCUUCCUACACCAAAAAUUUCUCCAAAUUUCCAUCUUCAAUCAACUACCCAUCUUACCCCAACACCUUUUCAAAGAAGAAUUUGAAGAAAAGAAGAGAAAUUAAGAGAAAAUUUCAAGGGUGAGAGGGGAGUGAAUAGUAACCAAGGGUUUGAAAUUUAAAGGUAUGUUAGGGAUUUUUAUUGUAGGGAUAUUUAUUAGCAUUUUAUGUGAAUAUUUAUGAGAAAUAUUGUAUUAAUUUGAUUUAUUGGUUUAUUUUCAUGAAGAAGAAGUGGAAGGGAAAGGAAAAAAAAAAGGAAAAUUAGGGAAUCUUAAGCUUGUGGAAGAUCUUGGGAAGGUUUGUGCUCAACUCUAUUUCAAGAAAUUCAAGAUAUGAUGUAACUCUGAUGCAGAUCUAUUUUUUUUAUGAAUUUUAAUAUUAUAGGAUGUCUGAAGAACACAGAGAACUUCAAGUCGGAGAAGAAGUAGAAAGUCAUGUACCGACUGAGGCCACUGGCCAUGCACCGCCACAGGCUCCUCCUGGUGCUAGAAGGCCAGAGCAAGAGGUCUUAUUACAACAAUUAACAGAGAUUUUCAGGCAGGUGGCCGGAGUAGCUCAGCCAGCUAUAGUUCCACCACCGGUUCCUGCACCAGCACCAGCCAGGCCGCCUAUUGAUAAACUGAGAAAGUAUGGUGCUACAGAAUUCAAAGGUCGAAAGGAAGAUGAUGCAUCCGCAGCAGAAUAUUGGUUGCAAAGUACAGACAGGGUGCUUCAGCAGCUACAGUGUUCCCCAGAAGAUAGUCUGGUAUGUGCAGUGUCACUACUGAAAGAAGAAGCCUACCAAUGGUGGGAUACUGUGGCACAGACAGUGCAACCAAUACAGAGGACCUGGGAGUUUUUCUUAAAUGAAUUCAGAAAGAGGUAUGUAGGAGACAUUUAUCUGGAAGAGAGAAAAAGAGAGUUUAUCUAUUUGAGGCAAGGGCGUAUGACAGUAGCUGAGUAUGAAAGAGAGUUUAUUAGACUGAGCAGAUAUGCCAGGGAAAUUAUUCCUACAGAGGAGGCAAAGUGUAAAAGAUUUGAGCAAGGGUUAAACACUGAGAUCAGGAUUCUUCUAGUUGCUCUUCAAAUCAAAGAUUUUUCAGCACUGGUGAAUGCAGCUUUAAAUGUAGAGAAAGUGAGGGAAGAAGAUCAGAAUAGAAGGCAAAGGAGUCAGCAAAAAAGGACUCACAGUCAGAAUCAGAGUCAAGGACAGAUGAUAGCUUCACAGGGCUCUAGUAAGAGACAGAAGAGUUUUCAACCUGCUAGAUCAAGCCAGUCUCAAGGGCAGGGCCAAAAAUCAGCUCAGAGUUUAGCAAGUGGGUCUGUUCAACAGACUGCUUCUGUGGCCAGUUCAGGAGGUUCAGGAAGAAGCCUUCCACCAGAGUGCGACCAUUGCAAAAGGAGGCAUACUGGUACUUGCAGACUGCUGACGGGAGCUUGUUUCAUAUGUGGUUCUAUGGAUCACAUUAUGAAGGAUUGUCCUAAGAAGCAGACAGCCUCAGCACCAGCAACAGAAAGAACUGCACCAGUAAUUCAAAGGACUAGAAGCAAAGGUAGAAGCGAGCCGACAGGUACCUCUAGUCAAAGAGUGUCAGAGACUGUAGAUAGACCAGAAUCUAGAGCACCUGCCAGAGCCUAUGCCAUCAAAGCCAGAGAGGAUCAGGAUUCCCCAGAUGUUAUCAUGGGUACAUUUUCUAUCUUUGGCCAGUCUGUUCAUGCUUUAAUAGAUCCUGGUUCCACACACUCUUAUAUUUGCAUACCUGUCUCAAAUAAAAAAGAACUACAAGCAGACAUACUGGACCAGGAUAUAGUAGUAACUAAUCCUCUUGGCCACAGUGUAGUUGUCAGUAAAGUAUUUAAAGAUUGUCCCAUCUUGAUUCACGGUCACAUUUUUCAUGGAGAUUUGAUUGAAUUACCUUUUCGGGAGUUUGAUGUGAUCCUAGGAAUGGAUUGGUUGUUUAGACACCAAGUUAUAGUUGACUGUAGAAAGAAGAGAAUCACGUUAAAGACACCAGCAGGUGAAGAAGUAGUAGUUGUGGGUGAGAGAUCAGAUUUUCUUUCCAAUGUUAUUUCUGCUACUGCAGCCAGAAGAAUGAUAAGAAAGGGUUGUGAGGCAUACUUAGCCUGUGUUUUGGAGGCUAAGAAGGAGAAACCUACUGUGCAAGAUAUACCUUCUGUUUGCGACUUCUCUGAUGUCUUUCCAGACGAAUUACCAGGAUUACCUCCAGAAAGAGAAGUAGAAUUUGCCAUAGAAGUUGUACCAGGCACUACACCUAUAUCAAUUGCUCCUUAUAGGAUGGCUCCCACAGAAUUAAACGAAUUAAAAGUGCAGCUACAAGAAUUACUUGAUAAGGGUUUCAUUCGCCCUAGUAUCUCUCCCUGGGGUGCACCAGUGCUAUUUGUUAAGAAGAAGGAUGGUUCGCUGAGAUUGUGCGUGGACUACAGACAACUCAACAAGGUGACCAUCAAAAAUAAAUAUCCACUGCCUCGUAUAGAUGAUUUGUUUGAUCAGCUAAAGGGAGCGGGUGUCUUUUCUAAAAUUGACCUGAGAUCAGGUUAUUAUCAACUCAGAGUAAAGGAUGCAGAUAUUCCAAAGACUGCAUUCAGGACUCGAUAUGGGCAUUAUGAAUUCCUUGUCAUGCCAUUCGGAUUGACUAAUGCUCCAGCUGCAUUUAUGGACCUGAUGAAUCGUAUCUUUCAUCCUUUCUUGGACCAGUUUGUUGUUGUGUUCAUAGAUGACAUUCUUGUCUAUUCAAAGACAAAAGAAGAGCAUGAUAGGCAUUUGAGGAUUGUAUUACAAACGUUGAGGGAGAAACAGCUUUAUGCUAAGUUCAGCAAAUGUGAAUUUUGGCUGAAUGAAAUAUCUUUUCUGGGACAUGUAGUAUCUGCAGAAGGCAUAAGAGUCGAUCCCAAAAAGAUAGAAACUAUCCUUGCAUGGAAGCCACCCAAGAACAUUACAGAAGUCAGAAGUUUUUUAGGGUUAGCUGGUUAUUACAGAAGGUUUGUAAAAGGAUUCUCUCAAAUAGCUGCUCCAUUGACAAGGUUGUUGCAGAAAAAUGUCAAGUUCGAAUGGAAUGACAAGUGUCAGGCCAGUUUUGAUCGAUUAAAGGCUAUGCUCACGGAGGCACAUGUUCUUACCCAACCAAUGUCAGGUAAAGACUUUGUGAUUUAUAGUGAUGCCUCUCACAAUGGACUUGGUUGCGUGUUGAUGCAAGAUGGGAAAGUUGUUGCUUAUGCUUCCAGGCAAUUAAAGCCACAUGAAAGAAACUAUCCCACUCAUGAUUUAGAGUUAGCAGCCAUAGCUUUUGCAUUAAAGAUCUGGAGGCAUUACUUCUAUGGCGAAAAGUGUUAUAUUUAUACGGAUCAUAAAAGCCUAAAGUACUUGCCAACUCAAAAAGAGUUAAAUUUGAGACAACGGAGAUGGAUGGAGCUGUUAAAAGACUACGAUUGUAUUAUUGACUACCACCCUGGCAAAGCAAAUGUGGUGGCAGAUGCUCUUAGCAGAAAACAUUUGUUUGCACUCAAAGCUAUGAAUGCUCACUUGACAUUGGCUAGAGAUGGAGCUGUUAUUGCAGAACUGAAAGUUAGGCCCAAUUUGCUUCAACAAGUCCAGGAAGCUCAGAAGGAAGAUAAAGAUAUUGCAGUAAAGGUAAGUCAAAUACAGGAAGGGAAGGAUAAUGGGUUUGAGAUUAAAGCCGAUGGUUGCUUAUAUUACCAAAACAGAAUACAUGAUUUACUUGAUAUAAAUUAAAGGAAAAAUAAGAGAAUUGUUACAAGAUGUAAUGUCUCCGACUCAGUUAAUUAAUUAACCGGGUAGGGGGUGUUACAGAAGGCGCCCUGUUUAACGUGAAGGCUAAACAUUGAAUAUCGGCAGGCCAGAAAGACUUGACCCCAGGAGUAGAGGAAGAAAGGGCAUCUGCAGGCAGCACAGAGGUUGGGGCAAGAGUGGCAAUACCUAGAACCAAAGACUCAAGAUGAAGGGGGUGCCAGCUCCUCGGUCGUAGGCUGGGAAGGGAGAGGGGAAAGUAUAAUCAUCUCUUUCGAAGGGCGAGCACGAUUAGUAAGGGAAUUGGUGGCAACAACCUUGCCCUUUCGAGCAACGCGUAUUGCCUCAACAAUUCUACUUAACCCGACCAUAUCUACAAAAAAGAGAAAAAUCAAAUAAGAUAGUCAGUUCAGAAAAUAAAAAGAAUGAAGAAAGAAGUGCCCCAAUCCUGAGGUAAGGGUGUGUUGGGCGUGUGAGGAGCGCAAGACUGGCUUGCCGGUAAAUGACUCUACCAUGAAAAGUUGACAUUCCUCAUUGCCUGGGUAAUAUCAAUCUUCCUUAAAGAUUUAGUCAUUGCCAUAAGGGAAGCUAAAACCUUGUCCUCCUUUCUCUUGGAGUGGACCCCAUUUUUCUUUAGCUCUACCUAAUAGUGUCAGCUAGUUUGAAGGCACCCAAAGCCUCUCGGAGAACUAUGACAGAGGAUAAAAAACUUAUUUUUUUACCGUUUUAAAGAAGAAGGCAUCUGGUAAAAAAUGCUCAAAUAUUUUCAAUUGCUAAAGUACUAGAACUCCUCAUUCUUAUGAGUACCCAGUUGAUAAAACUAGGAGAAAAGUGUUACACUAGGUUCAAUGUGAUUAUUAAAAUACACGAACCGAAAAGCUAUUAAGAUUCUCCAGCUGUUAGGAUGGAGUUGAGCAACAGAAAGCUUGUGAAAUCAAAGGACUUGCACAAAGAAGGGGUCUAAAGGGAAACAGAGACUCGCCUUCAACUGCUCCCCAAAGACUAUAAUAGUGUCACCAGCAGGAAUCAAAUCAUUAGCACGAACGCAGAGAGAAGGAGUGAAAAUUCGAAAAGAAUCUUGAGAAAUGUGAUAGGCAUCAUACAAAUGAUCCACAUUGCUAUCCGAGAAGAUGGAUGAGAUAUCACUAAGGGAGCCACCUUCAUUCUCGGAGGUCUUCCUCAAUAGAACAAUGGGGUUGACCCUCAGAUGGGGCCCUCCGAAGAGAAACUAGAAACAGAGGGCUCGUUAAGAGUAAAGGAAGUAUUCCUAUCCAUGAUUAAAAGGAUGAUAAAGUUACCGUGAAUGAAGCAAAGGCCUUAACAAAAAUGAGAAGGGAGUCAAAGGAAAACUACAGGAAUUAAAUACGAUACGAUAAACAUCACAACAACCGUCAAAAGGAUCAGUACGCGAGGCAACGUGAGUAGUAAAGAGCCAAUCUCAAGGAGCCACGUGUUUCAGGCUUCGGUAAAAGAUGUCCCUUCGAAUCUAAAGAAAUGAAAACUAGCGGGGGGACCUAUGAUGUUACAUAACAUUCGCCUAAAGUAAGUUAUGAGCUGUCACCACAAGACAGAGGCCACGUGGCAAGAAACUAACAAGUGGAAAACACGGCCUCGCCCAAGGAAAGGGAGACGCGGAUACUUUAACAUCCAAUUUGACAACAAGAUUCGCCCUUCCCCAACGGGCCGAGUCUUGGCAUAGAGUUAUCAUUGUUAGACACACUCUUAUUUUGCCCUAGAUCAUGGGAUUACUAACUCAUUAGUUGGCGAUGCCCCUUAUCGAGAAGCCGACCACAUCAUCGCCGGAUUUAUAGGAAAUGCUAUGUUUAUCUCUAUCCUCUUACAAUAUAAAAUGAGAACUAUCACAAAGACAAGAGUAUGCUAUCUCUAAUAUUACUCAAACUCUAAGUAAUCCAUUACAUUCUCUCUGUUCUUCAAAACGCUGAAUUGAGUGUCGGAGUGACUGCUGUGGGCACCGAUAUUCCUCUCUUGUAAGUUCUAGCCAAUUGCAGCUCAAUUCCAUUCCGGCCACAUUAUCAAUCUACACUCAGUAACAUCAAUAAUUAUGUAAAAUUAAUUAUGCACUUGACAAUUUCUCAUAUAUUUAUUAUUAUUCACAUAAAAGAUGAAAAAUAUAUAGUAUUAAAUAAUUAAUAAUGUUGAUUAUAAUUUUUUUUAUAAUUUAUUUAUUAUUAAAAAUAAAAUAUAUAUGUUAAAAUUUUAUUUUAUUAUAGUUAAUAUAUUGUAUUAAAAAAAUUGUAGAAAAUUAAAAAGUCACACGCCAAUAAUAAUGAUAAAAAAUUAAAAGUUCACAAUGAUAGAAAAUUAAAAAAUCAUAUAUUAAUAGAAUAAUAAAAAAUUAGAAACUCAUAUAUUAUAAUAAUAAAAAUAAUAAAUUUUAUUUACUAUAAAUAUAUUAAUUAGUAACAUUAUUAAAUAUAAAAAUAUAAUUUAAAAAUAAAAAUAAAAAUAAAAGUAAAACAAAGUGUACCACUCGUCAUAAAUAUGUAAAUUUAAGAGUAUCACCUAACAUAAUUACAUCAACCUAACUAUGCCGCUUGUCAAUAUGUUAUUAAUCCAUUUUAGAACCCAACUUUAUAUAUAUAUAUAUGAUUUAUAGGAGAACCCAACUAUAUAUAUAUAUGAUUUAUAGGAGACAGGAAAUGGGCUGAGUUCGGAUUUCAAAUGGCCCAUAAGGAAUUCAGCCUUUCUAUCAAGCCGGCUUGUAUUUUGUUUGGCAUUCUACCUCUAAACAAUAAUUAAAAAGAAAAAAAAAAAAAUUCUUUCAUCUUAAAAUUUUUCUGUUUUUUCUUUUAAUUAUUUUAAAAUUAUUAUACAGAUUCUUUUUAAUAUUUUAUCUGCUGAAAGCCGAAUGAAUAUUAAUAGCCGGAAAACUUUUAGCAUCGUAUAAAGCGGCAACGCAAAUAGAUUCAACUGUGUUCAAAUGAGGUUGCCAUCUCUUAGCUUAGAGCGAAAGAAUGAUUUUCAUUAGCAGUAGAUAAAAUCAUACGCAUUAACUUCCAUAAAAUUCAAAACAAUUGUUUCAAAAGCAGAAUCAUACAUUUACACAGACGUCGAAACAGCUUAACUUGUUUCAAUUGAGCUCAAAUACCAAAAAAAACUAAACAUUGAAUUUCUUUUUCUACAAAAAAACCCUUCGUCCCUGCUUUAUUUAUAAUAAUAUAUGAAUUAAUUAUCAUAAUCACAUUUUAUUUUAUUUUUAAAUUUUUUUAAAAUAUUUAUUAAUAUUUAAUAAACUUAAAAAUAAUAAUAUAAAUAUAAUAAAAAAAUUAAUAGAAAAAUUAUCUUAUUUAAUAUGUAAUAAAAUGGAAUAUAUUCUCGGUUUUAAAUUUGAUUCGAAAUAAUUAAGAUUAAUAGAGCAUACGAGAUUUGAACAUUGAAUACCGAUUCUUUAAUUCGAUUGGAAAUAAAUUAUUCAUGAUUUACAAACAAUUCCUUUUUCAUUUGACCCUAAAAUUAUAAUCUUCAUCAAGACCACCAAAAUUUACAAUUAAGAUCAUAAAGACAUUGGUAAUUCAAUGAAUUAAAAAAAAAAUCCUAUGAAUUAGUGACACGAAGUAGCUUAUCAGCGAACCUCUUGGGCUCUUGCAUUAAAGAGAAGCUGGGACGAUUUUGGAUUGUGGACCCAACUGGAUUGGGCGUGAGGAAUUUUUGGGUUCAAACCGAGCUAUUAUCAGCCAUACCAAGAAUUCGCCAAAACUUCUCAUUCCAGGUUUUCAAAGAUGUCAAUGCAUUUUUUCAAAUAUGACUUUGCCUCUUCAUUUUUCUCCACCUCACAUAGAUGAAGAAGCUCUUCCUUAAACCCGACAUCUGUCCAAUGCACUGAUGCCAGUUGUCUGCACAGCUUGGUGAUACCCAGAAGGCACUCUGAAGCAGUGAUGUGAACCUAAAGUAGAGCAAAAGUUACUCGGUGAAAUUACUGAAACACACAUCUGAAACAAAGUUUUCAUCCUUGAAGUCUUGGACAUUUAGAUCAAUUAGCAACGUAUAGCCAAUUGUGGUCAAUAAUUAACUUUGACAAAGGGAAAGGAUAAAAAAAUCCUGCAGUUUGUCUUUCUAUCUACAAGACAUGCUAAUUAUUAAACAAAAGAUCCUAAGCCCUGUUGAAAUAUGCAUUUCCUUUUUUGUUAAAUUGAAAUGCCCGAUUAAUCAAAUUUUUGUUUGUGUAGAAUGCAUCCAACUGCAACAGCAUAUAGCAUGAAAGAGUUGUGGCAAGAAUUAUAGAGACACCAUUUUUCAAAGAUCAAUGUUGACAUAUCUGUGUUUAUUUGGAAAGCCAUGUAAAUAAUGUGAACUGCCAAAAAAGCUUUAGCAAUCAGAUCCGUGGUUUUCCAGAAUGAAUAACUGCCAACUGACGGAGUGUACAAGGAAAAUGGAUGACAUACCUGGGCAAUCUUCACAGUGAUUAUGCACUCAACUAUUUUAGGUGUUAAUGCCUGAAACAACUGAAGAUAGAAAGAACUUGUCAAAGUCCAAAAAAGAUAACCAGCAGUUUGGCUAAAAUAUUAUACUGAAAAUAAAAUUUGAUUACCUCCUGAACUAAAGAAGUUAUGCUAUCACGUAGAGAUAUUUCCUCGGAAUCAUUGGGGAUGCUGAGCCUCGAGCAGAUUUCUUUAAUUAAUGAAAAUGCUGACAUUUUGACUGGCCAUAGAAACUUUGUAAGUAAAGCUUUUGCAACAAACAAGAGAGAAGAAAGUAUUGGCAAAAUUAGAUACCUGUCCACUGAAAGCCAGGUGAGAGAGACGCUAAUAACAUAUCCAUCAAGUUUUUUUUCUUUUCAAGGAUAUCAUUAACACGUGCCACAUGGAUGCAAGACAAAACACAGCCCAAAAUCUUUUCCAGGGGAACAGAAGAGUCUUCAACAUUAUCUGACUCUGCAAACAAGGAAAAUAAAAUAAAAUAAAAUGCUGAUACUACUACAUGUUUGUAGAGCUUUCACAUUCAAAUUUAAGUAAUACGGUUCUAAUAAUUAAAAAACUGGAGGAAAAAAGUGAACAUAAAAAGGUCGCCUGCAAUCUAAUAAAGAACAUAGCUUUGGAAAGAGUUCACUGGUGCGAAUGGGUUCAUGUACCCAAUCACAUCAAAGGAUACCCAGGGGAUUAAAUUAAAUAUGACUAGAUGCAAGAAAACAACAAAGACGAAGGGCUAAAAGUGGCAUGCAGAGAAAAAAUUUCUUCAUUUUUCUCACCAAAAAUUGAAGGGAAAUGAGAGGAAAAUAUGGGAUAAAAGAAACAGAAAAGAAUAUGUUCAACGGCAAAUGACCGUUCAAUUUAGCUUAUACUGAUAAAAUUAAAUUGGGGAUGAAUAAUAAACUAAUUUUAAACAAAAAAAGCACCCACUUUUUAUCACAUGACGAACUGAAAAAAUACAAUCAAUGAUAGGUUUCAUAACAUACUAAUAUAAACAGGCAACAAAAGGAAACAGAAAGAAAGAAAAAAAAAGUCCUUACUCUUAAAUGCAUACUCUUGUUCAAUGAUAUAAAAGAGAAUGUUACAUUGCACAAAUAAAAAGAAACUUCCUGAAAAUCAGGCGUUUUGAAGGAGCAUUGCAAUGGUUAAAUUUUAGAAUUAAAAUAGAAUGAGGAGGAAAAGAAGAGAGGGGAAAAAACCCAAAAGAUUACAUUUUCAUUAAUACUUGUUCUUUCCAAUAAUACAUAAAAUAUAUUUACAACAAAAAGCUUCAAGAAAUAGAUCCACAGAUUAAGGCGUAAAGUAAAGGGAAGAAUAUCACUUAAUUAAUUUUUAAAUGGGAGUAAUUGAAUAGAGUUUCUUUCAUUGGACUGCAUUUAGCCCCUCCACAGAUUCUUAGAAAAAAUUAAAAAGUUGAUUUUUUUAAUUGGGCCAACCGAAUAAAAAUAGAAAAACUUACUAUUGUAAUCCAUGUAGUAUAGAAAAACACAAUAGUAAUCUCUCGAUUGUGAAAAAUACAUUAAAACAUUUUUUAAUUUUUAAAAAGUGCAAUGGGAAAAAGUCUAAAAUGUCCUCAAUAAGGAACAUUAAUUAGUAGAUUUUUUAAAACCUCAUAAAUAUUUUAAUGUAUUUUUUAAACUUGAGGGACCAACUACUAAUGAACACUUGAUGCUAAAAUUAAUGAAAAAAACUAACUAAUAGGUUUCUUAAAACCCUAAAAACGUUUUAAUGUAUUUUUUAAAAUUGAGAGACCAACUAAUGAGUUUCCUCAUAUCAUAUCAUAAAGACUAAAAGAGUAACUUUUUUAUAAAAAUUUUAAUGAGUUCAAAUUUAAUAAAUUAGUAUUUUGUUUUUAUUAAAUUUAAUUCUACUUAAAUUAAAAUUGUUUAGCAUAUUUAUACUGAACUUCUUAUUAAGUGUAUACUUUGGAGUUUGGUCUCUCUAAAUUAAAUGUUGUGUUAGUGGAUACCACUCAUGAAAUGAAAAGUGAUGAAUAUAACUAAGAUACCAAUCAAAUAAUAAACAUUGAUAUAUCAAAUAAAGACAUUUAAUCUAUCAUUGUUAGACAUCUUUAUUAGUAAUUAACUUAUAGCUAAAAUAACAAUAUUGAUAAUAUAGAUAGUAAAGAAUAAUUCUUCAUAUUCUAAAUUUAAAAGUUCGCAUUCAACAUUAUUUUCUUCAACAAAUAAGUAAAAGAAAAAAAGAAGUCAAAACAAAGAUAAAUAACUCAAAUUUUAUAAGGCACAAAUGUUUAGGAUAAGAAAGAUAGUUGAUGAUACAUUUGAAGAUGGUUAACUUUUUAUAGAAAUUUAAGAAAAGUGAAAUACAAUAACAUAAAACUUCCCGUUCCAGGAAAAACAGAAUAAGUUGUUACCGUUACUUAACAGUAAAUAAUGGCCAUUACUAUUAUAUAACAGCCGUUAUUGGAAUAAAAUUUUCCCCGCCAUCAAGUAACAGGUGUAACGGCCAUAGGAUGGAAAAAAAAAAUUAUAAAUAACAACCUUUACAUUUUUUUUUAAACCAUAGUUUAUAUGCUGUCUGGCAAAACGUCACCCCACAACUUGGGCAGGGUGGAUGAGGUAGUCAACUAAGAAUUGUGGAAAGCAUAGGUAAGCUUAUCCAAGGAGUCUUUGAUAAGAGAGACAUUCUUCAAGUAGAUUCAUAUGAGAACACGGAUGAGGGGACAAAAGGUUCCCAUAGUGUGCAAGGAAAUCAUAGUUUUUGUAGCAAGAUUGAGAAAAGUGGGACAAUUUUAGAGUUUUCAAAUACUUUAUUUUAAAAGAGAAUCACAUUCGGUUGACUUUUAAAUUGGACAAACUAGCAGUCUAAUAGGCUUCCUCAACGAGUGGGCUGAUUGUGAAAUAGGGAAUGACGUGGCGUACCAAGGGAAGUGCCAACCACUCGACCUAAAUUGGUGAUUUUAGAAGUGGGCAUUAAUUGAUGGACAAGGAAAAAACAACUUGGUCAUCUAAGAGCUAGCUCAUGGAACAUUACAGGAGAAAAGCGAGUGAUGCACACAGAUAAAUUGAAUGAGAUAAAGCAUAAAAAAAAAGAAAGUAUUGUGUGGUAGCCAAACAUGCUAAAAAGGCACUGAAGCAUUAGGUGAAACAAAGGACAGCAGACCACUCUAAAACAAGGAUGUGCUUCAAGCAAUUGUGCAAUGGGAAUUGCAUAGAAACUUGCUGUUAUGGGGAUGAGUACGAGAAUAUUCAGCCUGAGGGAAGAAGCUAGAAAUGCAAUUCAAGAAGCCAUACCCACAUCCCUAAAUGAAUAAUGAAAUCUUCAGUCAUGCAUAGAGGUGAAACCUAAUUGGCUGGAAUAUUAGAUAUAGCCCACCGAGAUCUUUUAAUGAUGAGGAGCACAAGUGUUUGGUUAAAGACGAAGUUAUGAAGAAGUUUAACCCUUUUCAUGAAACAAAUGUUGAACCCUGCGUGGAACAAUUUUUUUGUAGUUUAAAUCACUGUUUUAAGUUGCAUUACGAAAUAGUCCAAUUUUAGAAUAUGCAAAUAAUAUAGCACCGCCAUUGUACACUUCUACACAGCCAAACUUGUGGUAUUUCACAAUUCACCUACUCAGAUAUAAAAUUUCAGUGGAUAACUGAGGUAUAUUACCACCUGUUUUAGCUGCAUCACUCGCCAUUGGUGUUGGGCCAGAUAUAUUGGCAACAGUUGAGCUGCACAUCCCAAAUAAUUGGGGGAAAAUGGAAUUAAAGAAAUCUGGAUCAGCAAAUGCUUUAAUAACCUGUGAAGAAGAACAAAACGUGAAUUUCUUUCCAAUACCAGUUAAACAUUAGUGGCAGAUAAAUAAAGUAAAAAAUUCAUUAUUCACAAUAUGAUCAUUCCAGUUCCACAAUGCCCUGGAUACUGUGAACUACUUAACAACAGCGUGUGUAGACUUCAAGUAGUAGCUUAACCAUUUGUCUGGAUCCAGCUUUGUGGGAACUCUCUCAUGGAGAAUUCAAGUCUCCAAGAGAGGACAAACUUUUUUUUUUUUUUUUUAAAUUUGAAAACUAAGUGAAGAAAUAACUAAAAGAGAAGAUAAUUUAGCGGUGACUUUUCUGGCCUACUUUUCAGUUCUUCCAUAAAUGGAGAAUUUUGAAGAGAUAAAACUGACUGAUAUCAUUUUUUUAAUUGAAAAAAAUAAAUAUAAGUUCAUCGUACAUAUAGUCAGUGAUAAACUCUCUUAUAAUGAAAAAAUCCUACUUCUCCUAUCAUCACUUUUUAAGAUUCAGAUAUGCAUAAGUAGAGUAAAUUUCACUUGUCAUCAUCUCUCACUCGUUCCGUAGCACCUUUGACAAGACACUUAAUAGAGUUGAAAUAGUUGUUUUACCAUUUGUCUGGAUCCAGCCUAGUGAAAUGAAGUGAAACAGAAAGGUUGCAAGAGUGUUUAAAUUUGAAACUUAAAUGAAGACCCAAGUAAAGACUCAAGAAGAGAACUCAGCAGCAAUAACUUUUUUCUGGGUGGAGAUGUUUGAAGAGAAAAAAAAAGGACUAAUCAACUUGUUUGAAAUGUUAGUCCCCUGAACAGUAAGCCACAAACACACUGUGUUCAUCAAUUAAUUCAUUGUCAGGAUCAUGGUAUCCAAUCAUUUGAAAAGAAACAAUCACCUAAAUUCUACAUUUAAUAUUUGCAUUUUGUGGGUGUGUGUGCAUGAGAGACGCACAGAAAUAGAGAAGGCUUAUAGGGAUUGCCUUCAAGAUUGAAGACUUUGAAAUAGGUUUUAUAUUUGCUUGUAGCCACUUUAGGGAAGCUCUUAAUUUCAUAUUCUUUAGUGUCCCUAGCAAGCACGCAUUUUGAUCCAAUUAAAUAAGAACCAAUCUCACUUAUCUAGGGCGGAAAAAAACAUAUAUGUCUCAUUUUAUUGAAAGUGAAGUAAACAUUUGGAUGAAUGCUCUGCACAACCAUCAUCAAAUGACUACCUGGUCAAGAGACGAGAAACCUGCUUCUCGAUAUUUCUUCACCUUUUUUGUGCAUGCAGAAGAUACCAUUUCCAAAAUUGCCUUAGGGGUGGCAGGAUUUUCAGAGGCAAUAGCUUUAUGGCAAGAAGUAGAGAGUGCACCUAUUGCAUCUAAAAGAGCAUCCUUUCCCUGUUAUAUUGAAAUUAAUUAGCAAACCAAAAAAGAACCUAAAGCGCAUAACACUCAAAAUAUUAUUCUUUAAAAUUACAUAAUUAGAAGCACAUGUAAGUAUAACUUAAUGAAUAUCAUGAGGCAUACUUCAGAAUAAGAACUAGAGAAAAUCUUAUGAAAAUAUGAGGGUAACAACUUUCUUAAGUUUAUCACUAGAAAAAAUCCAGAACUCUACCAAUUUGCAGUGAUAGCAAGCAUUCUUCAAACAAACAAUUUGAAUCGACACUAAGUUGUUGAAUACAAUUGUGGCCAGGCCAAAUGAUCCAAAUAAUGAUUUCUAAAAUUAACUCAAAAAGGGAAAAAUUAAUAAGCCUGAAUGAUUUGAUGGAGUGCUGUCAAUAGACCCAUCUUAGUGUCCAUUCAAACAAACAAUUUGAAUUGACACUAAGUUGUUGAAUGCAAUUGUGGCCAGGCCAAAUGAUCCAAAUAAUGAUUUCCAAAAUUAACUCAAAAAGGGAAAAAAUUAAUCAGCCUGAAUGAUUUGAUGGAGUGCUAUCAAUAGACCCAUCUUUCUGCAGACAAUCUAUAUUCUCCAUAUGGGCGCACUUGAAUCUGAAAUGGGUUUUCCGGACCUAGUCAAAAUUGAAUCUCAAAACUGAAAAGCUACAAUUAUAAUUUGACAAAAAUAUUAUAACUCGCUUUGUGGAUUACAACUUCUAAGCUCGAAAAUUUUACAUUUCAAGCAUUGAAAAAUAAAGGCAUUAAAAUUCUUACCUCCCACAGUCGACCAGGAAUUUCCUUCAUAAGAGCUUCAAGCAGAACAUGGUAAUAAGAGGACAAUGAUUCCCCCAAAACUUCACUAAGCUUACAAAUUGCCUGAGCUGACUGUAUGUGCAAGCCAGCAACAAAUACAAAUUACAGUUAUAAGUAGCAGAAGGGACCAAAAAUUGAGUCCAUUGAGAAAUAAGAAUGCAAGGCAGAUACACACACACACCUUUCUUUUCCUUGCCCAAGAUGAUGAUACAAGACCCUCAGAAAUUAGGGAAACAAUUUCUCCCAGAUAUAGCUGAAUAGUGACCCUUUCACCACUUGUGUUGUCUUCCCACAAUUCCUCAAAUAGCCCAGAAACAUGUUUGUCAUGAUCAAAUCUGAAGAAGUAUUAACACAUUAAAUUCCAAAGGAUAAAAAAAAAUCUCAAUCUAUAAUCAAUAAAUUUUGAAAGGGGAGGGGGCAUAGAGAGAGAGAAGCUCCCGGGCUUUUUCAGGAAAACAACAAGAAAUAAAUAGAAUGAUUCUUAAGAAGUUAUGAAGUUUUUGGCUCAUGAGUUCCAUAGAUCCUUGAGAUAUUUAGUAAUUUGAUGCAUGAUUUAGUCUUCCAAUUUUGAGAUGUCUGAUAAUCAGGACACAGUAAUUCAGAUUUCCGGGAAGGGAGAUCAACAAAACUGUCUUCUGUGAAUGACUAUUCAGAUAGCUUGACAUGUUAAUAAAAGAGCUCCUAACUUCAAUAUGCUGCAAAUAGUGCAAGGUAAACCAUCAAGUCAUCUAAUGUUCUAAUUUAAAUCAUCUCGCUCUAUCAUUAUCAUUUGAGAAUUCAAAAUCACUAACCAUUACAGCAACAUCCAACUUUUGAUUCCGGAUUACUUGCACAGGUUUCAACAAAUUUUAUCUAAGAGAGAAUUUCCAUUGCACUUUCACAGGAGAGAAAGAUUGUGGUUUUCAUCCUGUUCACUGAAACUCAGAUUUCACCAAUUUUCAAAACUAAAGAUAAUUUUAUUAACUGAUUGCAUGAGUAAUUUCUUUAAUUGAAAGAAAAGGUCAAAAACAGAAAAAAUAAAGCGGAAAACCAAAAGCAGCUAAUACCUCAGGUAAAUACAAUGUCAUAAUUUCUAUCAAACUGUCAAUCUUUAAAUCAUGUAAUGUAGAAAGUAUGGAUGGAGAAAACAGAUAAUAGCUGGGAAGCGUAAUAAGGAAAAUAAUAUCAUAUAUCAGCCUAACAAAGAAAUAUGUGAUUCAAACCUUGAAAUAAAUAUAAUUGGAAGAAUUGCUGCAUGAUAUCCACCCACAACAUCAGAUGCUACUGAUGAAUAGUUUUUCAAAAGGAUUGCACAUGAAACUUGUGCAUUCCCUUCCCCAGUAUGCAAAGCUGUGGUUUCUUCUAUCAACUUUUCAGCAUGAGAGGGGCUUGCAUGUUUCAAAACCAUGGCACAAGCGCUUGCAAAAGCACGUUUUGCGACAGUACUCUUCUCCUCCUUCACAACUGGAAACAACAGCCUUAAAAGCAUAUUUGCGAAUGGUUUUAUAUCUGUGCCAACUCUCUGAACCAACAAGUUAAUAAAGUUGGCAACACCAACCCUGCAACAGAUCAAGAUUAUUAGUGGUAUCAGUAACAAUCCUUACAAAUUGAGGAACUCAAUUUUCUUGAAAUUGGAAUGUGAUAGCCAUCACAAUUGGUAUUGGUGGGCUUAGACAGGGUGAAAAGGGUCUGGAUAGGGAUGGGCAAAGAGAACUAAAAAACCAAACUGAUGAUUUGAAAUAGCGAAGACCAAAAUGCAUAUACAGUCUGGUUGCUUUGUUAACUGAACCAAAUCAAGUAAACAUAUAUCAACCGUUUGAUUAACUAGUCAAAAUAAAAUUGUACAAAUUGCAUAUUUUAUUAUAUAUAAAAUAUACUUUCUUCUAUAGUUAUUUAGAACUUGAUUCCACCUUUUGUCUACUUAAUAUCUUUUCCUGAAAACUUUGUAUAUGGAAUCUAUCAAUUAUUAUACGUAGCUUUUAUUUUGAGUAUACACUAAUUACUUUUAUGCAACUAAUAAAAAGGUCUAUUAAUUAAGUUCAAUUUAAAAUAUUAGGACAUAAAUUAAAUUAACAAAAUCAAUAUUUGGACACCAUACUGAUAAUAAAUAAUUGUUAGGUGUUGAUACAUUGAUAUAUUGUGUCUUAAGUGAACUUUUAAUAAAAAUAGGGUAAAUUACACUUUAGUCUGAAUUUUGACGUAAUUAACGGAUAUUUUUAAAAUAAAAAAUUUAAAUCCCUAUAUAAUCAUUCCGUCCAAAUUGGAGGUCCUUCUAUCAAUAAUUCCGUUAAUCAAUUGGUCAAAAGGAAAAUAAACAUUUCUCAUGAAUACUUAAAUCCUUUCCAAUAUAGGUAAGAAUUUUAUAUUGCAUAAACCACACUUAGACCACGCUUUGAUCCUUAAGUUUUAGCGUAAUUAAAGUAUCGAUCCUUAUAUUUUUAAAACUAAAUCCUUAAAUUCCUUUAUAUUUAAUCCGUCUAAAAUUACAAAUCUUCCAUUCACUAGAGACAUUAGUUCAAAACUAGUGGAUGGUCAAAUUUUUUUUAAAAGUACAAUUUCUUCUUAAAAUACUCUUUAUAAAAGUUUACAAUCUACUUAAAAGUUACUUGUUACUAUUUAAAAAUAACUGAAAUUGUAAGUAUUUUCUGAAAGUUUUGAAAUUGUAAGUACUGAAAUAUUUUAAUUAAUGAAAAUUCAAGAAAAAAAGUAUUAAAAAUUAAUUAAAUGAGAUAUUAUAGAUAAAAGUUAAUGGAGACUUAAAUGUUCUUUCAAAUAGAAAAUGGAGAAUCAAAAUGUUUAAAUUAUAAUAAAUAAGGACAGAUGGAUUACAAAGGCAUUUUAAGUAUACGAUUUAAAAAAUACAGGAACUGAUCCAUUAGUUAUGUUAAAUCUCAAGAACUCAAAUGUAGUUUAUCUAUUUAAAAAGUAUAAUAAAGACAUUUUCACAUUUUUAACUGCAAAAAUGGAUGGAGGGACCUCUAAUUUGGACGGACUGAUUGUAGAGGGAUUUAAAUGGUUAGUUUAAAAAAAUACAAGGAUCAAUCCAUUAAUCAUGCUAAAACUCAGGGACCAAAAUGUAAUUUACCCUUAAAAUAUUGCGUCAUGUUACUAAUCUUUUAUUAAAAAUACCAAGUGCGAGACUUUCCGUGCUUUCUUAUCCUUUUCUACUUCCAAAGUCCUGAUGAAGAUAAAGCCAGAAAUUUAGCUGUAUCAAAUGAAAUUGGCAGGUUCUUAUAUGCUCAGUAGAAGUACCAAAAUUUUUUUAUUUUGCCUUCAAUGUGUGAACUAAAAAAGACAGAGGUCAAGGCAACCUGGUCUUCUAGAAAGAUACAACUAUUGAACCAUUAAGAUAAGGCCACAAAUACCCAUCAAUUUGACAUUACUCACCUAGUGUUGAGGCCAACCCCUGAUCGAACCAUUUGAGCAAGACGAGGAACCAAGAGAUCUAGUGAUUCAGUGUUCACAACGUUUAUGCAUAGGUCAAGAGUUUCCCACAUUGGGGAGCCUUUUGCAAUUGAAAGCCGCAAAUUCUCAAGCUUCUCUGUCUGUAUCCCAGCAUUUGCUGCAUGCAACUAUAAGGGAAAAGGUAAACUGAUAAUUGUAUAAAUUGGAUUACUGUACAUUUCAAAGAUGCUCUAGUGGCACAAACCUCAACGUAAUUGAGCCCUUGGUCCUCAAGACUCGAUAAACUUUCAAGCAUGCAACAAACUAAAUCUGGCAAAUGCGGACGAAGUGCAACACCAGCACCCUGUGGAUUUGACAAAAUCUGUCAAUAUAUUCAUAAAAAUAGACAGAAAAACUGUAAUAUGAAGCUGUGGAGUUAAUCACUUGCUAACAAUUAGAAAAAGUGGAAAAUCACAAAUAGUCAAAUCAAAAUCACAACUCUUAGAAAAAGAAGAAGCAGAGAUCUAUUUUAUUAUUAUUAUUAUCAUUAUUUAAUUUAUGGUUGAUAUUUUGAACACGAUUUUCUCUUAACGGGUUCUUAAAUUCACAUAAAUCUACAGAUCUAGCAUAUGAACUUAUUAAAGAACAUUUUGAUGUAGGGGAUGCACAAUUCAUACAAUAAACUCGCCAAAAUACAAAGAUAAACACCCCCCAAUGAUUUCCUUGUCUAAUUCUUCCCUCAAGUUCAUCACAACAUGGCAUCCUUGUUCAGAAUAUACAAACCAGUCAGGAUCAUCAAACUGCUGCUUAUCCCCAUUUACUUCCUGCACUCCUAUACAUUCAACCUUUUUGCUUGUGUUACGAGUAACAUAUGCUAUUUUUUUAUUUUGACAUCCUUUGCACUGUUACCUUAAGCCUUGAACAUGUGGAUGAAUAUGGCAAACUAAACUUAGCCAUAUCUCAUGAUGGUCAUUCUUCAUAAUUUUUGAUCUUCAAUGUUAAUGCUUAUGUAUAAGCAGAAUCAGUGUUUCAUGGAGCAAUCUUGAGCUAGUCCAAAGUAAAUAGAAAAUGAAAUGACUUAUAAACGUAGAUUUUGUUGAAAAAUGUAUCAAACCUUUGCAAGCUUCAUAACAACUCCAAUUGAAGCCUUGCGAAUACUGUCGACUUUACUUAAUAUGCCUUCCAUAAGCAACAAAGGCAGAGAAAUCUCCAUUGCCUUUCUGGCAUUCGAUAUUUCAGUGAGUGAGACAUCACAUAGCCUUAUUGUUAAUGAAGAUACAGCACGGCAUAAUCUGUCACCAGCAUUUCGAACAGUUUCCUUUAUGUCGUCCAUGGCGCGGAAUGCUGCCGACCAUAUUUUCUUCAAAUGCUUCCCAAUCUAUGUAAGAAGGAUAAAAUAUCAACACAAUUGAAAUUAUGAUAAAAUACCACAGGUAUUAUCUCCUGUCAAGGCAUGCACUUGAGGGAGGUCAUUGUAAGAUGCAAAAAAAAUUGAAACUAAGAUAAAAUACCACAGGUAUGAUAUAGACUUCACAAUUAAUGACAUUUUUUUCCUCUUUCAUAACACUAUGCGAACAUGUUAGAAAAUAAAACAAAUCUAUAUUUUGGACAUCCAGAAACAACCCCUACAGUUUGGACUCUCAUAAAUAGACUAGCAUUAUUAGUGUUGUUAAAGGGAGGGGAAAAAGCAGUUUCAGAUAACUCAGAAACAAAUUAGUCAAGCAGCAAGCGAAGAUCGAAAAGAGAAAUAGAGAACCCAGGACCCAAAAGAGAGGGAUUUAAGGACAUAGAAAUAUAGGUAGUGUAAUUUUAGGUCGCGUAGUCCAAUAAGAUUCUAGCAAUUUCCAGCAUGUUGACGCCAAAUUCCGGUGGAUCAAAGCAUCUCAAGUUUGGCGGUAGCUAUUUUGCAGAUGAAAGUGCUCACUAUAUGUGGAAAGUAGGAAGGCAUGCCUUUCUAGAGCCAAAGCCAAGGACCAUAAGACAAGCACUUGUUAGAAGUCACCACCUUUCCUAUACAUAUAUAUAUAUAUAUAUAUAUAUAUAUAUAUAAAACUUGAUGGAUGGUAGUAAGGCAUGCCUUUCUAGAGCCCAAGUCCAAUGACCAUAAGGUGAGCACUUGUUAGUGGUCACUCUCUCUGCGUGUGUGUGUGUGUGUGUAUAUAUAUACAUACAUACGCGUAUACCUUGGUGGAUGGAGGAAUUGGAAAUGUGAGUUGUGAAUUUGAUAAUGCAUAGGUUUCCAUUAAUUGAUCAGGGUCAUGAGACUCCUGAGAUUAAAAUCAACAUACAAAUGUGGAAAACAACUUAUUUGAGUCUGGAUUUGAAAUACUUAUGAAAUUGUGUUAUUUGAAAUCUUUCUUAACUACAUUCAUAAACUACAAGUUCUUUCAUAAAUUUAACUAACUAAUAAAUCGACUUCCAUUAAAAUUUAGAAUGAAAUGAAAUCCAAAUUCCUCAUCUCAAAUGUUGACAUCCAAACAUAGCAAUAGCUGCAGAUUAUCAUAUCGUGCUAUUGAUAAUCUUAAUACUCCUAAUCGAAUAAACAUUGAUUUUAAUUAUACCCAUUGCAUUAUAGUAUCCCCAUUAUUGCUAAAUCAUCGUCAAACAAAUUUGCAGGUGCCAAUGCAAAGGUUAAUUUUUUGGGUAAUUCAGGAUGAAGCAUACAAGUUAUUGUUAUCAUAUUCUUAGGUGUGUACAUUACUAUGAAUCCAAUAAUAGAUACAAGAUACUAAAGAAAACAUGAAAUUGAAAAAUCUUAUAAAAAUUACAAAUUCUUAUAAAAAUUACACGGUAGAUGACUUACAAAGAAUCAUGUAUAAUGGACAGAUUAAAUAACUAUUCUAAUAAAUGUUUUGAAAUAAGGCCUGGUCAUUGAACCGGUGAAGGCAGAGGGUUUAAGGGUUUAAAGCUCAACCCAUAUUAAAUUAGGUUUUAACCAGUUUAUUAUUAAAUAAAUAUUACAAUAUUAAUGAUAAUAGUUUUAUUACAACUAAUGCUUUAUAUAUCUUAUAAUAAUUAUGAAAAUGAGUUCAGUUAAAUUUUAAGAUCCAAAACAUUUUUUAAAUAGUGAUUUGAAAUUUUAAAUAAUAAUGUUCAAUUAUAUAUAAUAGACAAAUACUUAAAAUUAUAAUUACAUAAAAAAUGGAAAAUAAAUAUAUUAAUAUUAUAUUUAUAGAACAAAAUAACUACAAAAAUUUAUUUACUUCUUCACUCUAUGAAAAAUAAAAUAAAAUAAUGUGAUAUUUAAUCUAACUAACAAAAUAAAUUAUUAAUACUAUUAUUUAUAUGAAUUGUACCUUUUGAUUUUUCUUUAUAAGGAUUAGUUAUAGGUUGAUAAAAUUAUUUACAUAUAGAUGGUCACGGUAAAAAAAUAACAAUGGAUAUAAAUAUAUAACUAUAACAGUUUUUUUAUACAAUUUUUUCAAUCAAGAAACCUUUUGGAUCACAACAAAUCCAAGAAACCCAUCACCUGAAUGAAGAAAAAACCAAAUUCAUGGAACAGGGAUAAAUAGAUCCACAGGUAAGAUCCAAUUACCUCAGAUCGGAUUAUAUUUAUUCGAUACAAUGAUGUGAAUAUGAAUGUGAAUAUAUUGAAAAAAAAAAAUACACAAUGAAGAAAAAAAAUAGGUAUGAAUAGAACAUGAGAAGGGGGGAUCUUGGCACCAAAAAUAGCAAUUUUCUGUUAAAGGUGAGUGAUUCUAUUUAAAAUAUCAUAUUCAAACUGGUCAGUUUGACAGUUUACUGAUUAUCCGGCCGAUUCACAACAACGGUUUAUACUGGUUUUCUAGCUGAACCAAACUAGACCAUAGUCCGGUUUCCAGAUGAACAGGCCUGACCAGUUGGUCUGAUCCGGUUUUAACAACCAUGAUUCCAACUAAAUUUGUGUAAAUGCUCGCGAAACCAAUAUGGAAUAGGUUUAUGAGAAGCACUAGAAAGUUUGGAGUACUUCUCCAUUUCAUAUUUUUAGCAAGACAUCAAAAUGGGUGAAAAAUAAAUUAAAACAUGUACAGUGGCAUAGACAAGAGCAAAAACAAAAUACUUACCUGCUCAAAUUUUCGUCCUUGGAUAAUAUCUGCAAGCGCAAGACAAGAAGCCUCACGCGAUCGCCAAAGCCUAGAUCCACAUUGUAUAGUUAAAUCAUCGAUGAUAAUGUCCAAGUGUUGAUCAAUAGUUUUCUUGGGGUCUGCCACUAGCGACUUCCAUAUGUGUGCCAUUGCAUCCUAUAUUUACGAACAAAGAGCAAUCAGAGAUGGACAAUAUGAAAUUUCCUGAAAUAAUUGGUAAAUGCUGCUCUAUUUCAUAGUUUCUGAUGGUAUGCAAGAGUAAUACAAUUCUUGGGAGAGAGCACACAAAAAAAAAUAUAAGAAAAUAACAACAACUAAUUGAUUUACAUGAAACUUUCUUAGAAAUAAAACCUGAAGUUUCUCUGCACCAGGGAGCUCAAAGAUGUUUACCUGUACAUUUUUAUCAGGAUCAUAUUGGUACCUAACUAGUCGUGGAAUCAAUAACUGUAAGUGAGGUUGGAGGGCAUCCCCAGCUUGCUUGGCUAUCUUUGAAAACCCAAAAGCAGCACCUCUCUUGGAAUUCAAAGAAGCUUGAUGGUUAGCCAAAUCCAUAAACUUAUAAAUUAGAUCUGGUUGACCCAUCUCAUUUGCUAGAUUGCAGAGCUCCUUGUAAGUGCUAAGCUUCCCUCCACUGUGACUCUCACCAAUGGCCCCCUCUUGAAACACCUCAGAGUCUUCAACAAGCUGUCAGCGUAACACUCUAAAACUUCACCCUCAAAUUCACACACAUAAAGCACCAAAACAGAAGAUAUGAAAUCACAUGCUAGUUACCUUGAUAGCUCUUUUCCUUUUCCCUGAACCAGUCAAAGUGGUUACAAGUGCAUCAACUAAGCUUUUCUUCAUUGAUUCAUCCCCAAGUUCAUAGACAAUACUCAUGCCCUGGGAUGCAAGUUCUUGUGUAAGUUCAUUCUGUUCACCUAGCAGAUGUGAAAAUGCAUCCUGCAUUCAAUUGAAAAUGAUAAACCAGAUAAAUGAUAGUGCUAUUUAAAAAAAAUUAACAACAGUAUAAUAUUCAUAUUAGAAUAAUAAAUCAUAUAUGACAUUGUGCAUGCAUGAAAUGUUAAUCAUUUGAAAUAUUUUAUAAGUUAAGGAAAAAGUUGUGCAAAUAUAGAAUACAACACAAGUACUUGCUAUGUCAUGCUUUUCUAUUUGAAUGAAGACAAGUGCACUCCUGGAACCAACCUUAACAUAGAUUAAGAUUAAUUUGAGACCUUAACUUUUAAUGCAAAACGAGAUGGAGUCAUUUACAUAACUAUUUUCCUCCAUACUGUCCAGUUUAGGGCUGCAUCUUCAAAAAGUUCAAAGCCACUCUUUUGUACUACUUGACACAUGGAGGCUAUAUAUACCUCCAUGCUGUUGUUAUUUUCCUUCCAUCACUCCAAUAUGCCCAAGCCCAACUUUUACUACUGGUGUAUUUGCUAAUCUAUAAUGCAUGUGUUUGAACGAUCUCAACUCAAUGUCCCUUCACUCAUCUUUUCCACAAUAGGUGAUGUUUCACCCUUCCUAUAAUAUCAUUCAUUCUUUAUCUAGUCUCUUGUAUUUCUAUACACUCAUCUUAGCACCUUCAGUUCUGGCAUGCUAAUCUUGUGCGUCUGUUUCUUCACUGCCCAGCAAUUAUGGACACACAUCAUAGAUAGUCAAAUCACAUACUCAUAAAAUUUCCCCUCUACUAGACAGUAUUUUGUUAUCACAAACAACUUGUUAAAUGGUCAAAAAAGGACCUGACCACAAACAACUUGUUAAACGGUCAAAAAAGGACCUGGCAAGUUGGCCAUAGUCAUUACAAAUUCAAACAAAACAUGGUUAUGAAAAAUUACUGUCCAAGACUCAUAUUUACUAUUAGACUGCAUCAAGCAUAUCAAUUGACAAAGGCAUGGCUUUCUUAAUGUUAUAAGGAAUCUUUAAAUAGUUUGUAUAUUCCUUGUUAGAUAGUUUCCUUAUUAAAUAGCUUGAUCUUAGGAAUAAUUAUAGCGCUGAUUAUAGGGCUUAUUUUUGGGGAUUAUAUUCCUAUUUAGUAUGUGUACAUGUAUUUAAAUAUAUGUAUUAUCGUUCUGAGUGAUAUACAAUAAAUCAUCGUCUUUUACACUUAAUAAAUCCUCAAUCCCUAAUCUCAAUUAUAUGAGAAUUCAGUUCGGGAAAAUAUUAGAAGAAAGAAAAAAUUGGUAACCUGAAUGUCUGGAAGCAUUUGUUGGAUGGUUGGGUGAUGGCCACAAAACAUUGUCAGUGAUAAUAACCAAACAGUUCCAGCACAGCGCUCUUCUUUUCUGCUACUAUACAAAAGAACAUCGAAAAGUUUUCUUGUAAUUGCAUCUCUAAUUGUCGCAUGGAAGUCUUCAUUAGCUUCACUUUUCCCAUUAAAGCUGUAUUUUGAUAAAGAUAAGUUCACAUCUCCCAAAAGAAAGUUUGACGUCAUGGAAAGUGAAGUAUAGUUCGUUUUGAGAAUGAUAUCCGGUGUCACAGGGACACUACCCCAUAAAAAAGACAGAGCCUCCCCAGCAGCAAAAAGGAUAUCCUCAACCUGUGCAACUCCAAAAUCCAGGGAUUAGAAAUUAGAUGUGUUUCCAACUGUAUGUACCUCAUAAAUCAAAUGAAUUUCUUAGAAAUCAAGUGUUUUAUGAUAUCCAAUAAGCAAAAACUAGCACAUUGGAUUGUAAGAUAAAAGAAGAUCUAGUUUCCACACCUUUGAUCGGCACAGACUAAAAAUCAAAUCAAGAGCAGUAUUCAAGUGUGAAGAUGAUGUUUCCUUUACACAUAUAUGUCCAAGGGAGAUAACUAUUUUCUGAAUUGCUUUAAUGUCAUCACCAGAAAGUAGUUUGCUCAACUUUUCACGUAAGAGUGACAGAAUCUCCGCUGCAGUUUCAAUGAAGCAAUUGUGUCAUUCAUAAACCUUAGAGCAAAUUCAUAAAUAACUAUUCUGAGAAGCUAGAAACAUUACCUGAAUCCAAACUAUCACAAAGUGGAGGCAAUGGCACACGUAGCCCAAUAUGACCUAAAGCUUCCAUUGCAACAGAGGCCAAAAAUGCAGUCUCAGAAUUAGCAACAUCAGUCAGGCAUUUAAGUAUAUUCUGAAACAAUGUAUCUUGGAUCUGCAAAUAAAUUUCAGAAACAAUUGAAGAGAAAUUGCUAAGAAUUCAAAAUUUUAAGUAAUGACAUGAAUUGCACAUAGUCAAUGACAAAUAUGACAAACAAAAGAAUGAUUAAGAAUAUAACCAACAGCCAAACCCAAUGUGGAUCAGUGUCAUUGUCAUCAUUUCAUUUUGAAAAAUAUAAAAAGGCCAGAAAAACUGCUCGACUCGAGAACCUUUUUUUAAAUAGCUCAAGUACAUGUUAAUUGUACAAGACAACACCCGAAAUGGAAAGAGGAGGUUUCCUGAGGUAACCAAUACCCAAACCUAAUAUACAGGGAAGUUAAUAAAGAGUUCUGACUUAGUUCUAACAGAACACCAAGAGAACCAAAUCCUUAUCUAAAUUCUCAUGUGUGAAAUGAUCUAUAAGUUCAGAAGCUCUAUUUUCUUACCCUAUAGUAACCGAAAAAGAAAAGCCCAAAAUCAUCCCUUGUACUUAUUGUUCCAAAUACAUUUCAACCUUAUUCAGAAGCUUGACAAUUUAGUGACUGUUCUCGAAAAUGGCCAUUCAUGUUUUAACUUACAAAAAAAAAAGUUUCACCAAAGUUCUCUUGCAUGAUACAAUAAUUCCCAUCUGCUUUAAGAUCACUUGAUACAAACAAAUGCUCAUGGAAAAGGCAGUUGUGGUUUAAACUCUUAUGCUUUAAUUAAUUAUUGCCCAUUACCAAUAAAGGAAUGUCAUUAUGCACUGAUUAAAAAUUUUGUUACCAUUAUGCUUUUUAGUUAAAGAGAAACUCAUAAGAAAUAUCCAUUCCAUUGCCAGGUUUUAUAUAUAUAUUUGCAAUUUCCUUGAAUACUACCUUGGUACAUCUCCCCUAUAUGUUAUUCAAGAAGAAAACACUAAAACCUUGCACAUAUCUUUUCAACUAUACUGAAGUAACUGAAACAUUAUUAACAUCUUCCUCCACCUCUUGUUCAUUUAGUUUUUUAGACAUUGUGUCUCAUUCCACAGGUACCCAUAUUAAGUAAAAACGCAUAAUUGAUUAAUAUAUGAAGGAAAGAUCAGGAAAAGAACAAAAUCCAACAGUAGUUAACAGAAUACACAACUUACAGCAGGUGUUCUAGACAUACAGUCAGCAGUGAUGUAUCCAAUAGCACAUAAUGCUCCAUGUUUUGCUUCAAACCUGAAAAGUAAAUUCAUGUCACCUAGAAUCAGAAUGUAUAGCAUUAUAGCCAAACAAUGAAGCAUAAAAUUAUAACAAGAAACCUGUUUAUUUGGGGGGGGGNGAGUACAGACCUUAAAUUGUUUGUUCCACUAAUUGAUGAAAGAAUUUCACAUAUAAGAUCUGAUGAUGUAGUACUAGGAAGAGCAGAGCAGGCUAUGCCAAGAAGGCGUGCUGAAGAUUCACGAGUGUCUAUGUCUACAUGACUCAAUAAUUGCUUCAGCCAUGAAAUUCUAGAUCCAUAAUGUGAUGCUAUCAUCUAUGAAAACCCAGAAAAAAUAGAAAAAGGACAAGAUAGAAAGAGUUAGAAUGAAUUGUAUCAAUAUGCAACCACAAAAGCAGUCUAAAGCAUGAGAAUAACUGUGGUGAGUGGUGACCAACCUCUGGAAGAUAAGAUGCAAUUGUAAUUAAUGCCUUGGAAGCAGUGGAAUGCAAUUCAACAGUGCCUUCAUAUACCAUAGCAUGUUCUAGAAGUAAACACAUUGUUUCCACGGAAGAGAGAAAUUCUGAUGAUCUCUCUAAGGAGUUGUUUUGCUCCAAUUCGGACUCAAAACACUUCAAUAAAAAUUUAAUCAUAGCCACAUACACUUUUGAUGGAAAAAUAAGCUUUUGCUCCCUUAAUUCAUUUGAAUCUAACAGCUUCGGUUGCUGUUUAAAAAUGCAAGCCAACAUGUUUCCUAGUUUUGGGUAAUUAAGAUCAAGAUUUUGAGUGGUAAGUCGGCCUUCAUCUUUGACAGGAAACAAGCCUUCAAGUGCCAUUUCCCUUGAGAGAUAGAGGGGAGGAGUUGAUGAAGAAGAAAAAGAAAGAGAACAUGAGAUAACAGUUAUAAGAAAGAAGUACAAAAAAGGUGUUAUAAUAACGUUACUAAUAAGAGAUUGGAAAUAGUAAUGAAGUAAUCAGACAGAAAACUAUCAAGAAACCCCUUUUCUUGUCCUUUCAACACCUCUUACAUAAAAGAGUCAGGUCAAAGUUUUGGUAGUUGAGAGGAUAGUGUUGUACCUGAAGCAACUUAUGAUCAUACAGGUAGAGGUUGCCAAGGAAAUCUAAUCAGAGAUGCACCUUUUAUGGGAAUCUGGAAUGUACGAAGGUGAAAGAUUACCAAUAGUUUCAACUUUCAACUCCCCUUUUCUAUCCAGUUAGGUAAAAGGUAUUAUUCCAUUAUAUCAACCAGAAUGGACAGUAUAAAUAAAUUCCCCUUCUUUGCGCUAGGGGAAUCAUCAAUGACUGUAGUUGAAGUAAAGGGAGCUGCUGUGCCAACUAAGCGAUAUUGAAGUGUCUAAGGUCUUCUCAUGUUAAGGACAUCUUUGUGCAACUAUAGGAGACUGAAUAAUUUCCACAAAUAAAGAUAGCACAGGUUAUGAAUCUUCCUCCACAAGUACUGAAGCUAGUGGAAUUUAUCAAUGGAGGACUUAGAAAGAGACCUGAAGCAGAUGAGAAAUUGCUGAUAAAGAAACAGCUAAACGUUCAAUUUCAAUCCUGUAAUUAUUCGAGAUGUUCAAUUUAGUCCAUUUCAACUUUCAGUCCAAACUACCAUAAAAGUUUCAAUUUAAGCUCAGUUUAGCCCCAAAUUCAUAGGCCAAUUUUCUUGAUUUCUUGAUUUAGAUUAAAAAAAAUCAAGAAUAUCUAUUUAUUGAUUUUUGGGCUAAAAAUUUCAUGAUUCCUUGAUUUAGCCCAAAAUAAAGAAACACUUUUUUUUUAGAUAAAUUAAACUUAAAUUGACACUUUUGGACUAAUUUGGAAAAAGGUUGAAUGGGCUAAAUUAAACUUCCCCAACACAUGACCAGUUGUGGAGAGGCUGUUAGUGAAAUUGAGAACUAAGCCAUAAAGCAACAGUUCAAUACAGGAGUUGUAAACAGGGUGUUGGUGAGAUGAGAUGUGUUAAUGGGUAGUUAUAGAUAAACUAAUCAUCGGAUGAUCAACCAACUUUCAAAUAUGAUUUCUAUUUGAAAUACUAAUCUGCCAAUAGAAAAUUUCCCAAAUACUCGGAAUAGUCCUCGUUUGACGAGGAUUUGGAAGCACUUCAUGUCAGUACCUGGCAAAAUCCUAUCCAAGAAACCUAACCACAGGCCAUUUUUUAUUUAAAAUCAUAUUUUCACACAAUGAAGCACAAAUUAAAUAGUGAUAUGAAGCAACAAAAAUUCAAACACUUUUAAUCUCACUACAUCAAGGAGAAGUUUUGAUAAGUAUGAGCAAGACUAUUGAAAAAGUAGAAGCCUCAACAAAAAGUAGCAAAUGAUUGUUGAGAAAAACUUCACUACCUUAUAUCCAACCUAGAAUCAGCCGCUGCAAGCAUACAAAUAAAUCGGCUUGGGCAAUGUUGCAAAUCAAAUAAAGAUGUAGCCCAUCUCACAGCACAGAAACGUACUUCAUUUUGUUCCUGGUUGGCAGUAGAAAUCUUUAAGUUUCAAUUUAUGAAGCAAUAAGUUAUGGAUUGAACAUAAAUAGUAUGAGACAAUUGUAUAUCUGCACCAUGCAACAGGGAUUUCUCACAAAAUACACCAUACCACUUGAGAAUUAUUCAACAGAAGCGCCUCCAAAUCCAUCAAAACAGUAGCCGGAGCUCCCUGAUGCUCAAAAAAUAAAAUCCUUAUUAAUGAAACAAAUUGGAUAGUCGGCAAGAUAAUUUAAAUAGAAGCAAUAUCCCAGUUACUACCAAUCUACCAUUACUACUACUAUUCCAUCCCAACCACAGUAUACUAUAAUCCAUUGUUCGUUAUUUGUCUGCAAAUAUUCAAAUAAACAUAACCAGAACAUGUAAAAACCAAACGCCUAAAAAAAAAUAUAUUUUUCAAGGAAAAAAGUAGUACACAAAUGGACCCACAUAAUGCAGCAAUCAGGAAGAAAACAAUGCACAACUUGCAAGAUCUGGAUAUGCCCAGGUAACACCAAGCAGGCAACAGAUAAAAGCUUCAUCAUGAAACCUGCAUAUUGCAGAAAGAAAACAAAGCAAGCCCCUGACGAAGUUAAGUGCAAAACCUUGUAUGCAACAGCAAGAGAACUGGUUGCUUCUUGGAUAAUGAAACGAAGAGAUUGGGCCUCCACUUUCAAUGCAUCAAAAAGACGAACAGCCAUGUCAAUCUUGUCCCUAAGACAAGGAAGAAUGGAAAUCACAUUCUUUUAUCAUAUAAAAUGAGACACACCCACAAAAAGGAAGGAUAGGUAAACCACCUAAAGAGAUUGGGCAGGCGCUGUGCGAGCAAUCCAAUUGCUUGAAAAGAAAAGGUUUUGGUGUCCCUAGCAAUAACAUCUGGAAGUAAAUUAUAUCAAUUGUUUGUGAAUGAGCAGAUUAAACUGGAUCAUUCAGAAUGACAUUCUACAUAACCUAAUGGCUUGGAGUUAUAUGGAAGACAUCAAAAAGACUGAUUUGCACAAUACCUGAUUCUGAAUUUGAAAAAUUAUCAAGUAACUUCAAAAUACCAUUCAGUAUAACAGGGCCCAUGAGCUUUAGCUGAUUGAUUUGUGCCUGCAUAUAUGGAAAUAAAAACACUAUAGUAAAACAGUAAGAAAGAAAAUGCCUGAACCUCAUUAAUAUUUUCUUUGACAAGAUGUACUAAACACAAUGAAAGCGCACCCAAUUUGGAAGGAGAGUAGAGAAAGAAAUAUAAGUUAUCUUGCCAGUGCUUAUGACAAUUGACAAUUCACCACAUAACCUUUGCACCGCGCUCAGAACAAUACUAAAAUUCAAUUUCAUUCUAUUAGUAGAAUCCAAACCAGAUGAUUUAUAAUAAAUUAGUGUUGGAAAUAAAGAGGUUGAGAAUGCAUUUUUGAAACAAUUGCCUAUCAUUACCCAUUAGGUGAUUCAGAGUACAAAAAACCACCAUGCUAUUGGAUGUUUUUAGGGUCCUGCGUAAGGAUCGAGUUAUGGGUCUAUGGAAUGAUUCAUUUGGCAGAGUAACAGAAGACAUUGAUGGGUUAUUCUUUUUGUGAACUAUUUUGAAAAGCCGACAGGCUCAUUUGAGAGAACCUGCAAUCUAUCAAGUUCAAGCACUCAAAACAAGGAUGGAGAUAACCAUCUCUUAAUUACAAGGAACCACAACAAUAACGGAGGACCACCCUCCUAUGACUAAGGAAUUGAAACUAACAGCAUCCCACUCACUACAUCACGGCUAAAACACUAAAACAUGACUCCCUAAAUUAUGGCAACCAAGAAAAACAACUUGGAACAACACUGCAAUCCAUCAGCAGCACCAUGGACAUAAUAACUGAAUUUUAACUGUCAAUAUUAAUUGGGUUCUGAGCCACCUAUGUCCUUUUCUUCCUCCCAUGAGUAUAUCGGCUAUAGAUCUGCAAAGGCCUGCUAUCGUUUCUCCCCUCUUCUAAAACACGCUUGUCCUCAAAUGUGAAUUCCGGAAAUUGAGUUUGCAAGGAGGUAACAAAUUCCCAAGACGCAUGCCAAUGAACUAGAACUUCUUGUUGGCAUGCAUGAGUUUGAUGAUCUAGAAUUGCCAAAGGUAAUCGAGUUUCAGCUUCAGGUUGGCAUGCAGGGAGCCGAGAAUUACUAGCAUCUUGUCUUUCACAAUAAACCCUUAAAUUUGAAACAUGGAAAAUUGAAUGCAAACCUGAAUCUGCAGGAAGUUCCAAUUUAUAUGCAAUUUGCUCAAUACAUUGGAGAAUGGUGAAGGGUCCAUAGAAUUUUGCUAGAUGUUUCUGGUAGCGCCAAUUGGCUAGAGAUAAUUGCUGAUAUUGUUUUAACCAUAACAACACCUCAUCCCUGACCUGGAAUUUAACUGCUUGGUGGUGCUCGUCAUACACUGCCUUCAUUUUCUGUUGUGAUUUUAACAAUUUUGACGAAUGGAUCCCAACAUUGCAUCUCUAACAUGAAGCCUUGAUCCACAGCAUCAAUUACUGAACUGCCAGGAAUAUCAGAUGUUAACCAUGGUGGAGACCUGCCAUAGACCACAUCGAAAGGAGUAGUUUGCAAGGAAGAGUGGUAGUUGGUGUUAUAACAAUAUUCUACCCAAAAUAACCAAUCCAUCCAUUUGGCUGAAUGCUCAUUGGUAAAACAACACAGAUACAUUCCUACUGUCUUGUUAACCACUUCCCUUUGGUCGUCGGACUGUGGAUGAUAGACUGAACUCAAAACUAAUUUGGUUCUACUUAAUUGAAUAAUUCAGUCCAAAAUGAACUUGUAAAAGUAAUAUCAUGAUCACUGACCAUAGUCUCGGGUAAACCAUGUAAUUUCAAUAUAUGAUCAAAAAAUAAUCUUGCUACUCUUACAGCUAUAUAUGAAUGAGAUAGAGGGAGAAUUGGGCAAAUUUGGAGAAGCGGUCGGCCACCACCGACAAAACAUUUUUUCCUCUAGAUGUUGGUAAUCCCUCUAAGAAAUCUUUAGAAAUGUUGGACCAGAUUUGAGUAGGAACAGGAAGUGGUUGGAGAAGACCUGUGGCUAAAGAGUCUCGUUGUGUCUUUGGCAUACUUCACAAGCGCAAACAAAUUCCUUGACUUGGCUUUUCAUCCCAACCUAGUAAAAACCUCGAGUGAUUCAGAAGAGGUUUUUUGAUAUCCUUCAAGGCCUUGGUUGUGAAGUGCUGCCAAAAUGGUUUGAAUUGAAGGAGAGGUGCAUUGAAGGAGAGGUGCAGGGCACAUAAAUCAUGUUCUUAUAGAAAAGAAGGCCUUGUUUGAAGCUCCAAGGUUCUGCUGCUUUGUUUUCAUUAAUGAGAGAGAUUUUAUACUCUUCAAAUCUCAUCAAAUAUGCUAACUUGAGGCACUGAAGCAUCAACAUCUUGCAUGAAAAGUGCAUCGGCUACUAUAUUCCAAUGUCCGAGCCUGUAUUCAACAGAGAAAGAGAAACCCAAUAAUUUACUAUACCAAUGCUGUUUAAUACUUUUUGUUCCAAGAGGAUCUUGAGACUAUAAUGGUCUACAAUGCUGAAUUUUUGUGUCCCCAUAGGUACAAGUAAGAAUGUACCGACCCAAUCAAUUCUCUCUCAUAUCCUGGAAGGUUUUGAUGCCUUAUGGCCAUGGUUCAACUAAAAUAAGCCACAUAUUUAUCAUCUUGCAAAAAUAUUGCCCCUAUUCCAAAAUCUGAUGUGUCACAUUCUACUACAAAAGUUGCAUCAAAAUUCGAAAGAGCCAAAACAAGAGUAACAGUCAUCUUGGUUUUGAAAGUCUCGAAAGCCUUCGUUGCUUCUUCCGUCCAUAUGAAUUAAUUUUUUUGCAACACAGCAGUGAGAGGAGCUGCAAUGACUCCUUAGUUUUGAACAAAAUUCUGGUAGUACACAAUGAGUCACAAAAAUCCGCGAAGUCCCUUUAUGGUUGCAAGUUGUGGCCAUUCAAGCAUAGCUAAAAUUUUUGAAGGAUCAGCUCAUACUCAGAUUGCUUUAGGAACAACUUGUUGGUGACCAGAAGUUAAAAGGUUGUUCGCAAAUGAAAGAGAUAUUAAACCCAAGCUCUAUUGUCGAUCACAAUAUCAUUAAAAAAAUACAAGCACACAUUUUCUCGUUCACGAGCGCUUGAAACAUAGAAGGAGCUUGGAAAGGCCAAACAACAUCACUAGGAUUCAAAGUGGCUGAGGUGAGUUCGAAAAGUUGUCAUCUUAAUAUCGGGUGGAAACGUUCAAAUAUGGUAGUAUCCGAAAUGCAAAUCCAGCUUCGUGAAAAAUUUUGCUCCUAGUUCUUCCAGCAAUUCAUCAAUCACAUGUAUUGGGAACUUGUCUAGUAUUGUCCUUGCAUUAAGAUCACGGUAAUCAACCCAUAAUCGCCACAGCCUGUCAGAUUUUGGAACAAGAAUGAUUGAAGGGGAGAAUGGCGAAUGACUCUGCCAAUAAUUUCCUGUUUGCAUCAUUGCAUUGUUUGUCAUUCUCGUCUUUCUAUGCAUGCAAAUAUUUGUAAAGUCAAACUACCACUGGUUUAGUGCCCUGCUAAUGGAAUUCGAUGGUCACAUCUUCUACUGGGUGGAACUGGAAGGCCUUUGGUUCUUCAAAGAUGGAGGAGAAUUCAAGGAUCAGAUUUUAUAAUUGAAUUUGAAGAAUUUUGGGGAAAAUUUUGAGUAUUCUUGUAUUUCACUCUUAAUCUUUACAAUUGGUCUACAUGACUAUUUAUACACAGAGAAUCAUAUCUAAACAGGAAGCAAAUAAUCAAAUAAUAAUUACAGAGAUAAUUAAGGAUCCUAAUCAGAUCAAAUCAAAUCUCUAGAAUCAGCUAGGAUUAGUAAAUAAGUCAACACUCCCCCUCAAGUUGGUGCAAAGAUGUCACACAUGCCCAACUUGCAAAUCAGAGUAUGGUAGAUCUUGUUGUUAAGCCCUUUAGUAAACACAUCCGCAAGUUGCCCCAUAGAAGUCACAUGAACUAGGCUCAAGACACCGUCUGUUAACUUUUCUUUAAUGAAGUGCCGAUCAAUUUCAAUGUGCUUGGUUCGGUCAUGUUGGACUGGAUUUUGUGCUAUACUUAUAGCAGCUUUAUUGUCACAAUACAAGGUUAUCUUGUCUCUCUUGGACAAUCUCAACUCUCCUAAUAACUUCUGCAAUUAUAAGAGUUCGCAUACUCCUUGGGCCAUUGCUCUGUAUUCUGCUUCCGCACUUGACCGAGCAACAACACUUUGUUUUUUGCUCCUCCAGGUGACAAGGUUCCUCCCCACAACUGUGCAGUAGCCAGAGGUGGAUCUCCUGUCAUCGAGAGAUCCUGCCCAAUCUGCAUCUGUAAAAGUUUCAAUCCAUGUUUGGAGUAAAGAAGCCCUUUCCCUGGCGCAGACUUUAGGUAUCACAUGAUGCGAAGUACAGCUUGCAUAUGAGUCUCGCGAGGGUCAUGCAUGAAUUGGCUGACUAAGCUAACAGUAUAGGCUAUAUCCGGUCGAGUGUGUGAGAGAUAAAUCAACCUUCCUACCAAUCUCUGAUAUCUUCCAAUAUCCACGGACUCACUAGUUCCUGCUUUCAGCUUGUGAUUACUUUCAAUGGGAGAUUCUGCUGGUUUACACCCCAUCAUACCAGUUUCUUCCAAAAGAUCCAGAAUGUACUUUCUUUGGGAGAUGAAAAUUCCUUUUUCUGAUCUAGCCACCUCGAUACCUAAAAAAUAUUGCAGUUUUCCUAGAUCUUUGAUUUCAAAUUCCUGGGCCAACAACCUCUUUAGUUGAGCCAUUUCCUCUUUGUCAUCACCUGUCACCACUAUAUCAUCAACAUACACAAUAAGAAGGGUGAUCUUACCCUUAUGAUGUUUGAUAAACAGAGUGUGAUCAGCAUUGCUUUGUUGGUAACCAAAGGACAUCAUGGCUCUGGUAAACCUGUCAAACCAAGCUCUGGGAGAUUGUUUUAGCCCAUACAAAGCCUUUUUUAACCUGCACACCUUUCCUUGUGUCUUCUCAUCAGCGAACCCAGGAGGAAUUUCCAUGAACACUUCUUCCUCUAAAUCUCCAUAGAGGAAAGCAUUCUUCACAUCAAACUGUUACAAGUCCCAGUCCAAGUUGGCUGCGCAAGAUAACAAAACUUUGAUUGAGUUCAUUUUUGCAACUGGGGCAAAUGUCUCUUGGUAAUCCACUCCAUAGGUUUGGGUGAAUCUUUUAGCAACCAAUCUGGCCUUAAACCAUUCAAUUGUGCCAUCAGCUUUGUGUUUCACUGUGAACACCCAUUUACAGCCAACGAGUUUCUUCUCAAGUGGGAGAGUGACAAGCUCCCAAGUCUCAUUUUUGGCCUAUGCUUUCAUCUCUUCAAUCAUUGCUUUCUUCCAUUUAGGAUCUGCAAGAGCUUUCUUCCAAUCCUGUGGAAUAGACACAGAGGAAAUAGACAAGGCAAAGGCUCUAUAGGAAGGAGAUAAAGAUUCAUAAGAAACAAAGUUAGAAAUAGGGUGUUUAGUGCAAGAUCUGACCCCUUUUCUUUGUGCAAUAGGUUUAUCUAAAUCAUUGAAACAUUCAAGAGUUGUGGGUAACUCACCAGAAGAAAGAGUUGUGGGUAACUCAUCAGAAGAAAGAGUUGUGGGUAACUCAUCAGAAGAAGAUUCAUGACUGGGUAACUUACCAGGAGAAGAUUCUUGACUCUGAGUAGACUGCAUAAUGGCUUUUUCUGCCUUGUCUCUCCUUAAAUACCUUCUCAAAUCUGGCUUGUCCAAACAACCAGUUCUCUCUCCCUGAUUGGACAUCUCCCCCUGUCUACUAGAACUCAAACUUUCUAGUUGAACUAUAUCAUUCAGAAUCACAGAAUUUGGGAUCACCUCUUCUUGCUCAUUAUUCUCCCCCUGAAGAGGUGAGUGGGUGGUAUUGAAGUAGGGUUCAGUUUCUCGGAAGGUAACAUCCAUACUAACGAAGUAUUUUCUAGAGGGAGGAUGAUAACACUUGUAUCCCUUCUGUGUUGGAGAAUACCCAACAAACACACAUUUAAGGGCCUUGGGAUCCAAUUUUCCUGCCGUCCUAGUAUGGACAAAGCAAACACACCCAAAUACUUUUGGUGAAACAACGUAUGAAUUCUUCCCUUGUAGAACCGCCAAAGGACUCAUGAAGUCAAGGGUCUUGAGAGGCAUUCUAUUGAUAAGAUAAGCAGAUGCAAGAAUUGCAUCUCCCCAAUAUGCUUUGGGUAGAUUCAUGGUGAACAUAAGAGAUCGAGCUACCUCCAAUAGAUGCCUAUUUUUCCUCUCAGCAACGCCAUUUUGAGCACUAGUAUAAGGACAACUAGUCUGGUGUAUUAUCCCAUUACUCUCCAAAUAAGCAGAAAAGCUACUAUCCAUGUAUUCUCUUCCAUUGUCAGUUCUCAAAAUUUUCACCUUAGUAUCAAAUUGAGUACAAAUCAUCUUAUGAAAGGAUUGAAAACAAGAAAAGACAUCACUUUUAGCUUUAAUCAAAUAGACCCAAGUCAUUCGAGUGCAACAAUCAAUAAAGGUGACAAACCAUCGAUUACCAGACAAGGAGACAGUUUGGGUAGGCCCCCAAACAUCAGAAUGAAUAGUCGCAAAAGGAAUUUGACUUUUAUUAUGACUCAAAGGAUAGGAUGUUCUAGUAUGUUUAGCAUACUCACAAGCAUCACAAAAUAGAGAAUCAAACUGAGUUCUAGCAAACAAAUUAGGAUAAAGUUUUUCUAAGGCAAAGAAUGAUAGAUGCCCUAACCGUCUGUGCCACUAUAUUAUUUCCUAAUUGACAUCCUUAUUUUCUCCAAAACAGGCUUGAGAUAUCGAAGAACCUGGAUCACCCUCCAACAUAUAUAAGCCAUCAUACAGUCCACCAUUGCCAAUCCUCUUUCCUGUGUGAAGAUCCUGAAUAACACAAUGAUCAGGAAAGAAUUCAAUUUUACAAUUAAGGGCAUUGGUGAUAGCACUAACAGAUAAAAGGUCGACAGGAAAGUGGGGAACAUGGAGGACAGAUGAUAAUUUAAUAUUGGAUGUGCAAAUAACAGAACCUGUUCCAGAUAUGGGAGUAAAAGAGCCAUCAGCAAUUUUGACACUAUCUUUGGUUAGGGAAGGAAAAUAAUUGAGAAAGCUUUUAGAAGAACCUGUCAUGUGUCUAUUCGCACCAGAAUCGAUAAUCCAUAGAAUAUUAUGAAGAGAUGAAGCAUUAUCUGACUUUACAAAGUCAGAUGUGGCACUAAAGAAUGAGUAAUCAGAGUUAGGAAUCGAGACUCUUUUACCUUCUGUUAUCAACACCCUUUUACCUUCUGUCACUGACACCCUUUUACCUUCUGCCAUGGUAAAGGUUUAUAAACUGUGAUAAAAUAGGAGGUAUCCAAGGUUGUAAACACAAGAGAGCCCAAUCGAUUCACCAAAAAGACCGGGUAGCAGCACGGGAAGGCCAGAAAGAUGAUCGGAAUCGUCGCCGGAGUGAUCGGAGCAGCAAAGCAAUGACAGACGAUGGGUCACGCGCCGAGAAGCAACGGGUCACGCGCCGGGAAGGGGUGGUGCGUGAGCCUCAAGCGCAGGCUUUUCCGGCGUCGGAGCUGGUCGAUCGGCCGGCGGCAGUCCGGCGGUUCUCCUGGUGCCGGCGAUGAGAGAAUGAGAGGCUCCUAAAUGGGUUAGUACCAAAAAGGUAGAUCUAGGGUUUUGAAACCCUAAAGAGGAAAAAUUGAAUUUGGACCCAAAAAAUCAGGAAGAGGCUCUGAUACCAUGAAGAAUUUUGGGGAAAAUUUUGAGUAUUCUUGUAUUUCACUCUUAAUCUUUACAAUUGGUCUACAUGACUAUUUAUACACAGAGAAUCAUAUCUAAACAGGAAGCAAAUAAUCAAAUAAUAAUUACAGAGAUAAUUAAGGAUCCUAAUCAGAUCAAAUCAAAUCUCUAGAAUCAGCUAGGAUUAGUAAAUAAGUCAAAAGAAUUUCAUUAUCCUGAAAUCUUUGGAUGGUGUGGAGCUUUAGCUAUUGAAGGAUCAUGAAAUUCUGAAGCCCUUGUAAUUUUAUCCUCUUGCCCUACUUAAAAAAUGCCAUUGUCAUGAAAUCUCACAAAAAUGGUCCUAACGGGUGCAACUAGUUUACACCCAAGACAAUGUCAAUUCCACUUAAAGAAAGGACAAACAGAUUAAUUUUGAGAGGAUGAGGACCAAUUGAAGUGUGACUAUUUUUAAGAGGACAACCAGUUUACACCCAUCUUACUUGAUUUUCCCCAUUAGUUUUGUGGCAAAUUCCUGGACUACACAAUUGUUCUCCAUUAGCUAGUCGCUACUUUUAACAUGGAGCCCAUCUUUCUUAUCAAUUCGGGCAUUAACAUAUGAUGCAAGUUUAGCGGCAACAAAGCUCUAGGUACUACUGAAAUCAAUUACUACUAAGACCUUUUUACCAUUCCAAUCUCUUUCUAAUCACAUGGCAUGUGGAUUUCGAAUGCCAAUGAUUUCAUUCAAGGAAAUUGCUCCAUAUUUAGUUUGAUGUCCGAUAGUCCUCUUUGUCCUCUAAAUUAAUUCAGAAUAAUUUUUUGCAUUAGUGUUCCUGAAUGAAUGGCUCAUCAUAGUUGAAGCAUAAUCCCUUGUGCAUGCAUUCCUUCAUGUCUUUGCGAUUCAGGCGUUUGAUGAACCUAGCAUUUUUUUCUCUGACCAUUUUGGUACGGUCGCUAUCACAUUUCUAAGGAAUGUGCAGCUGGACGUCCCGAAACCGCUGGGUCCAAUUCUUUCAUUCAGAGAGUCGAGACAUGCUCAUGGCCAAAAAGCAAAUCCUUGGAUUGAUGAAGCUCGACUUCCAUGCAAUGUGUUCUUGUAAACCACUAAUAUAGAGUUGUCUUUUUGGGUCUUGGUUGAGGAGACCAACUCACAAGACUAAUAUUUCAAAUUGUGUUUGAUGGUCAGCAAUUUUACCCGACCACUUCAGCUUUGCUAAUUUGCCCAAUUUGUUGCUUCAGAUUGGUGGACCAAAAAGCUGGUUGCAUUGGUUUUUGAAUUCUUCCUAUGUCAAGUUUGGAUAGUCUUGCAAAAGUUGUAGGAAUCAUAGUUGUAUUAUGCCCUGCAAGUGAAAUGAAGCUAAACUGACAUUUUCUUCUAAUGAAGUUUGCUGAUGACAAAGAAAUGCUCACAUCUGCUUAACCACUCUAAAGGAUCUUCAUGACCAUUGAAAUAGGGAAAAUCAAGCUUGAUAAAUUUUGGGACAAUGGUGCCAUUACUUGAAUUUUCAGAACCUGUUGAACCCAUUACUCCCUUAGCCUUUGGAGAGCAAGCAUGGUUGCUACCUUAUGUUGGCUGUACGGAACUAGCAAUAUCACGGUUGAGAGCUUCUAAUUUUUAAUCUAAUUCAUCUUGUCGGGCCUUGUGGGCUGCUUGUUCUUCUAAGAAGAGGGUGAGAAAACUAGCCAUCUGUUGUUGGAUAGAGUCCAAAAUAACCCCUGGCUUUGAUACCAAAAUGUUAGGGUCCUGCAUACGGGAUCGAGCUAUGGGUCUAUAGAAUGAUUCUUUUGGCAGAUUAAGGAAUAUAAUGACGGUUUUUUCUUUUUGCGACCUAUUUUGAAAAGCUGAUAGGUUCAUUUGAGAGAACCUACAAUCUCUUCGAUUCAAGUACUCAAAACUUUUAGGAUUUUUAUGAUGCCAUCUUUGUUAAUUUGAUGUGCUUAAAUACAAAGGAUGGAGAUAACCAUCUUAUAAUUACAAGGAACCAUAAAAAUAAUGGAGAGUCACCCUCCUACAGCUAAGGAUUUGAAAAUAAUAUCAUCCCACUAACUAUAUCAUGGCUAAACCACUAAAACAUGACUCCCUAAAUUAUGGCAACUUAGAACAGCACUACGAUCAUGCAUCUCAAUCAGAAGCACCAUGGACAUAAUAACUGAAUUUUAACUUUUAGAAUUAACUGGGUUCUGAGCCACCUACGUCCUUUUCUUCCUCCCACGAGUAUAUCAGCUAUAGAUUUGCAGAGGCCUACUAACAAUGUUCCAACUUCUAAGUCGAAGUUUGAGAAAAUUUAUGAAUAACAGUCAUAUCAAGCUCAACCUACUUGUUCAAUCUAACUUAAGAUUAUAGAGUUGGCGUUACUAUUUUCCAAACAAGAAAAAUGAUUAAGACAAGAGAUAAGGUAUUACAAAAGUAAUUUUAUUUAAUUAGUAAGUUUGAUCAAUUAAAUUUUAUCAUUUAGGAGAUAUUAAAAUAAAAUUUUGGUUCAAAUCCAAACCGUUAUUAUGUUUAGAGCUCCUUAUAGAACAAUAGACUUUGGUACAUAUAUAAAGCUCCAUAACUGCCUCUUAAUAUUAGGCUCUUAUCAUCAAUUGAUCAAAUAUUAGGUUCGAAGCCUUCCUAAUUAAAAAUAUUAUAGUUUUAAGUACAUUAGCAUUUACUUUUGUAAAACAUAAUUCUCCUAUUCUGUUGGGUAUAUUAUGAUUGUCAAUCGAUUAAAUAAACUUUGAGUUUUCCUACCUAGGCAUGUCAAAGUUUUAUGUAAAUUAGAGGAUCAUUUGAUAAGAAUAAUUUUCCAUUUUACCAGGUAUUGCAUUUCAUUAAUUGUAAUGGAUUAGUGCCAAGUUAAAGAAUUCUACAAACUAUUGUUAUCAGGUUAGAAUUGUUGAUUAAUCACACAAAAUUAAGUUCUAACAACUAGUUUUCCUGGCAACGAUAGUUGUUUGGUUCUAUGUAAAAACCAAAAAUUACAAAUCAUGAAAGAAGUAUCAAAAUACUUAUGACAAAACCACUUAAUUGUUUGACAAAGUAUUUGGAAAGGGAUAAAGAAAAUAUAAGAAUUGGUGCAAAUGUUUCAAGACUUCUCCUCAUCCAAAGAUCCUUCCACUGCAACAAAUACAUCAGCAAGAUUUUCAAAGGAAUAAGAAAAAGGAUUCUAGCCCAGCAUGUCAUAUACGUUAGUAUUUAUAAGGGAUUUCACUUUAUAUCAGUUCUUUCAUUUCUCAAAAUCCCUCCAGGUAAUUUUCCCUCUUAUUUUGGCAAGGAGACAUGAGGUUGACAUGUAAGCAUAGGGUACACACACAUCACACCAUUCUCUACUUUUAAAAGGCCUAAGGGACCUACCUUACCAAUUGGCUUGAAAAAGAAAAUACAACCCAAACCAACAAACAAGGUCCUUACAUGUUUAAAUACCCAAACAGUGAAUUCCAUUCCCAGCUGCCUCAUCCUUGAGGUUGUGUUACUUCCUAUAGCAAUCCAAAAUUCAAAAGACAAAAAAACCAGCAACAAAAAUAAUUAUCAAUUGUCAUGGAAGUACAAAGAUGAAAGAUAAUAAUGCAUAACAUAAACAGAAAAUCUAAUGCCUAAACAGUAAAGGUAUACUAAGAUGUCACAGUGAGAAAAUGAAGCACAAGGUGCAAUGACAUAAGAUACAUGAUAUGAGAACUGCGAAACAUGUUCCAACUUUUUUUUGCUAAAAUACCUAGAAUUUUUGGGAGACAUAAAUGUGUGGAUGGAUAUUUGCAAAUUAAAUGUAGAACUUUACAAAAGAAGAAAAAGAAACAGAGGUAAAGGCAUUGUGCUAUGUCUGCACUUAGUCAGACCAUCUGUUGGGAGGGAACUCUACGAUAUUUAAUUUAAGAACCAAAGAUCCGCUAUGCAAUUAUCAUGGGUUAAACAAUUUUCUCGGCUUCUUCAAAGGCUUAUGCAUAAGGGGUAUUCAAUGAGUGCCUUAAGCUGAUUUUAAUCUUGAUUAACAAGAAUUACUUCAUUAGUGUUUAAUCGUUCUUCUUUUUCAUUGAUUAUGUCAACCUGUAUCAUUAGAAGCAUUAAAAUGUCAAAGUAUGAUUAGCUGAAAAUAAAUUGCAAGAAUACUUGAACAAAGUUCCAUGAGUAUUAGCAUUUACACAAUAAAAACAUUAUAAACAAGUUACUGUCUAGGACCACAUAUACAGUCUGCUUGAUGAGUUUGGCAACCCAUGCUAGAUGUAGAAUCAGCAUUGCAGUAAUAUGUAACUAAAAUGAUAUUUACCAUAUAUGCAGCCAAAUAUACAUUGCAGAGUUGCAGGGAAACUGUUUGCUGCAGUAAUAGAGCGGCAAAAUAUAGACAUCAGCUUUGCUUUCAAAGCAAUACUUCCAGGAGUGACCCUAGAUUCUGGUGCAACAUUUUCAGCUCCAGUUGUACCUGCAUAAAAUGCAUCAGUUGGUUAAACAAUUUAUUGUAUCUCAAUGCAUAGAACUUCCAACAUUGCUGGCUCCAAAGAGGUCAGAUGUUCACAGCCGUCUCCUUGCAUUGUGGUGAGCCUAACCUCCAGAACACAAAAGUUACUAUAUUGUGCCAAGGCUAGAGUUUCACCCGAGUUCGUGAAAAUUUCCUGCAAUCUUAAAUUGUAAACUGAAACUUACCUUUCCUUAAACCUGAUUUCUCCUCUUUCAUUUCUGAUAAGGAAAAACAAGACACAUUGUUACGUGCCAGGGAAUAGGAUCGAGUCAUGAGAUGCUGCAAGGAGAAAUCUGAAAUAUAGAACGAGCCCCCUUUGCUGGAAUUCCAACCUUUCCUAGAGCAACCUAUGGUUGAGACUUGUGCAGCUCUUUGGAGGGAGCUGAAACCUCUUUCAAUCUGUACUUGAAUUCUACUUGCUUUAUUUCUCAAACAUAUGCUCCUCAUAUAGGAGUUUACAAGAAUUCUCAAAGGAAAGAAAGAAUUGUUAUUCUAAUUUAUAGCCUAUGUCUAAGGCUUACAUCAAGCAGAACAUCAAGGCUGUGGCUGUGCUUGAUAACAUAUCCAGAGAAUAAUCAGCUGAUUGAUCGGAGAAUGAUUUGGCUGCCAUAUUAAUCCUGGAUUGUGUUUCCUUUCAUUGUUGUUUCCUUCUUUAUUUUGCUGCACACGCCUUGCAUAUGGCAGUGCAAUGAAUGUGUCUCUACCAUUACUCCUCUCCCAGAGAAAGAGCUUAUCCUCCAGCUUGAAAUUGGUAUAAGCAGCAUGAAAUUAAAGGACUGAUUCCCAUGUAGCCUCAAUGGAAGGUAAGCCCUGCCAAGGAACGAGAAUUUCCCAAACACCAUAGUUGAGGCAAGAGCAUAGGAUUGUGAGAGGAGAGGGGAAGACAGCCAGCUUUGAGAGAGAUGUGAAAGACAUCAUGAUUUUACGAAAGUUCCGGUUGGUAGGCAACUUGGCCAAUUCUACGGCGAAUCUUGAAAGAGCCAUAAAACCAAGGUACCAGUUUGUAUCGCAACUUGCUAAGAGAGAUUGUUGUCGAUGAGAAUGCAAUUUUAACCUGACCAAGGAACCUAGAGUAAGUUCCACUUUGCAAUGACCUUAGUCAGAGAAAUUUUUCAUUUGUGCUUGAGCCUAUUGGAGACGAAGGCAAAUCUCCUACACUGCUUAGUCACAGUCCUAAAGAGCAUUGUCCAAGGCAUCAACAAGGGAAGAGCCUGUUGUAUAAGCUAAGAGGCGAGGUGAAUCUCGACCGUAAACCACCUUGAAAAGGGAGGUGAGCAGCAAGAUAUGGAAUGAAGUGUUAUAGCAAUAUUCAGCCCAUAGAAGCCACUGAACCCACAUUUUUUGUGUAUCCCAACAAUGCAGCAUAGAUACAUUUCAAUAGUCUGAUUGACCACUUCCGCUUGGCCAUCAGAUUGGAGGUGAUAAGCGAAGGAAAAAGCCAAUUUUGUACCACUUAAGCAAAAGAGUUCCUUCCCAAAAGCACCGAUGACAUCAUGAUCACCCACAAUUGAUUUCGAAAGACCAUGUAUAACAAUCUAAUCAAAUAAAAUAGUUGUGAUUGUGAGACCGGUGUAGGGAUGUGCUAAUGGCAUGAAAUGAGCAUAAUUGGAGAGGCGGUCCACCACCACCAAUAAGACCGAUUUGCCAUGGGAUUUUGGCAAUCCAUCAAUGAAAUCCAUAGAUAUGUCUUACCAAAUUUGGGUGGAAAUGGCAAGUGGUUGGAGCAAGCCAGCCAGGUGCAAGUGAGCGGCCUUGUCGCGUUGGCACACAAGGCAAGAAACAACAUAAUCCUGUAUAAUAGCCCAUAACCCCUUCCAAUAAAAAUCCUAAUGGACACGUUGUAGUGUUCUAUGAACCCCCUCAUGUGUGCUAUCAUGAAAGCCAAUAAGGAUUACAGCAACGAGGGAAGAGUUGGAGUCAAGGUAGACAUUUCUCCUUAAAAGGAUAAAGCCAUCACAAUAGGACCAAGGGUCUAGAAGUCAUCUAGGCCAUUCUGAAUUUUGGCACAAAGUUCUUGGAGAGUAUUGGAUGCAACAACUUCAUCGCGAAUGGCAUCAAGAAACAGGACACGAGGGUGUAAGAUGGCAUAAAUUGCGCCCUCCUUUUCAUCCCAACGCAAGAGAGCAUCGGCUACUUGGUUCAAAUGCCCUACCUUGUAUACCACAAGUCAAAGCCCAAUAAUUUGGCAACCCAGUGUUGUGUGGCAUAGUGGAUAGACGCUGCUCAAGCAAGUAUUUUAAAUUGUAAUGAUCUGAGCGAAUUAAAAAUUUUCAGCCCCAGAAAUAAGCAUGCCAAUGUUGUACUGCCUUUGCUAAUCCAAUAAAUUCCCUUUCAUAUGCAGAUAAUUUGAAGAAGUUUGUUGCUAAAAUAGGCUAUCGACUAAUUAUCCUAUUGUAACACUGCCCCAAUACCACUCCCCGAUGCAUCACAUUCAAUGACAAACUCUUCAUCAAAAUUCAGCAAACGAAGAACGGGUGCUUAACAAGGGCUUGCUUGAGCUCAAUGAAUACAGCUAAGGCUGUGUCUGUCCAUGGAAAGGAGUUGCAUUUCAACAUCUUGCUUAAUAAAGCUGUUGUCUGUCCAUAAUGGAUGAUUUUUCUAUAAUAGUCGACAAGCCCCAUAAACACUCCAAAAGCCUUGAGGGACUGUGGAAGGGGUCAUUCUAAGAUGGCUUGAAUUUGCUUUUAUCCACUAAGACACGGCUGCCCAAAACAACAUGGCCUAGGUAAGCAAUAUGCUCUUCCCCAAAUGCACACUUAGAUUUUUUCAAAAACAAAUAGUGAGCUUGCAAAAGAGAAAACCAAUUGUGAGUGAAACACGUGAUCACUCCAAGAUUUACGGUAAAUAAAGAUGACAUCGAAGAAAACCAAAACAAACUUACGCAAAUGCUCUUUGAAGACUUUGCUCAUGAACGCUUGGAUGGUGGAGGGCGCAUUGGUGAGACAGAAAGGCAUAAUCAAAAAUUCAAAAUGCCCAUGAUGUGUUCGAAAGGUCGUCUUCUCUAUAUCAUUUUGAUCCAUUCGUACUUAAUGAUAUCCAAACUUGAGACCUAACUUCGUAAAAUAUUGUGCAUCAUGGAGCUCAUCCAAUAGUUCCUCCACCACUAGAAUUAGCAAUUUAUCUUUGACAGUCCGUGCAUUGAGUUCCCUAUAGUCGAUGCAAAAGCACCAAGUUCCGUUAUAUUUUCGAGCUAACAGAAUAGGGGAGAAGAAUGGUGAACAGUUGGGUCUGAUGAUGCCUUGUUGUAACAUCUAUUCACAUUGUUGCUUGAUCUCAUUUUUUUUCCAAGGCGUGGAUAACGAUAAGGCCUGGGGUUGUAUCUGGCAAGUGGCAACAAGCAGAUGUGGUAAUCACGAUAACGCAGCGGUGGUAGGCCUGUUGGAUCUUGGAAUAAAUCAUCAAAUUCCAAUAGAAUUUCGUUGAGCAUCCCUAGGUCGUGCUUUGCAUCCUGCAAUAAAUGUAAGUGAGAGUUAUGGCAGUUGAUACCCUUAAGGGGUGACCGGCUUCUCUUCCCAUGUAAAGCUCAGUGAGAGUGGCAAAAUUCCAGAGUAUUGGUCCCAACAUUGUCAACCAUUUAACUCCUAGCACAAUGUCGAAUCCAUCUAGAGGAAUCACAAAAAAAAUCAGUCGAAAAAUUAUAAUGAUCGAGUGAGAAAUUUACUGCCUAACAAAUGCCAUGACUUGCAACCCUUUCUCCAUUUGUUGCUGAGACACUCAUCCGAGUUCUUGGUUGAAUGAGCAGGUUCAAGCAUGUUGUUGCUGUUUGACUAACAAAAUUGUGAGUGCUUCCCAAAUCUACGAGUACCAGUAGAGGUCGGCUAAUAAUCAUUGCCAGAGUUGCAAGGUCCAAGCAUUCUGCCUUCUAGUAAUGGCAUGGACGGAUAUUUCUGAUUGCCCGAGUGUAUCAGGCUCCGUGGGAUCUUGAGUGUCUUCAAUGUCUUCAAGUUCCAAUCAAAAAACCUUCUUCCAUUGAUGCCCAACGGAAUACAGUUCGUUGCAAUUAUAAUAGAGCCUUUUUGCCCUUCUUUCCCCCAUCUCAGCCCUUCUCAAAUUUUUUGACAUAAGGUGAUAAUGCCAUACUGCUUGCAGUAAAGUUGUUGUGAGGCGUUGAAUUUAAUUGCCUUGCUCCCUUCUCCUAUUUUGGUCGUCAUUUAGUUGGCAUUAUGAGGUUUGAUUACACAGGUGGCAUGAUAAUGGGUACUAGUGUUGCUUUUCCUUAACCCACAGCCUCUUUCCAAGUGCAUCCACUUCUCGUAGGCUCGAGCGAGAUUCAUGGCCAUCGUAAGACUUGAUGGGUUCGGCAACUCCACAUCCAUUCUAAUGGUCUCGUUUAAUCAGGCCAUAAAGAGGUCCACCUACUGGUCUGGACAUAUUAUUGUUGCUUUUGCUAACAUUGAUUGGAAUUGAUGUUGGUAGCCCUCAGCAGUCCCUUGUUGUCUCAGAUUAACAAGCUCGCUUAGUGGGUUGCCUUGCAAUGGAGGCCCAAACCAUAGAUUGCAAUACUCCAUGAAGGUCUCCCAAUUCAAGCCAGACUCCAGUUGCAAUUUAUAGAAUCACAGCUGCACUUCCUCCAACAUGCGGAAUGUUACUAAUCCCACCUUAUCGAUUUCAGCAGUCUGUUGAUUCUAAAAGAACUGCUCACACCGAUUCAACCAACUCAACGGGGAACCAUCAUAUGAGAGAAAAGUCCAAUUUAGUAUACCUUGAAUGACUUGGGCUAUCUGCUGCCCUUCACGUUCAUAUGGAAAAUUGGCAUGGCUAUCACUAGUAGCCCCCCUCCCCCUCCUUCCUCCUGGUGGCUGGUUCCUUUUCUCGCCCCUUUAAAAAAUUCCAUGAGCUAUCAUGACAGGUCUUCAAUCUUGGUCUCUACUGUUGCAUGUGAUUCUUCCACCCUUUGUACCCUCGUGUGUGUGCCGUGCAUAAAGGUUUCCACCUUUUCCGGCCAAUCCGAGUCCCCCAUAACCCUUUGCUCUGAUAUCAAAUUGUUGCAUGCAAGGGAAUAGGACCAAGUCACGGGAUGCUGCAAGGAGAAAUCUGCAACAUGGAACGAGUCCCCUUUGCUGGAAUCCCGACCUUUCCUAGAGCAACCUACAAUUGAGACUUGUGCAGCUCUUUGGAGGGAGCUGAAACCUCCUUUAAUAUGUACUCAAAUUCUACGUGCUUUAUUUCUCAAAUAUAUUCUCCUUAUACAGGAUUUUACAAGAAUUCUCAAAAGAAAGAGAGAAUUAUUAUUCUAAUUUACAGCCUAUAUCUAAGGCUAGACUGUGAUUGAUAACAUAUCCAGAGAAUAAUCAGCUGAUUGACUGGAGAAUGAUUUAGCUGCCAUAUUAAUCUUGGAUUGUGUUCCCUUCAUUGUUGUUUCCUUCAUUAUUUUGCUGCACAUGCCUUGCAUAUGGCUGUCCAAUGAAUGCGUCUCUAACACACACACACACACACACACACACACAUAAGGAGGGAGUGGAUAUCACAAAGACCCACACACACACAGUCACAAAAAGAGCACUCGAACUUUUUGCCAAUUAGAAAUUCAACAGUAACAUGUAAGAUUACAGAACAUCGACUUCAUGUUCAAUAUAGCUCAGUACCGAAUUCAACCAUUGAACAGAAUUAAUUAAAUGAAUUUAUAGCCCAUACCAUUAAACAGUAAAAACAAUUUGUUCAUCAAUUUCGGAUCAUCUAGAUUAGCAGUAGAUGCCUUCUUCUUCAAAAGCUCCUCCCCCUUCUUAACAACAGGCUCUUGACUUGAAAAAGUAAAUAAUCAAAAAUAUAAUUAAGUUUUAAAGUACAAAACAGAUGAGAUUGAUUUUCAAGAUAUGUAGAAACAAAACUUACCAAUCUGCACUAGCAGCCAGAUAUAUGGGAUAAACAACUUCUGGAUCCAGCUCCAUAGCUUCAACAACAUUCAAAAUCCCCAACUGCUCACAAAAGCCAAAAGCAGAAAUCAUAUUUAUAACAAAACCAAGAAAUCCCAUCAUCCCUACUACAGCCUACAGGACAAUCUUCAGAUUUUAGUAUCACCUUUCUUGCCAAAAGCACAUCACUUUUCAAAGAAUGCUUUCCUGUAACACGAUCACUUUGAGCUGUUGAAAGUCCAGGUGGACAUCCUCCACUGCAGCAAAAUAAUGAGCUCCUCAGAACCAUUAAAAGACCAUACACCCAUUAUGAUGAACAAAGAUACAGAGUUAUAGACCCUUGGGGUGGCUGCUGAAACAACAUCAAAUGAAGGCAGAAUUCAAUGAACAAUUCUCUAUCCCGAGAACCAAUUGCCAAUCUAUAUUGUUUUACAGCCUCUUCAUCAAUCUGACCAGCAUGACAUUCACCAAUCACCUGAAAUCGAGCAAAACCAAUAAACACAAAUAACUAUAAUGAAGUCCUGAAAAUUAAAACUAAUUCCCAAUUGGAUACUUCUAAUAGCACUCAAAACCUUCUUUUUUCCAUUAGACAUUUUAAGGUAAAAGUAAAAUUUAAAAAUUUAAAUAAAAAAAAAAAGAGGCAAUCAUAACAAAAAGAACAAUAAGACAUCCUCCUAAAUAAAACUAAAAUACAAGAGAAGAAAUAUUGGAAGAACAAAAUCUCAGUCCUGUUGAAUCAUUGACACAAGAGUAUCAUUUAUUAACAUGAAGGACCAGUCACUGGUAAACGAAAAUGAAAACAGCUUAUAUGCUCUCACUGUCAUGUAACUGAAGAAUAGAUUCACAAAAUUUCCGACAUAAUUAAAAAUUUGGCCAAAAUAAUCUCCAUAUUAAUGGAAAAUUUAACAACUUAGUAACAGAGAUAAAGUUAUUCCAAAAGUAGACAACUCUGGACAUACCUUAGUAGCAAUUCUCAGGAUAAUCUCUUGAUGUUGAUGAGGAAGUUUACAAAUGUUAGAUAAAAGCAUAGGUGCCAUAUUUUCUUUAUCCUAUAACACAGGCAAGGAUUGAUUUCCAAAAGAUGUCAGCUUGCAACAUUAUUCUCACUCGAAAAAAAGAGUAAAACUUCUGAACAACACUUGCAGAUGCAUGUACCUUUACAUCUGCACGUUCAAAUGCCAUCUCAAUAUACACAAUGCAGAAGUUCUUAACCAUGGGUGUAGCAUUAGCUUCUGUAUAUAAUUUCCAUAGUUCCAGCAAUGGCAACCCAAUCUCAGACUGGUGUUUAACUCUCUUGUUCACAUGACUCAAAAUUUCAAGAACCUGUGACCAAAGUCAAAUCCAGAUGUAUAACAGACAAAGAAAAAAAUAGAUAGUGUGCAUGCACACAAGUACUUCAUUAGAAGGGGAGGAAAGACAACCCAUGUGAAAGUUUAUCAAUUGAACUUUAUCCACCCCAAAAAAGUUAAAUAAACAAAUAGAAUCUAGAGUGGUAAUGGCUCAUUUGGUCUUAGAAUUGAAUCUAAUCUAAUGCAUAAAUUUGCAAUACUGUAUCUAGAAUGCUACAGUAUUAACAAGAUCAAUAAGUUCUGNNNNNNNNNNNNNNNNNNNNNNNNNNNNNNNNNNNNNNNNNNNNNNNNNNNNNNNNNNNNNNNNNNNNNNNNNNNNNNNNNNNNNNNNNNNNNNNNNNNNNNNNNNNNNNNNNNNNNNNNNNNNNNNNNNNNNNNNNNNNNNNNNNNNNNNNNNNNNNNNNNNNNNNNNNNNNNNNNNNNNNNNNNNNNNNNNNNNNNNNNNNNNNNNNNNNNNNNNNNNNNNNNNNNNNNNNNNNNNNNNNNNNNNNNNNNNNNNNNNNNNNNNNNNNNNNNNNNNNNNNNNNNNNNNNNNNNNNNNNNNNNNNNNNNNNNNNNNNNNNNNNNNNNNNNNNNNNNNNNNNNNNNNNNNNNNNNNNNNNNNNNNNNNNNNNNNNNNNNNNNNNNNNNNNNNNNNNNNNNNNNNNNNNNNNNNNNNNNNNNNNNNNNNNNNNNNNNNNNNNNNNNNNNNNNNNNNNNNNNNNNNNNNNNNNNNNNNNNNNNNNNNNNNNNNAGAGCUAAAGUACCCCUAAACCUCCUACUUGAAAUCCAAUCCUUACGGGCCUCCAAUUCAAAUAUUUCAGGUUGUCCCCAGGAAAAUGGAAAGAAAGGAUUUUUCAAAAUAAUUUUAAGAACGGAAACAAAAUAAAACGUAUAUGACAAAAAUUAUAAUAUGUCCUCGGAAAAUGGAAAGGCAUAAAAGAAAAUAAAAAUAUGGCCAACGCUAUUGCAUAGCAGAUUUAACCCCAAAAAAAAAUUGAAAGAUGUAAUUAAGUAUCAAAUGAAGUCUGAAUUCAGUAUCCUCAUUUUUACAACUACACUUCAAUAGCAAACAAAACGAGUACAAUAGACAGAAGGACCAAUAGAGAUUAAAAAGACCAAAUAAACGGAAUUGUGAGCAAAACAGAAAAGAACACGAUCUGUCAGGCAACUACAUAUUGCAUCAUUUAUUUGAUAUUUGUUAAUACUUUAGUUCCCUUUCCUCUUUCUACACAUAUUGAAUUAUUGCUAUAUUUACCUAUUAUUGAACUGAUAUCGACCAUUCUGUACAAUGACAAAACCCCAGAAACUAAUAGAAAAUUCAAUUGUUAAUUUCCCAAUCAAAUAGCUGUAUCAAGUUUCAGGAAACCAAUUAAGAUUAACUCUGAAUAACAAUAAAAUCAACAACAAAAGAGAAUCCAAUGAAGAAAAGGAAUGGGAACGAAAGGUCUUACCUUGUUGCGAACAGCGGUGGACUGAGAGGAAAGAGAGGAGAGAGUGAGAGGAAGAAGCUUGGCGAGUAAGGCUUGGAGUUUAGAAUCGUCGCAUAAAGCCAGUCGGGUCAGCAUUCGAUCCAGCAAUUCUUCGGUCUCAGCAUCGGACUUCACUGCCGACGAUGAGUCUGCCAUUUCUCUUUGCUCUCUGCUGUUUACUUUGGGGACAAGACAAAGAUAAAUGCUCCAAAAUAAGCUGGUGCGAAAACAAAGAGAGCGCUAAAGGAGAGCCGUGUCGUAAAGGCGGUAAAUAGUGGUAGCGGCGGAAGUCCGUUUAUUAAAACUCUCGUGCUCCGUAUCCAAACCGGAUCUUUUGGCGGGCCAGGCCCAUUUCGUAGUUCGUUUUUACUUGCACAUUGGUUUUUUUAUCUUUUCCACCUGUGUUUCCUCCAAAAUUUAGGACUAUGUCGGUCGGUCUUAUCAUUUAUUUAUAUUUUUUUAAGAAAAACUAAAUUUUAUUAAUUAUUAUGAUGUGAGUUUUGUAUUUUAAAAUUAAAAUAUUUAAUUUAUAAACUUUUACAUUCAUCUUUUAAUAAUUCUUUUAUUUAAAAUUUUCCAUUUCAAAAAAAAAUUAUUUUUUACAUAAUUUUUUAAAAUAAUUUUUUUAGAAAAAGUUAUUCCAUUUAUUUUACUGUUAAUGAUUUUGAAAAGACAAAUUUAUCCUCUCAACUUGACAUUGCAGUUUACUUGAUUUCCCCGCCAACUUCAUAGCUCCUCAAAUCCCAAAUUUUUCCUCUUUCAGCCAUAUGAUAUGGGUUAAUUAACCCAAUGCUGUUUAUUCCCCAAAUCCUUCUCCAAUUUAUUUUUCUUCAUAUAUAUUUAAAAAAUCUUUUUCAUAUAUAAACUAUUAUUUACAAACAAAUAAAAUUUUAACUUCCAUGUAAAACAUUUUUUAAAAAUAUAUUUUUUAAUGUUUAAAAUACUAAAAAAUUAGUUAAUGUAAAUUAUUUUAAUGAUUAAAAGAAAAUUGGAAAAUAAAUUAUCCUUUUAAAUAUUUUUAGGGAAAAUAUUUUUUUUUCCAAACAAGGACUGUAUAAUCAAGAACCUAUAGGGAUAUGAGAGUAAUGUAAUGUAAUCCAACAGAAAGGAGAUAAUAAAUCUUCUGGCGGACAGAUUAAAGUUCACUACUUUCUCCCCUGGCUUCGAAUUCAAAUUCCCGAAGCAGCAAUGCUAAGGUCAUCUCAUCUUUCUCCCAUAAUAUCUCCUACUUUCUUUGCUCUUAAACUCUCUCUCAUUCCCAUUUUCUCCCUCUCUUCUUAUUCUUCUUCAUCGUCUUCUCACGUUCAUGAAAUCUCUCCACCCAAAACGAGGAAACCCUAUUCACUUUCUCUUGGUUUCAAGCCACUUCCUACUAUGGUAGGUCAUCCAUGCCCCAAAGGUACAUCUGGGUAAUUCUAGUAAUUCCCCAUUCUCCUCUUUCACCAUCGUUUUUGGAUUGUUUAGAAAGCUGUUUAUUGUGGUUAAUUAUUGUCCUUACGCUAAGAGGUCUCAAUUUCUGUGAUUAUCAGCUUCGUUUAGCUCUGGGAGUGUCUCUGUAGACGCAAGAGAGAUAUUGGUACAGCACUUGCUUGUUAAAGAAGAUGAUCUUAACCUAUUGGUGGAGCUUCAGAAGAGAAUUUCAGCAGGUGAGUGUUUAUGUUUGUGUUUGUUGUGUUUAUUAGUUUUAAUGAAAUAGUAUUUGUUUUCCGUGUUAACAUUACUGGUUUUAUAUUUGUUCUUUAUCUAAUGCGAAGUUGUAAUUCUGUUUGUUUUGUGAAGGAGAGGAUUUGAGUGACCUUGCCUUGGAAUACUCGAUGUGUCCAUCCAAAGCGGAGGGGGGAAUGCUUGGGUGGGUCAGAAAGGGGGAUAUGGUAAGUAGGUCAUAUUAAAAUUGAAUUUUCUAACACUUCAUUAAAAGACCAGAAUUGUUCCUUGUUAACUGUGGCUGUUCAUGUGUAGCUUAAUUUUACUUGGCAAUUUUCUUCCUGAUUAAUGACUAAUUUCCACAGGUACCCGAAUUUGAGGAAGCUGCGUUUAACGCCCCUCUGAAUAAAGUUGUAAAAUGUAAAACUAAAUUUGGGUGGCAUCUGUUGCAAGUUCUUUCUGAGAGGUAUACCAAAGGAUCAGUUACUUUUGAUUAUUGAGCUAGAAAAGCAAUGAUAUGUCAGUGCCAAACCUUAUUUUCUAUGUUGUUUUCUCCUUGAUCUUACUUUGUGCCAACAGAGAAGAAUCUUCACUUCAAGAUAUUCAACCAGAUGAGUUGCAUGUUAAAAUGCAAGAUCCCAAGUUUGUUGAAGAGGUUCAGUUGAUUGAUGUUCGAGAACCUGAUGAAGUGUAUGUUCUCUUAUUGCGUUUUACUUGGAUUUUGGUAGAGUUUCUGAUAUGCUUUUAAAAUAUUUGCAAUGUCCCUCUAAAGUUUCUAUGAUGCAGGCUUAGGACUAGAACAGCCAUCUAGAUAGUGCACAUGUCGUUAAUAUAACUAUCUUGAUUAUUCUAGUUACUUUAAUGAAUUUGGCACCUAAUAGAGCUUAUUAUAAUUAAAAGUUUACUCUGUUGAUUAUCUAUGAAUAAUAACAGAAAGUUUUCUCACAAUUGACGAAUAUAUAGAUUUUAAUUAGGGGACCUUUAAAUCAUAUUAUAAUUAAAAUUAUCCUGAGCAGAUUAUCAAUGAAUAAUAACAUAUGAAAGUUUUCUCAUAAUUAGUGAUAGAUACAAAAAAUCUUAGUUAGGAGGCCUUUAAUAAUUGUGAAACAUUUAAAAUCAAUAUAUUUAUAAUUGAUAAUAAUCCUCUUGCAAAAUUCAAAAAUUAUAUUGUAAGAUGAAUCAUCAUCUUCAUGCUUGUAUAUAUAAUAUCUCAUAUCAAUAUGUAUAGUCACAAGCAUGGAAAGUCUUAAAAGUUUAUAAGAUACCUUUCAGAAUUAAGACUACAAUUUGAAGUUUGACAAAAAAAUAUUAAUAACGAAGUUACUAUCUUAAACUUUUUGAGUACUAACCUUUUUAAAAAAAAAACCAACUUUAUAUUAGGAAAACAAUAGAAGACGAAUUCAGUUAAAGUUAUAUACUUUUGAAUCUCUAAAUUUUGUUUAAAUUGACUAAUCUCUGGGGGAAAUGUCCCCCUUGACCCCAAGUUGGGUCAUCCCUGCUUGCAAUGGUCAUAGGGAAACACAAUUGGCAUAAUGUUGUAGCUGAAAGGUGACUUUAAUCAUGGGAGAGAGAGGAAUCAAUCUUUCUCUUUCACCUGGCCUCUUGUCUCUUGGGUUGGUUUUUUUUUUUGGAGGGGAUGGGGGUGGGGGGCGCGUUUGUACUUUAUGGAAGUUGUUGCCUUUUAAGGGUCCCUGCCACCACCCCCUCUUCUGGAAGUUUUAUGUGCAUUUUCUUCUUUACUGUUCUGACCACCUUUUUUAUUUUUAUGUUUUUUUAAAAAAUAGGGCCAAAGCUUCUCUGCCAGGUUUUGAGGUUCUUCCCCUUCGGCAAUUUGGAAGCUGGGGACCAGAAAUAACUACCAAAUUGGAUCCACAGAAGGAUACAUAUCUUAUGGUGUGUACAUCUAUUCAGUUCCAAUAAACAAUAUUUCCUUGUUAUGUUGAAUUUUUCUAAACAAUAGUGAGAUGUUUUGAAAUGCUAAUACCUUAAUGUACAUUCAUUUUUCCUUUCUUACUCAACUCAAGCUGCAUAAACAGCCUCUCUGCAAAGCAGAGGUAAGAUUGGAAUCAACCCACUACAGAUCCCAUAAAGAUAGGAUGCUUUGUGCACUGGGUCAGUGGUCGCCCUUUUAUUCUUAUGAUUGCCUCUAAGUGGAAGAUUUAGUUGUAUAACUUGUACUCUGAUCCAAGAUGGUCCUGUUCUCUUACAGAGGAAAGAAGAAAGAUGGUUUCACUGUGCUAUUCAUGCUACUGUUUCCUAUUCUGUUUUAUCCCAUUUUUCCAAUGUCCUACUGUCUUGUUUUCUGUUUAUUCAUCUUCUAGCUGCUAAAUAGAAAAAUAAGCAAUUCUUCUGAUGACAUAGUUUCUUGUUCUGUUUUAUCUUAUUUUUUAUUGUUUAAUUAUUUGCUGGAGAGCCUUUUUAGAAAAAUAAAUAAUUCCUUAGAACAAGAAAAAAAAGGUUGCUUUCUUUUUCUAGAUUCCUAAAAAAAUAUUUUUAUAUGCAGUGUCACCAUGGCAUGCGAUCAUUACAAGUUGCCAAGUGGUUACAGACACAGGUAAAACCCUUUCUACUGAAACCUUUCUUUCCCCAAAAAGAUAAGUUGCUUGAGGGCAUGUUUAGCACCAUAAGGAGUGGUCAUGUCAUUUCAUGUUUUUUCGACUUGGUGCAUAAGAUGAUUGGUUCAGGGGUUAAUGAUUACCAGAAAUUCAGUUGACUGUUUGAUUUUGUAAUUUUUUGGUAUGACAUAUCCUUGAGUGCUUUAUAUUUUGUCAUUCUUAUUUCACCCUGUACGCUUCUCCUAAUAGUUUAUCUUUCCAUAUCUUUCCACUUGUCCAUCUUUGUUUACUUCUAGUUGUCUUCUGCCAGUGAUCAAAUUUCUAGUUGUUUGGACAUUUAUUUCUUAUGGCCAUUUUGAAUACUGAUUUAUCUUGCUUCUUAUGGGUAGAAAGUAGAAACUGUCUUAGCGAACUAUGAGCUAUUAUCCAUAUUAGCCAAUUUUAGUAUAUCAAAAUAAUGGAUUAUUAAUUUGAGCAUGUAAAAAUAAGAGAUACCUCCUGAAUGUAUGUAAUGCAGCUAUGGGGAGGAAAUAAUUUGGAAGAACAAUUUUGGUCCAAUGCCAGAAGAUAUAUCUAUUUCACUGUAUGGAUAUUUAAUGUGUCAUGAGGACCAUUAGGUUACAUUCUUGUUGUCCAUUGAAUCAUUCUUUUUCAUUUGCAAAUUUGUGUGCUUGUUUUGAUUUUGAUCUUCAAUUCCAGUUUGGUCUUUUAAAAUAGGCUUUCAGGAAAAUUUCUGGGCUUUGUUGGGGUUCAUUCAAGGAAGGUUACUUUCUUUAUGAAAAAAAUUUUGGGAAGAAAAGUUCCUUUGCUGAUUUAAUAUAAGAAUUUAGAGCAAUUGCUUAUCCCCCUUCCCCCAAGUUUCAAAAUUUUGCUUCUGGAGCAUAUAAUAUACACCAAAACAUUGUAGAGGAUACAGGUGAUGGUUAUAUGCUACUGACUCUGUAAUAAGAAAUGCAUUUUGGCUGAAGCAUGCGAUAUUCCAGUUGAUUGAGUUUAUGAACUGAUGACCAUGUUGCUUGACUGUUGUGAUUCUGAUCUUUCUUCUUCUUCUUCUUUUUUUUUUCUCUUAAUUAAUUGGGUGUCUGAUGGUUCAGGGUUUUAGGAGAGUAUUUAACGUGGCUGGUGGAAUCCAUGCUUAUGCUAUGACGGCUGAUCCCUCCAUUCCUACUUAUUGAUAGAUUUUGCUAUUCCAUCGAUCAGUUUUGUUUUGGUGUCUCAUUCACCAUUCUUACAUUUCUGGAAGUGACUUUACUGGUGAUCACCAAUUUGCACUUCAAUAUUUUUGUUCAGAUCAGAAAUUAAUAAAUAAAUAUUUCUAGGUUUUGGAUAAUACUUUUUAUUUUUCUAAUGUAAAAAUUUUCAUUUUACUGCAAGGUUAAAUUGGGUAAAAAGAUAUCUUCACAAAAAUAUUUUUUUUCAACAAAAGUUUAUAUUUAUUGCCAAAUAGCAGAGUCGCUGUACAACCAAUUAAUCAAUAAAAAAACAAAUUCACAAAAAUAUUAUUAUUAUUAUUAUUUUAAUGUCAUAAAAAUUCAAAAAUAUAUCAUCAUAUUUUUAUGUUGAAUUUUUUUUUAUCUAAAUCAAAAUACGAUAAUAAUUUUUAUGUUCAAAUUAUUUCUCAAUCCAAAAAUCAAAAGCAUUAUUGGCAUCUCAAAAAUAUAAUUUUCAUAAUUUUUUGAUAUAUAAAUAUAUUUUUUAAUCCACAAUAUUGUUACGAAUUCUAAAAUGCUUAUUUUCACAAUUUUUUAAUCCAUAAAACUGAUUUUAUUUAAGUUUGCAUGUGAUUAAUUUCACAAUUACACUCACAUACAUUGAUUACAAAAAUUUUCAUACAACAAUUAAAAUGCCACUAUCAGCAGCUGUGUGUUUUAUUUUUUUUUUUUUUUCUUCAAAUUGUUUUUCUUUAACAGCAUAGCAUAAUAGAAUGGCAAAAAGCCCAAUAUUCCAUUUUUAGGAGAAAACUGGUUUCAUCAUUGCCAUGUCAAACCAACUAGUUCAUACAAUGGCAAAUGGUAGGCUGUUUUUGUUUUUAUUUUUAUGAUUAUUUUUCCCGGAAAAUUCUCUCAACCUUGGUCCUUAAAAUACCUUAUUUCCUACUAAUUUCAAACACAACCUAAAUUAAAGACUCAUUCAACACAGUUCACAUUCCAUAAUCCUAAAAUUCCUCACUAUCAAUCCUCUUCCUUUCCUUGCAACAAAAAUCCAACCUCAGUCUUAUCUUUUUCCACAUUUUUUCUCUAACAAAUCCUCUCUCUAUACAUGUCUAAUUUCUUUCUCCGGAGACCACCAUUUAACUUUUAUUUCCCUCCUUAAGGCGCCCACCGCUGCUACCACCACCACCUCUUCUUUCUCUCUCUCCCUCUCUCUCUCUCUCUCUCUUCCCGUAGUACCACAAAAUGGGCAGUUGUUGCUCUCGUGGGGAUUCAGGGGAUGCUCCAGAAAAUGAAAAGGGAGAUCAAGCAGAAGGCUCUAAUAAUCCAGACGAUGCUCCCAAUGAAAACUCCACCACCCCACCACCUAAAAAUGUUCCUCCUCCUUCUCCGGCAGCAGCAGGAAAAACUGCUCCUAUUGGACCUGUCUUAGGUCGGCCAAUGGAGGACAUAAAAUCAGUUUACACCAUGGGUAAAGAACUCGGCAGGGGCCAGUUCGGUGUGACCCAUCUGUGCACGCUCAAGGCCACAGGCGAGCAAUUUGCAUGCAAGACAAUAGCCAAAAGGAAGCUAGUGAAUAAGGAAGAUGUGGACGACGUUAAGAGGGAGGUUCAGAUAAUGCACCAUCUGACUGGCCAGCCAAAUAUCGUUGAACUCAAGGGAGCAUAUGAAGAUAAGCAAUCUGUGCAUUUGGUUAUGGAGUUGUGCGCCGGCGGAGAGCUUUUCGAUCGGAUCAUUGCUAAGGGUCAUUACACCGAACGUGCAGCUGCUUCUUUGCUUAGGACGAUUGUUCAGAUUAUUCAUACUUGCCAUUCUAUGGGUGUCAUCCACAGAGACCUCAAGCCUGAGAAUUUUCUUUUGCUUAAUAAGAAUGAAGAUGCGCCUCUCAAGGCUACAGAUUUUGGCCUCUCCGUCUUUUAUAAGCCAGGUUAUAUAAUACAAUCUUUUUUUUAUACCAUUUUUUUGCCAAAUCUGUGUUUUUACAAAAUAUUUACCAUUUGUUUGUGCAUGGAAUUCAAAGAAACUUAUAAACUAGGGUGGCUUAGACAAAUUCAACUAAUUUUGUUUUUAAAAAAAAAAGACGAAAACUCUUUGACAUGCCAACAAUAUAGUGACGGCAUUGCAAUUGUUAUGCUGAAAAUUCAUUAGUAAAUAUAUUUCCACUUACAUGCAAAUUAGAUAAAAAAAAAAAAAAAAAGUUUUGUAGAUCAAAAAAUUGUGAAAAAGUAAUUUUAGACUCCUUAUAACUUUGCUUUAUUUUUCUGACGUAAAACUUUUGCUUUCGAUACAGAAAUAAAUUGGAAAUAAAAAAAAAAAUAUAUUACUUUAUUACAGUUUGGAAAAUAUUUUUACAGAUUAAAGUUACGAAAACGUAUCUUUGAGUUUUUUAUAGUCUUCUUGAUUUCUAACUUACUUUUUCUAAAAAAAAUUUACUACUAUCAAAUUGAGUAUCAAAAAGGUCUUUUUACAAAUAUUUUUAAGAUAAUGAAAAUUAUUAUAACUACAUUAUCUUAAUGUCAAAAAUAAAAAUAAAAGAUAACAAAUUCAAUGAUUUAUUCUCAUAAUUUUUUGAUAUGUAGAACCAUCUUUAGUUUUAAAAAACAAUAAAAUAUUUUUUAAAAUUAAUUUGUUAAUAUGCAAUAAUUUGAUAUGGGCAGGAGAGGUAUUCAAGGACAUUGUUGGCAGUGCAUAUUACAUAGCACCUGAAGUGUUGAAGAGGAAAUAUGGACCAGAAGCCGACAUCUGGAGUGUCGGGGUCAUGUUAUAUAUUCUUCUGAGUGGUGUUCCACCAUUUUGGGCUGGCAAGUUUCUUCCUUUUUCAUUUCCAAUUAAUCUUGUGUAGCUAUGUGCAAAACGCCUGAAACUAUGACAAUAUUUUGCUGGCAGAAUCUGAACAUGGAAUCUUCAAUUCAAUUUUACGUGGCCAUGUUGAUUUUGCAAGUGAUCCAUGGCCUUCAAUUUCACCUCAAGCUAAAGAUCUUGUCAGGAAAAUGCUAAAUUCAGACCCCAAACAGAGGCUGACAGCCAUUCAGGUUCUAAGUAAGUAUAAUUCCUGACGUUGAUUUUGACCUCAAAAUGCAGGUUCUUGAUGGAAAUAUAUUUGGGUUCUUUAGGUCAUCCAUGGAUCAAAGAGGAUGGAGAAGCUCCUGAUACUCCUCUUGACAAUGCAGUAUUGAGUAGGCUCAAACAAUUCAAAGCAAUGAAUAAUUUCAAGAAAGUUGCUCUAAGGGUAUGCAACAAUUGACCUAUUUAACAAAUUUGCUUCAAAGGGUAUGCAUCAAAAUUUUAAUGAUAUAUUUUGCAGGUUAUUGCUGGCUGUCUAUCUGAGGAAGAAAUUAUGGGAUUGAAGGAGAUGUUCAAGGGAAUGGACACUGACAACAGUGGCACUAUAACACUUGAAGAGCUGAAGCAAGGACUUGCCAAGCAAGGGACAAAGCUAUCUGAAUAUGAAGUGAAACAACUCAUGGAAGCUGUAAGUUGUUCUAUUUCCAUUUCAAUAGUUUCCGGGGGCAAUGAAACUAUUUUUUCUUUUUGGUUAUGGGGAUAUGGGGAUAAGAGGACUCUGCUAGAUUGAGCUUGAUGCAUUGACAGCUGAAUUACGCCAGGAUAUGCCAAUAAAACCAUUUUUAAAGUUCAAAAAAUCUUGGAUGGUUCUUUUUCUUCUAAUUAUCAGAAACAUUUAAUGCAAUAUCCCCACUGGCAAAACAGGCUGAUGCAGACGGUAAUGGAAUAAUAGACUAUGAUGAGUUCAUCACAGCAACAAUGCAUAUGAACAGAAUGGAUAGAGAAGAACAUCUUUACACAGCCUUCCAGCAUUUUGAUAAAGAUAACAGCGGGUAACACCAAAUAAUCAUAACAAAAGCUAUUUAUUUAUUUAACUAAAAUCUCAAUUAUUAGUUCAGAAUCAUUUUAUAGAUAACUAUACUUACACUUGUAUGUUUAGGUAUAUCACCACUGAAGAGCUAGAGCAAGCACUCCGAGAUUAUGGAAUGCAUGAUGGGAGGGAAAUCAAGGAAAUCAUUUCUGAAGUUGACGCUGAUAAUGUAAUUUCUCUUUUGAAACAUCGUCAAGUUUUAUCUUACUGUGUUGAUCUGCAACUACUUACAAGUGUACAAAACUGAAACUUGUCUCAGGAUGGAAGGAUCAACUACGAUGAAUUUGUGGCGAUGAUGAGAAAAGGAAAUCCAGAUGCAAAUCCAAAGAAAAGGCGUGAUGAUAUAUUUGUUUGAUUUUGCAAGGGUGGCUGCAACAGAAAGAUGAUAACUACAUUGGUGAGCUUUUGGCAUUGGCAUUGGAGGAAAGGUAUAGUGGAGAGCAUGCACAAAUUGGUAGAGGCCUGGAUGAAAAACGUCGAAGAAAUUGUGUUGAAGGGAGGGAAUGAGAAAUGCAUAAGAAGAAAACUAUUGGUGAGGCAGUUACUUCUCCCCCUUUUGUAUAAACAUUGUAAUCAUUUCCAGAAGAGAACUAGUGCUUAGGAAUUUAAUGAUGCUGUGUAUGUAUUGUAUCCAAAUUAGGAGUACAUAUAAAGGGAUUAUUGUUGCUGACUUGCUAACAUAAAACUAGAGUUAGUUUUUUAAAUUUUAUUUUAUCAAAUUAUGACACUUUUAUAGUAUACAGAUUCAGAAUUUAUUAGAAAAAUUCAGACCUCAACAUGCAAGAAUUCUCAGUCGAGAGUAAAAUGAAAGUGUUAGUAGCAAUUUCUCUUCCAUUAUAUUCACCUUUAGCAGCCUUAUUAUCAAACACAAUCAAAACCCACUGGCAGCAGAUAUGCAUGCAGUUGAAAGCCAUGGGUUGCAGCAGAGGACAGAAGAUUAUAAUUUUGAAAGUUAACAGUUCAUGUUACUGAAAGAGGUGACUUUUGAAACAAAAGUUACCAUAGUCAUUCCCAAAAUAAAGCUACUUCUGCCCUUUAGUGUUGACUAUGCUAGUUUGGGGGAGCCCUAAUCCUAAUAGGAGGAUUUUUAUGUUCAAAACACAAUUCAAUUAGGAGCUUAUGCUAUAUUAGGGUUGCAAACAAAAUUAGAUGCCAAGUUCAUGCAUUAGCACCAUUUUCUCUCCUCAAGAUUCUCUUACCUGCCUACAAUCCAUUUGAAGCUAGGGUUGGCAAGGAUGAUGCAUGUGCAAGAGAAUGUACAAACAAAUUAAAGAAUAGAAAGAUAAAACAACACUACCAUAAGAUGUGCCAUAGCAAUGCAAACAUUCAGAGAGCCAUAAUUAAAAUGAAAUGAUAAGAUGACAAUUGUCGCUACUUAUUCUGUAUGUUAUGCCAAAUGUUUCAAAACAAAAUAUAGAUUACGCUUAAAUUACAACCUCCUCUCAAUUUAUCUCACCGAUGAAUAUGCAUGCCCAUUUGUGCACCAAAAACUGCCAAUUUAGAAUGGAAUUACUUUAUUCUUCGCUCUGGUGGCACACAACCACUGCCUUGGUGUUUCAAGAUCAUCGCCUGCAAUAGUUGGGACAUGCCAACUACCAUUUUCAGACUCCUGCAUUUAGUCAACAUACACCAACAUCACUAGAUAUUGAUAGAUGAAUUAGGUCCAUUUUGUGAUGACUCGCACAUCAUCAAGGGUGAGCAUCGGCCAGCACGAUUUGGUUUAGUCUUAAAAAUCAAAAAGCCAAAUAUAAAAUUGAUUCAGGAAGAAAAUUGAUUCCAACCAAACCAAUUCAGUUUGAUUUAUUACAUGGAAAACUGAUAAAUCGUCUCACCUGAAUGACAAUUGAAUAAGGCGGAGGCAUUUGUAGAGUAAGUCCACUUCUUGAGACUGAAAUUCUUACCUGCAAAUUUUCCAAAAGACGAUUGGUUUUGUGCACAUCCUUGAAUGCCUCACAACAAUGCGGUGUAGUUGAAUGAAGCUCUCAAUUCAGAUUCUAAGAUCUACAUUCUCAAGCACAUUUAGGCACACUUCCUAGUCCCCACGCAAUUCAGCAAAGUGAAAAUCUUUUCACCACUUUUGCAAUGUUAGUUGAUGUCAAAUCAAACUCGCAUCAGCUCAUGUGUUUGAGUUUGAGCAUCAUCUCAUGUGUUUGAGUAGUUGAGCAGACCAAGUCAAGCAUCAAAUGUUUUUUGAGUCCCUUAAUUUAAGCUCGAGCACCAAUAUAUGCUUAACAUGAAGGUCAAGAAAUUUGCUGAAGUGCAGUUUGUUAAAUUUUUCAAAUGGGUUUCAACCAACUCAUAAGCUGAAUUGACUAAGCAAAUAUUCUUAAUAGUAGCAGCCCCUACUCCCCUACCUAAGAAAGGAACAGAAGAGAAUGAACCAGACACAACUCAGAACCAAGCUAGGUUUGAAGCAACCCAAUUGACAUGUCCUUUUGAGAAUAAAAAAAUUAAAAUAAAUUUUAUUUCAUAAGGAGCAAAAAGAAGAGAGAAAGGAACAAGACGGAAGUGAUUAGUAUGCAUAGCAUACAACUGUAUGACAUAUGAAUGGUAAGCAAAAUGGAUCUAGAACAAUUCUUGAACUAGACUCACAGUGCUGAAAAAACAAGGGGAAAAAUCUAUGCGUAAGCAAUAAUCUGGGAUAUAAACAGAAAAUACCUUGUUUAGGGAAUUGUCAUGAACAAACCUGAAUGAGUAGUUUUCUCCAGUUCCAUGCAGCACAAAUAUUUAUUAACCAGAGGCAAGCGCUUGGUCAAAAUGAAUAAUCAACAUGACUUAAAACGCAAGUAGUUACCCUAUUUACCUAAACAAUAGAAUAUACCUGAUGCUUUUCCUUCCAUCUUGGAAAAAAGGAAGUCCCUAAUAACUGGAAAAGAUGGUCCCUCAUCUCAUCAUUUGUCACCAAUAAACAAUUACAAGUAACAGCUGCAUAUAACCAAUACCUGUAAAUAAACAUGCAAAAGAUUUCAAAACAGAACUUCAAAGGUGAUAUGAGAGAAAACCUAAAUAAUUUAUCUUAAAGAAGAAACAUGAAUGCAAACAGAUGUGAAUUGAGCUUCUCAACUAUAAGGGAAGAGUUCGCUUUAGCCUCUGAUCUUUAAUUGGGUUCAACUAGGCCGUCCACCUAUGUGAAUUGCAAAAUCGAGCAAUCCCUAAAUUGGAUGUUAAAAUCGCAUUGGCAUCAUUAAAAAGGAAGAAGGAGGAUUGCAUAAUUGCUUCAUCUACUAUCAACAAGGCUGUCCAUGGUUACUUAGAACGUGGUAAGUAACAGAACGUGGUUAAAUGGGGAUGGAAACACAGUACACUUUUUGGUCAUGUACCGAGUAUUUUGCAAUAGGCAUAAUCAGUUCGCUUGUUUCUUUUCUUUUUUUUUUUUUGGAGGGGGGUGUUUGUUGAGUGAAAAUUGAUGAUCUCUUGUUUUUUUGUUUUUUUCAAAAAAUCUCACUUACAAUCUGUUGUUUAUGCAAUUUUUAUGCCAAUUCAUGCACAAUUUUAAAUAUAGCAGCUAAUAAUAAUUUUAUUCGUUACAAUUUUAACUUUUUGGAAAUCAAUAAUAAUGAUGUCAAUUUGAUUUAUUUAGUUGAAUUUGAAAUGACGGUGAUAAUUAAUAUCUUAAUUUAAUAUCUUUAAAAAUAUUUGUAAAAGUAGCAGUACAGACAUCUAGAGAACCCAAACAUCAAAGUAGGACUUCAAAUUUCCAAUUUUGGUAGGCUAUAAAUUUUGACGUCACUUGUUUCUUCUUAUUUUGAUGGGCUAUGAUGAAUAGCACUUCAAUAAUAUUUUGAUAGGCUACAACUUUAAUGAUGCUAACACAACCAAACUUCCCUUAAACACCAUUUACUUAAGGAUCAAACCAAGAAAAGGAAUCAUGAUUUUGCAACUAUUUAUAGUUUUUGGCCUGCAUUAUGAACAAUAAUUGAGAAAAGGUCGCCCAGUGUGGGGGAUGGAGGGGAGGAAUCUCUUGAGGUUAUUUGAUGGGAGGUCAAUUAGGAUUUCACCAAAGGAAUUCUGUGUUGAAUCAAAAUUUGCUUACAAAAUUGAUUAAAGAAUAAGAGAACUCUAAGCUUCACAAUUAGAAGUCCUUAGGCAUCGCGUUCACAUAAAAAUGUUCCAUCCACAUCACAAAAUCCAAAGUCUAAACCUUAAAAUUAUUACUAAAACUAGCUUCAACUAAAGAUUCUGGCUUAUCGCUUCCAUAGAAAACCAAAAGAUUUGUCGCCUUCCAGACCAACAAGGACCCCAAGUGAAAAUAAGAUUAAAGAUUAUGUGCCUAUCAUAAAUACAGUUGACAAAGAAAAACUUACCAAUCAUCGUUUGAACCAGCAGGGGUAGUAUAAAGGGCACCAGACUUUUUCCAAAACUCUAACAACAUCUUGUUUUUAGGAUUUGUAGCUGGACCACCAGUUACACGGCGUUUAUGCAAAAUAAUAAGUGGCAAUCUCUUUGAUGGGCUCAUUUCACGUAACUUACCAACCACAGAAUUAAGCUUCAACCAAAAGGAGCCAAUGACAGUCCUGUCUGUACAUAUAACUAAAAGAUACAGUUUCAUAAACACCAACCUUCACAAUUCCCUUACCUGGUAAAAGCUGAAAGUCCUUUGAUUGACAAGACCCAAAUUGGCGCCAUCAACAACUGCAUCAAAUGGGCCAUGCUGCUGCAGCCACUCCUGAAUGAGUUAACCUCCUUAGUCAGUCAGGGUAAUUACUGAGAAGCAUUUUAUGCAUCACUUGCCUGAAGCCUAAAGAAGUAGCAACUAUUGACUAUUUGCUAGCAAGGUUAGUGCUAAACUAGCAUACAAGAUGAGGAAAAAAAAGCUGGUUUCUAAGACAGUGAGGGCUACAUACAUGCUCCAGGGCCCACCGCCUUCCUAACAACAUGGAGACAACACUUAUGCUAUAGAAGGCUAUAUUACUAUUUUAUAUAGAAAAAAGAAACUAUUCAUAUAAAAAAAGGUUAUUAUGUAUGCCCAUAUAUACUAGAAAAAAAAUGUGGCCAUAUAAAUACUUCACAGCAAAAUUCAAACUUUUAAGCAUCGUCUUCUCUUGAUAUAAGAAUCCAAAUUUUAGGAGGUAAAAGGAAAUGACAGAAAAUGUGAACGUGACCAUUAUUGACCAAAAUCAGACAGUUUAAAGAUUUUGAAUGGUAAAUCGAUAAACAAAUAACUUAUUCAAUAAAUAUUUACAAGAGUUGAAGAAAGAGGAAAACUACCAAAAGCAAAACAUUUGCACGAAUUUGCAAUCUAAUACAAUCUCCAUUGAAGCCAAUUUCUAAAACUUUGCAAUUUCAUCCGACGAAGUGAUAAAAAAUGAAAUAAAAAAUAUUUUAUUCAUUAAAAAAUUGAUUUUAAUGAAAAAAUAAAAAAGAAAAUUGACUAAAUAAGAGAGAGAGAGAGAGGAGAGAGAAAAUAAAAGAAAACCGAAAAAUAUUUUAAUGAAUUGAUAUUUAUUUGAUUUCAAUUUUGACCAAUUUGAUCAAUUGGAGAACAUUGCAACCAUUAGGUCAAUAAUGCCAAUACUAAAAGAAUUAUUUGAAAUCACUUGGAUUUUUUGAGUUAUUAGUCCUAAGAAUAAGCAUUUUUUACUGAUAUUAUAUCAAAUACUAGAGCAAUUAAAAGCUUUUGUUUUACCUGGAACCGAACAAAGUCGGUUCUAACCUCUCUUUGGCAAGCCAAGUUGGAUAAUGAGGUAGCAAAGUUUUCUGUUUCUCUUGGAUCUAUAUCAAUGCAGACAAGUUUCUCCCCACAAGAAUGACAACCACCCUUCUCAUCAAUUUGAGUCCUCACUGCUCUCCACUGACCACUGCCCAGCCACCCUUGCCCAUGCCAACCUCCACCUCCCAUCAGAAUUCCUUUUCUUACUUUGCUUGUGUCCCAAUUCUCCUCUCCAAUUUUUGAAGCAUCUUCAGAGUUGAACCAAUCCUCAAUAAUGCCAAGAGUUGAAUCCGUAACUUGCCUAAUGAUGGCUCGUAAUCGAUGCAACGUAUCAUACACCUUAUCUGCCCUCUUCACAUCAGCACUAAGUUUUAAGAGAGCGGAAAGCUCAGGCUCUUCAGGCAUCACACCAGAUUCAGCCAUGUGUGCAUCAACUUCAUAAGCUCUAUCAGCCAUCCCCUUACUACAGAAUCCAAACAAUGCUGGUCCAUAUGAACGCAAUUUUGGCAAGAUAUUAAAACCUUUCAUCUGCUUAACCAAGUCAAAAGCCAUUUCCGGGUCUUCCAAUGCAAGAGCCAGUCUUGCUGCAUUUGUAAAAGUAGCCUCACUCGGAGCAACUUUAUCAAUAAUCAUCUGCUGAAAAAUCUCAAACCCCCUUUUGUAAUACAAACUAGAGGCAUUUGCAUCAACCACAUUUCCAUUCAAUUUGACAGAAGAACCAGAAGAACACAAAUAGAGCAGCACACUGUAGUGGUGUUGGUUAAGCUGCACCCCAUUAGUUCGAGCCUCAUCAUACAAGUGAAGAGCUUGAACAACAUCACCAUGCUUCGAGCACAUAUCUAAUUUUAGUUUAAGGACUCCCUCAGGUGAUUCCUGUCGUGCCUUCCUCUUUGAUUUGUUUGAAACUUUAUCCAUAGCCAGUGCAGAGGAUUCAUGAACCUUUGGUGUUGUAGAGAGAGCAGAGCAGCAAAGAUGGGCUCUUCUGUCCAUAGGGAGAUCAUAGGCUUGAAUAUCACGAACUGGUUUGGCAAAUAAGUAACUGUGGUAAUGGAGAAGUGGCCGGUGGAAAGCGAGGGAACUAUUUCGAAAAACUGACAGUAAUGGCAUUUGGACGAAAAAUGAGAAAAGAGGAGAGUUUCUAUUAAAAGAGGGAGCCAAAGAGCUUCCACGCAGCAUCACUAACAAAUACCCAUUCCAGUUGUAUUCACAAAAGCACAAAUUAUAAUUGAGAGCAACUGCUAAGCUGUUUCAUCUGCAAGCAGUAUCAAUACAUAUAUACACAGUUAAAAUCAAAGCAAUCACUUUAGACAACCAUAAAUAUUUCUCUCCAUUUGCAUGAAGAAAUCAAUAAAAUUUUAUAUAACUUGGUCGAUAUGAAAACAACAGCUAAGCAUUAAUCCUAUACUAAUUGACAUCGACUAUAUGGAUCCUUUUCGCCAUUUAGCUUUUUUAGAUACUUAGUUUGCAUCAAUAUCCAAAACAUGUAACCCCUUUCACUCCCCUCCACAUUAUUUUAGAUCUCCCCCCUUCCCCUCCUCCUUCCCUCCUUACUUCCUAUAAACUUAUCAUACUUUCAUACUAGGGCAUUUCAUGCUCUACAUUGGACAUGACCAAACCAUCUUAAUUGACCCUCUCUCAUUUUAUCUCCAAUAUGUUCUACAACAUGCAUCUUUUGACAGAUGUGCUGCAUGAUAUGGGAUCCUUUUGAUAUAACUCGGUCUAUGCCUACAUUUAAAUUUUACUGUUAGUCUCAUUUCUGUCCAGCACAACUAUUUUUGUGCUUUUCCAUUGGUAGUAUGUAAAGACAUAGCUUAACAAUAAUAUUACUGGUACCGUUGUAAUAAUUUCUAUAUUUUCAGAUGCCUUGUGUUGUGGUUCUAUCAUUGGUCAUGUUGUGUCCAUUCCUUUCAGCAUCAGAGGGAAUGGGGACAAGUAGCUUUUGCAGUUAUUAGCUAGAAGUUCAUAAAGGAAAAUCAAGUCCUUAGACUUAUCAAAUUAAGCAGCAAAAGGGGUAGUUAUAUGAAUUCCCCCCNNNNNNNNNNNNAAAAAAAAGGAAAGAAAAAGGAACAAGCGCUCCAAGGUCAUAAAGUAGCUAUCUAUCCCUGCUCUAUUCUAUCCCAUAGACCAAACGAAGCCUAUACAUGCACGUACUGAUAUGACACUCUGCAAUCCCCUGAGAUAAUUUCACAUGAGAAUCAGGAAUCUGAAUGUCUUCAAGCUUUCAAUUGGUUGUUACCAUUACACUGGAUUAUCAGAGGCCGAAAACUUACCAUUGCAGUUCCUACAUCUUAACAACAAAUAAUAAUAAAAACAGCAUCAACCAAAAAGCCAAAUACCUGAUUAUAGAAACUAAUCAAAACUAAGGAAGUUAAUUCAGCUUAGUUUCCAUUCUCCAAUUUACUUCUCCGAAGAAGAUAGAAAGCAGUUGUCCUCGCUAAGUUUGAUCAACUCUUGUAAAGGAAUGGACGACCCAAGUAUCCUGCAGACAUCGACACCGGAAAUGGAAAGUAAUUAGCUUUUGGCAAGCCAAAAAAAUCAAAAUUUUUCCGUUUUGGUUUUCCAGCCUAUUCAUCCAUUGAAUUAAAAAAAAAAAAAUGCAAAUGGGUGCUCGUAGGCAAAUCCGAUACAAUAAGAUUGAAGAUUGAAAACACCAGAACAUCAACUAAUCAUGUACCUGGAAUAAAUAAAAAUGGUGAAGAAGGACGAGGAGAAGAGUUUCUUUACAGCCGGAAGAAGAUAGGAGAGAUUGAGGGCAUGAAGCUAAAUGAUGUUAAGAGUAUAAACUCAACCCCACACACAGAUUCAGUUGCAGAAGAAUGAAGCACAGCAAUUUCUUCUUAUGAUGGCCAAAAGGCUGCGACUUUAUACUCAGAUUGUGAAGGGCGGGCGGGAGAGUGGAUAAAGGAAAGAGCAAUGGUUCCAGUCAGGGUAGAGGGGAACGGCAAAUCACGCCCCAGCAAUGAUCCCUCGGAAAUAAAUAUAAUAAACAAAACUAUUAUUUAAUUUAGUAAUACAGCAUUUUUUUUUUUUUUCAAACAGCUGAGACUAAAUCCAUUAUCGUAAAAUGUUGUUAGUGAAUAUUUAUUUUAUAAUAAUUAAAUUUUUUAUAUGGCUCAAAAAUAAAGAGUAUCAAAUUAAUUAUUUUAAUAUUUAUUAAUAAUAAAAUUAAAAAAUAUAACUAAUUAGAUUCUAUAUAACAUAAAAAUUAAAUAAUAAUUUCUCAUAAAAAAUAUAUUUAUAACAAAGUGUUAUACUCUAUUGAAAUUACUUAAUUAUAUUUUAUAUAUUAAUUAAAAUAUUUUUAUAUUUCACACGACCAAAGUUUAAUAUUUAUAUUUCUGCUAAAUAGAGCAUUAAUUAAACUAUUAUGAUUAAUUAUAGAGACAAAUAAUCUAUAUUUUAAUAUUAAAAUAAAAUAAUUAACACAUGAUUAAAAACUUAAUUUUAUAAAGUUGUGAUGAUAUAUAUUUUCUAAAUAAUUAUGAUUUUUUUUUUUUUUUUUGGCUAAGAUAAUUCAUGCCCAGUACAGAGAGUCCAAAAAAGGACUAAAAAUUACAAAGCAAGGUGAAAUAGAAGCUCCAAAGCCUUAGCCCACAUUUCGUACAGCCAAAGACCCAACAAAAACAAAUCCUAAGAACUUAGACCAAGUUAUGACCCAAGAACGAUACCCCAAGCAAAGAGCGUAGUGUCGCCGCCGCACUCCUUCCAAUCGUUUGAGGAAGUUUCACCGCACCGUAACAGAAUUCUAAUAAAUCGAAGAUUAGAGAGACACCAACCAAAAAUAGUAAACUUCUCCUAGCCACCUAGAAAACAACAAGGAGUAGAAUUUCAAGAGAGAGGCUAGCAUAAAGCAUGUUGGAGAACCGAAAAAAACAGAGCUCAUUAAGAACCGGACCAAUCCAAACAACCAGCAGGCGCCGUUACUAAAUUCUCAAGACCGUUUCUCCAUUUGGCUUAUAGACCUUUAUAUAUAUUGUCAGCUAAAUUUUCAAAAAAAAUAAGUUUUGCAUGCAAUAAAUUCCGAAAAGAGGAAUCACCUGCAACAAACACAACACCAAUAAGCCAAGAAAAGUAAGAAAAAUACAAAAAGAUAACAGAUCUAAAAGAAAACUUUCACAUUCAAAUAUCAAGAUUUACACAGUAACAACAAAAAACAGAUCUAAAAAAAAGACUCUCACCUUCAAACAUCAAGAUUUACACAGUAACAACAAAAGCAAAAUAAUAUAUAUAUAUAUUCUACGCGAUAAUAAAAAAAAAUUUAUUAUUAAGCGUGAUAGAGAAAACUAACGGUCCAAUAAAAAAUUUAAAAAAAAUCUUAAAAGAGAAUAUAAAAUUACUGGAGAAAAGUCUCUCUUUAUUUUUUAGAGAGACGAUAAUAUAUAAAUAAUUAUGGUUGUUACUAAAUAAGUUGUUGUUAUUCACCAUAAAUACUACUUAAAAUUAAUUUUUUAUUAAAAUCUAUAAUUUUCAUUAUUGUUAUUAUCUCAUUUAUAUUAACAAUAAUCAUUCAUAUUAGUAUUUAUAAAUUUAAUUUGAUAGUAAAUGUAUAUCUGAAAUUCUACACUUUCGAUUUUUAAUUUAUAAUUCAAAAAAAAUAAAUCAUUCAUAUUAUUACUUUAUAUUAAUUUUUAUAGUAGUAAAAUUAAUAUUUUUUAAUAUUUUUAUUGUUUAUUUUAAUGUUUAUUAUAGCAUCCUGAAAAAAUAAAAAAAAUAGAUAAUUAAUUUUAAGAAAAAUGUAGGUAAGUGAAAACAUUAGUUAUGUAUGUCACAAGAGUGAAAUAGAAAGUAAGGAGAUUUACCUUAAUUUUAAUGGAAAUUAGAGAAAAAAUAUUUAUUUUUGAGAAAAAAUUAAAAAAAUAAUUAUAUUUCAAAAAUUUUGAAUUUGAGACAGGAGAAAGUGUUAAAGCAAUCUGCAUCAUUCCUAAAUAAGAUAGAUAAAUUUAAAAUUAUGCUUAAAUAAAUUAAUUAAUAAUAAAAUAUAAUAGAGUUUAAAUUAUAAUAUUGAUUAUAUAUAUUUGACUAUAAAAAAUAAAAAAAUAGUAAUACAAAUAUUUCACUAUUGACUUGAAUCAAAUGCAUAUUUAAAUAUUUGACUCAAUUUAGAGUGAAUUUUGACUCUAUUUAUUGUUUUUAUUUUAUUUUUAAAAAAAAUUCAAGUUUUUAGAGAAUACAAAUAUUCAAAAUUAAAUGUAAUUUUCAAAUAUAUUUUCAAAAAUUAAAGAAAAGGCAUUAUUUUUAUAAGUAAAUGGAUAUAUAAUUGUGAAUAAAUUAUAUAAAUAUAUUAUAUUUAUAAAAUAAAUUAAAUAAAUAUGUUAUAAUCUUUAUAUUUUAUUUUAUAUCAAUUAAGAUAUAGUAUAAUUAUAUUAAGUAUAUUAUAAAUUAAUAUAUAAAUAUAUUUAAAUUAACACAGAAAUAUAUUAUUAUUUAUUAUAUUCACUAUGACAAAAUCUUAUAUAAAUUAACUUUUAGUGAAGAUUGAAUUUUAUACAAUUUAUUUUUUUUAUAAAUAUUAUUAUAUUAAUUUGUUGUAUUUACAGUCUUACAAAUAUUUUACUUGUAAGAUAAAAAUAAAUUGUAAAUAACAACCAGAGGAAUGGUUAAAAAUUAAAGAAAUUUAAAAAACUGAAUGAUAAAAUUAAAAGAGUUAAAAUAAAUUUAAAAUUUAAAACUAAAAUUAAUUAUAGAAUUUCAAAACCCUAAAAGUAAUGGUUAAAAACUAAAGAAAAAAAAAGGUGAAGAUUUAAUAGGAUAUUUUGUUUUAUUUUAUUUUUUAAUAUUUUGAUUAAAAAUUAAAGAUAAGUAAAAUUAAAGUUAGUGAUUUUAAAGUAUUAUUUUUAUAUUUUCAUAAAAGUAAAAUCAAUUUUUUUUAUAAUUUAUAUAUUUUUAAAUUAAAUCAAAGUUAAAAUCAUAAUACUAAUUUAAUAAAAAUUAAGGGAAAAUAAGCAAUUAAAAUUUUAGAACUAAAAGGUGAAUGAAUUAAUAUUUAGUAAGAAUUGUCAACUAACUUUGAAAAAUUAUUCGAAUCCAAAUUUCAAAAUAAUUAUUUUUUAUUUUUUAAUUCUUAAAUUUUAAAUUUUUUUUCUUAAAUUAUCCAAACAAAUAUAGUAUGUGCAUUUCUAAAUUUAAAACUUAACUUCCAUAAAAAAAAAAAAAAAAAAAGUUACUAUUUAUCUGUCAUUCCUUAUACAUCAGAUAUAUUUUAUAAUUUAUUAAUUUUCUUUCGAAUAUAAAAAAUAGUAUGAUAUACAUUAUUUGUUUAAAUAAUAUUUUGAGAAAAAAAGAAAAUAAUUAUUUUAAAAUUUUUAUUUUUAUUUACAUUAUUAUAAAUAAAUGGGUUAAGUUAUUUAUAAAAAUAAAUUCUAAUGUAAAGUAAAUCCCAACUUGCAAUUAACCUUUACCAUGUAAGCUAUUUUUUAGCUAAGUGAUUUAGUCAAAUUUUAAUAAAAGAUAAAUGAUGUGUGAUUAUUUAAAUAUAUAAUUAAUAAAAUUAUUUUUGAAUAAUGUUACAUAAUUGAAAUAUUAAAAUCAAUAAUAUCAAAAAGCAAAUAGACCUGCCAAAGAAAGUUCACCAAUGAGGUGAUUGUGUUGCUAGGUCAAUGGUGAUACUGAGAGGCUAUAAGGAGGUGAUUGUGUUGCUAGUUGAGAGAAGGUAAAUGGUGAGAAUGGCAUUGAGGCUUUUGAUUUUGGGGAUAAUAGGACCUUCGAGACUGCUUUGAGAGUAAAUAGAAACAAACAAGAGUAGAAGAUAGUUGGGUUUGGUGGGAGCAUUGGCGGAUGGAUAGCAGAGGUAGGGAGCGAGGGUUGAGAUGGCCAUCGUGGGCCUGUUGAUUGAAAAUGUAAGUAUGGGUUUCGGGUAUUGAUGGGGCAGAUGGAAGAUUGAAAUAGAGGGGACAAACGGCUGGAGCUCAAGUCUUUUGGGAAAGAAAACUCACGUCGGAAACAAGAAAGCUGAUUUGAUUAAUUUUCAGAGUAAUUCUCAAUUUUUUCUCCAGGUAAUUAUAGAUUUUUAAGCCCUAAAAUGAAUUUUUUGGAUUGAAAGCAAAGAAAAAGGAUGGAUUAAAUUUUAAAGUACUAAUUUUUUUUUCAAUUUAAAUUUUAUUCUUAUUAAACGAGAGAGUGAAUAUUAAAAGGUACAUUUUUAUUUUAAUAAAUUUUUAUUUAUGUAAUAAUUUUAUAAAAAAAUUCAAAUGAUUCAUGAUUUUAUUUGAUAGGAUUAAUUUUAUAAAAAAAGAAUUCAAAUGAUUUCUUAUCAAAUCAUUCAUAAUUGUAUAGAAGUAAAAGUUAAAAUUAUUGAUUUUAAAUGGUAGAUUAUGACUAAAAAUUAAAAACAUGAUUGGAUUAAAAGUGUUAAAAUAAAUUUAAAAUUUAAAAUUUAAAAUUAAAAUUAAUGGUGAAGAUUUAAUAAGACAUUUUGUUUUAUUCAAUUUUUUAAUAUUUUGAUUAAAAAUUAAAGAGACUUAAAAUUAAAGGUGGGGAUUUUAAAAUACUAUUUUUAUAUUUUCAUAAAAUUAAAAUCAAUUUUGUCUUUUUAUAAUUUAUAAUUUUUUUAAAUUGAAAUUAAAGUUAAAAUUAAAAUAUUAAUUUAAUAAAAAAUUAAGGGAAAAGAAAUUAUUAAAAGUUUAGAAUUAAAUGGUGAAUGUAGAUAAAAUUCAAUUAAUAUUAAGUAAGAAUUGUCAAUUAACUUGAAAAAAUUAUUAGAAUCCAAAUUUCAAAAUAAUUAUUUUUUAUUUUUAGUAUUUUUCUUAAAUUAUCCAAACAAAUAUAGUAUCUACAAUGUGCAUUUCGAAAUUCAAAACUUAACUUCCAUAAAAAAAAAAAAAAAAAAAGUUACUAUUUAUUUGCCAUUCCUUAUUCAUUAAAUAUAUUUUUAUAAUUUAUGAAUUUUCUUUUGAAUAUAAAAAAUAGUAUGAUAUAAUUAUUAAUGAAAAAUUACAUACAUUAUUAGUGUGAAUAAUAUUUAAAAAAAGAGAAAAUAAUUAUUUUACAAUUUAUUUUUGUUUACAUUAUUAUGAAUAAAUGGGGUUAAGUUAUUUAUAAAAACAAAUCACUUAAUUUUUUUAAUAGUGAAAUUUUAAUAAAAGAUAAAUGAUAUGUAAUUAUUUAAAGAUAAUUUAAAUAUCAUUACAUUAAAAUUUAUUAUUAAUAAAAUUACUUUUGAAUAAUAUUACAUAAUUCAAUAAUAUCAAAAAAAAGUAAAUAGAUUAAAGACCUACCAAAGAAAGUUAACCAAUGAAAUUGUCUUUCUAAUUAGACUUACCAAAUAUUGGGGGCUAAAAUGCUCUAUAAAUUAAGAUUAUUUUGUGUAAAUUUAUAUAAAUUAAUGUACAGAAAAUGAAGAUGUUGGGAUUUUUAUGUCCUUAUGUCGCAGUGGUGAUUUAUCUUAUGUUUGUUGUGGAGAUGUCGAGUCACAGCAGCCAUGGAUGGGAGUUAGCUCAUGCAACUUUUUAUGGUGGCAUGAAUGGAAGAGAAACCAUGGGUACGUAAAUUUCACUUACUUAGCGAAUUUGAUUUAUAUGUAUUUUUAAUGAUUUAAUUUUUUUAAUUAUUUUUUUAUAUAUCGAAUUUAUUUUAUGGUAAAUGAAUUAAAUAGGGGUUCAUAUUUUUUUUUUAGAUAAUUUAUAUUCUUUUUAUUAUUUUACGUAUUAAGAAAUGUUAAAUCAAUCAUGUGUUUUUAAUAUUUCCUGAAAAAAGAAUCAUCCAAUAAUGGCUCUUUAUUUCUCCAGUAAAGAGAGAGGUUACUAAAAAAGCAAUACUCAAAGAAGGAUAAUUUAUAAUUUAAUUGUUAGACUUGAUAGAAUCCAAAAUUGAAUCACUACUCUUUUAAUAAGAAAUAAUUUAAUUAUUAAAGUUUUAUUUUUACUAAAAAAAAUAGUUGGUUUAUUAAAAUUUAUUGUUAGAUUAUUCUAAUAUUUAUAAUAAUUUAAUUAUUUUAAUUUGAAUUGACUUUUUUACUUUAUGAUUGAUUAAUCGUAAAUAUAAUAAAAUUAUUAUUUUAUUAAAAAAAUAAAAAUUCAUGAACUAAAUUAUUUUAUACUAAUAAUUAGAGAUUAAAUUAUAUAUUUUGUUAAAUGUUAAGUAUUAUACUAUAAAUUACCUUAAAAAUAAUCUACAGAAAAUUUUUCAAGAACUAACCCCCUAAAUUGAAUUUCUGUAUAACACAAAAAAAUUUCAUUUUUCAGAGGGUGCUUGUGGAUAUGGAAAUCUAAUCAAACAAGGGUAUGGUCUAGCGACAACAGCACUAAGCACAGCCCUAUUCAACAAUGGAUCCACCUGUGGAGGCUGUUUCCAGCUACAAUGCACAAAUUCGUCUUGGUGCAAGAAGGAUGCUCCAGACAUAAGGGUCACUGCCACCAAUUUCUGCCCUCCAAACUACACAAAAACAACAGACGUCUGGUGCAACCCACCCCAGAAGCAUUUCGAUUUGUCUCUCCCAAUGUUCUUGAAAAUUGCAGAGUACAAAGCUGGCAUAGUUCCAGUGCGUUUCAGGAGAGUCGCGUGCCAUAAGCAAGGAGGAAUUCGAUUUGAGCUCAAGGGAAAUCCUAAUUGGUUGUUGGUGCUGGUUUAUAAUGUUGGAGGAGCUGGGCGAGUUGUUGAUGUUAAAAUAAAAGGCUCUAAGACUAGAUGGCUACAAAUGACGAGAAAUUGGGGUCAGAAUUGGCAGACUUGGGAAAGUUUACAAGGGCAGAUAUUGUCUUUCCAAGUGACUGCUAGUGAUGGUAGAAUGGUGCAAUCUAAUAAUGUUGCACCAGCUAAUUGGCAAUUUGGCCAAACUUAUCAAGGUAUAAAUUUUAGGUGAGGUAAUUUAAGCUUUGCAAUUAAAAGGAGAGAAUACUUUACUAUCUUAUUGAAUCAUUGGAAUAAUUGACGAUUGUACCAUUGGAUUAUUAGGAUUUUUCUUUUUAAUAAAAUCUUAGGAUUCAAAACAUUUAAUCAAUAUAUCUUAAUCAAACACUAUAAUUGAUAAUAAAAAGUUAUAGUUUAAUCAUGUCGAUACAAUGAAAAGAAAUUUAAAUUCAUAUUUAAAUUAAAAAUAAAUAUUAGUUAAUACAUAUUCUCAUUCCAUAAUUUUUAUUAUUUUUUAUAUUAUUUUAAAAUUAUUAUUUAUUAUUAUUUUUACACUAUAAUAAUAUAUAAAUCGAGUAUUACAAUAUUAUUUUAUUUUAUUUUAUUUAUAAAUUUUUGUUUAAAAUAUUUCCUAAUUUUUAAUAAAAUUUAAUAUCAUUAAGAUGAGUAUAAUUAAAAAAUCAAUAAAAAAAUUAUUUUUUUAUAUGUAUAAAAAAAUAAAGUAAAUAAAAUUAUAAUACAGAAAAAUAUAUAAUAUAAAAGAUUAUCUUACAUAUUAUAUAAUUAAUUAAUUAAAAAAUAAUAUUUCUUUAUAGAGUUUUUUUUUUUCCAACAAGUAGAUGUUUUAUAGAGAUAAAAACAAAAUAUAUAUAUAGACAUUAAAUUGUAUUCAUUUUAAUUAUAAAUAUAUUUAAUUCCAAAUUAUAUAUGUAAUUUACUAGUACAUAUUAUAUAAUUAAAAUAAUAAUAUUAUUUAAUAUAUUCAUAUUAAUAAUUAAUUCUUAAAGCUUAAAUGUGAUUUUCUACAGAAAUAAUUUUAUGAAACUAUUUUACCAACCGAACUUCAAAUUAGAAUUUGAAAAUAAAAAUUCAAUUGAAACCAAAAUAUGAAAAAAAAAAUAAUUGGAAUCAUUUUAAAUCGAUUUCAAUUCUUAAAUAAAUUCCCACCCAGAAAUAUAACAGAUACCACUCACGCCUAAAUUAAAGAGACAUAUUUCAAUUCUAUUAUAAUAAAAUUUUUAAGAGGUUUUGUACUAUUAGUAGGAUAGAGUUUCUUUUCAAUGAAUUGGCUGUUGAAGAAAUUUAAUCCAGGAUUUAGUUGGGGCAAUCAAGAAGCGGAGAAAAGAGAAAUAAAUUUAAUUUUUCUAAAUUCUCUUGUUUAGACAUUAACUAGAGGAGAAAAGAAAGAGAAAACAUAUUUCUCAAACUUCUUGCAUUUAGUCCAAAAUAUUUCUUUAAAUUGGUGGGAAAUGGAAAGAAAUGAAAAUUAAUUGUAUUAAAACAAUUAAAUACCUCACUAUUUUAAAGCCUCUAAUGCUAAGCAUCCAAACAAAGGGUUAGAGUAUUAAAUAGACCAGAAGCGGAAACUUGGGUUUCUUUAUCUAUUAGUGAGAUCACCAAGAUUUACUUUGCCGCAUCCUUGUUUGGCUCACACAGACAGAUGAUUAACCAUCAUUGACAUAUAUGAUGGUACAAAGAAUCAACAUUCUCCAAUUUUCCAUUUUACAUUGGACCUUAGAUUAUGAUUACAACAACAACAACAUAAUCUUUUUUCCUUCAUACUUAAUAUUAGUCCUAGCUGAAUUGCCAGCUCGCACCAUUUUCUGAGCUUGAAAAUGGUAAUUGUGACUGCGCACAUAAAUAUAUAUGUAUACAUAUAUCUCUACUAGCUAGGAGAUGGUGAAGUUGAGAUUUUCGAUCUGCCAUUUGGCGUCCAUGCAUAGAUAAACAAGCCCAAAACAAGGAUGAUGGCUCCUGCAACAAAGCCGGUUGGAAGGGAGGAUGCAACACCAAGAUAUGGCAGCGGCAACGUGAACACAUAUACAGAGAUUGGCACUGCCAUGCAAACCCAAGAGAAGAUUCAUCAAUUGGGUUAACUUGGAAAGGCUUAAAUCAACAAGAGGAAACAUGAUAUUUUUAUAAAAUAAGCUCACUCCCUGAUAUCCUCAGUGAGCAAACUGCAAAUCAACCUUUUGAACAACAAAAUAGGUAGGUAAGAGAAAAGAAUCAUGUCAACUCAUUAAGCUCUCAGCUCAUUUCUAGAAGUGCUCAGUUGAGAUAUGUGUCAUGGUCACUAGGCAAAACAUAGUGUUGUAUGGUUAGACUUCUAUGCAUAAAAGCUAAGGAAAUAGGAAAAACUGUCAUUAUUUUAGAGUUCCCAAGUUUGUGCACUGCAGUCUGCAGAGAUCCCGCAGAGCCAAACUUUCCCUCAACGUGUCUGAAAUAUCACUACCAUAAUAUGAAACAACGGAAUAUGAUUAAAAAUAAGAGACAGCAACAAAAGUUAUGCCCUCUUUUUUUAUGUAGGUAGGCCAAUAAUCAACUUAGUUGAAAUGUUAAUGAAUGAAUAACAGUAGAAUAUACUGCUAGCACGAUUGCAAUUUGCAAUAUGUUAUACAAAAGGAAAAUUUUACUUUAAUGGAUUAAAAAUGACAUACCUGAAAAUGUUGAAGCAAGGGAAGAUACAACAGCGGAAGAAAUCUUGAGGAGGUGCAGCAAUGAUAUGUUAAAACCCAUGUUGACAAGAACAAACAGCAAAGGCAGCAGAGGCGCACCAUCACAUCCUGUGGACAGCCAAAUUUAAAAGGAAUCAGAUGCAAAAGCAUUGAGGCCUAAAAUCUACAGUAACUUAAUUAUAAGACUAAAAACAAAAUAGUAUAGCAGAAAGAGGAGCAACUCAACCAUUACCUAUUUGUCCUUCUUUCAAAACCUAACUCUAGAUAACAGUAGGUUAAGAGCAACAGGGCCUUGAAAUUUAAAUUGUAUAUUAGUACCAAAUUAAUUGUGCAUUCUCGCUGGAGUUUAACUUAGUCAUCCUACACAUUUCUCUACUUCCAUAUGCUUAAAAUCUUUCACAUUACUAUUCCCCUGCCACUUACAUGAGUUUCUUGAUUUUACAUAAAAAAUUCAAUUAAACAUCCAAAUAUUCAAAAAGGAGUAAAGCUUAACAUGCAUUAAAAGACACAUCAAUAUAUCAUCAGAGAUCCAUGUGAAAAGAAACAAAUAAUUGUUCGGGCAUACUAGCAUUGCAAACACAUAGAAGGCACUGUUAGGUGUUUAAAGCACACAUUUUUUGACUUUUCAAGUUUCAACAUUGUUCCUACUGCAAAACUCUACCCCGCAUGUGAUUUUAUUUACAGGAGUGUACCAACUGAGAAACAGUCUCCUUAUCUUUUGAUCGAGAAACCCUUAACAUCUCCAUCGAUUGGUCCAUUUCAGUACUAUCAGGUCUAGCUUCAAUUCCAGCUUGUCGUCUUCAUUCUUCAGUUGAUUCUCCAUUAUUAAGGAAAUUAGGAAGAACAAGAAGAGAAUUUCAAGAAAGAAGGAAUUUUAUUCUAGAACUCAAGAAAUAAAAAAGAAGGAACAAUUUCUUUUUCUCUGGAAAUAGAGAACACGAAAGAAGAAAAACAACACAAAAGAAAAUAUUGUUUCCUGAAGAGAUUUUUGGAUUUGUCAACUUCAAACCCCGAAAACAGGGUUCCUUUCUCAUGAACCAAUAAAAAAACAUAGAAAUAAGAAUUUCAAGAAAGGAAGGAGGAGGAAAAUAAUAGAAAUAAGAGCAAAAGACCCUGAUUUAAAGCAAAGCUUCUCCCAGAAACUCCAGCAACAGAUUUAGAGUAAAACACACGUUGGUGCAGAACUCUGAUACCACUUGUUACUUACUAGAUCUGCAGAAGAAAGAGAAGGAAGAGGGACAGAAGGAAAAGAAGGAAGGAAGGUGAAACAGAAGAAGAAGAUUGAGAAAGGAGAAAAGUGGAGGGAAGAGAGAGAGAGAGAGAGAGAGAGAGAGAGGGAGAGGGAAGGAGAAAGAGACGGAUUAGUUAUUGUAUUUUGAAUUCUUGAUUACCUAACUCUUACAAUCCAUCCUCUAUUUAUACAGUAUGUUCUCCUAUACAUUUCCGUAGAUCCUGUUGUCUUAUUAGUCAUUACACAAUUCAAUUGCAUUACUACAAGCUAGCGCAUAGUUUUCAAGCUUGCCAAGACGAAUACUGAAACAAACUCAAAGAAAAAUGUAAGAAAUAAUAAAUUAAAGUUAUCAACUCUUUUUGGAGAGGAAAUCAUAGCUUACCACUUGAUAAACUACCAAUGUUUAGAAAACAAACUGCCCCAUCUUUGAGAUAGCUUGGAAGCUGACUAAAUGGUAUACCCCAUAAUUUUGACAUGAAAGGAAGAAGAAGACAUACAAACAGUGCCUGCAGAAAAUAUAGGUAGAAUAUGCGGUAAUCAAAUGCCAUAAAUAUAAAUAGAAGCAUAAUUUUAUUAUUUAAAUUCACUGUAAGGUACCUACUUGGAAAGCAGAUCCAUAGGAAUUUACAACGAACAGAUCCACUGAACCUCCCUGGAAUUGAUGGGACAGCAUCAUCUUAAUACAUCAUGAAAAUGUAAAAUGAAAAGUAAAUAGAAUUUUUUAUGUAGCUAGGCAGUUUUCAGAAUCCCCAUAAAAGGUUAAUUUUCUUUUGCUCAAUCCUGGUGCGCUUGUGCAGGACGGUUUUUCAACUUUUACAUACAUGUUCCUCCCCCCCCCCCCUUUUUACGAGUUGAUAUCAACUCUUCAGUUUUUUUCUAGCCUAGAAUAUUCCACAGUCCAUAUGAUAGUAAGAAUCCAAAUGGAAUCCCUUCGAAAUGACAACUCACACAAAUCAGUUUGUGUAUCACAUUUGCCAAAACCUUUGAGACUCCGGCUCUUCAUUUUUCCAUGCCGUUCAACGUGAUACGCAUGGCACAUGACAUGGAGUAUGUGUAGGACACAUAUUUAUGUAGUCAGACAUGAGUUACAAAGAUCUCUAAAAACAAAAGCAACAUCAAUAGAGCACUAUUUUCUCUCAUGAUGAAGAGCAUGGAUAACAAAGUAAUUGCCUUUUUUUCAGAAAAUAGUUAUUUGAUUUAUGUAUUUGAUGAUCUACUGGAGCCCCUAUCAAAUUUAGAUCCAUAUCCUUGUAUUUUCUAUUUGAAAAAUUGACAAGUAAAAUACAAGGAUAUGUAUCCAUUUUUAACACUUGUACCUGAGAUCUGAGUAACAUAGCCUAAAACAAACCCGAACUUCUAAAAAGUGAUACAAUUUUGAAAUUUCAUCAUCAUUAUUUGUUGGGGAUCACAUCUGUAGUCAAAAUCCAUUCCCCCACUAAAAUAGAAAAGUUUUAGUCAAAUGAAAUAGAUGUUGUAUAAUCACUUCAUUUUUGGAGUGAUUACUCAUCUUGGCAAUUAAAUAUUUACUCCAAUUCUUGGAAUGUACCUUUAACUGCCGAGCAGCAUCCAGAAAAAUAAACUCCUACAGAUUAAGAAAUUCACGUUGUUGGCAACAGCAAUACAAGUUUAGAAAUCUUCAAGUGCAAAAGCUGCUAAGAAUUCUAACCUUCAGUACUGUAUCAGCCGCUUGCAAUAGAAAAGAGAAUAUCAUCAGAAGACUCCAAAAUAUGCCUGCAUCCUUGAUUGAAUGACUGGCACUAGAUCCACUGCAAAGUACACAUAGCCACGCAUAUCAAUUGUCAGCAUCAUGUAGAACGAGUCAUAGAAUAAUUUUGAUAAGUUGUUAGGCUUUUGGUUGAUUGACUUACCAUCAACAUAACCAAAAACCAUAAUUAUAGUUUGUUAUCAUAUUGAAACUUGUUACAAUUUUAAAAAGUAGAUCACUUAAAACCUUAAUUAUUAACAGUUAUGGAUGAGAGAUCAUUUCAAAUGUGAAAAAACUAUGAAUUUGAAAGGAACUCUAAACAGAGAGUUAAACAAUCAACUCGAUUUCCUAGUCACCAAUAUGAAGGGAAUACAAAGACUUCUUUUGAUUACCAUAUGGAGAGCAAUGCAUACCUAUGUGGCUAAUUUAAAGACAAUUUUUGCUCAUUUACUAAGAUAAUCAAAGAUUUGUUCAGGUUUGAUCUUAUCCUCCUCUUUUUUCUUCCUCUUUUUUCACACUAGUGCCCGAGAGAAUGGAAGUACAACAAAUAAAAAGAUAUGAUUUAGCUGACAUCUAACCAAUUCAACCACUAGAAAAGAAUUGUACAUUAGAGAUUGUACACAAUCCAGCUUCUGGGGCAAAAAAACCAAAUAUAUCAUAUGUCCUUUCAUAUUUUUUAAGGCCAAAUAAUAGGAUCAUAUGUGACGAAAGUAAGCUUCAAUUAGCUUUGGAGCUUCUCCCAGUACAUAACUGUCCCAUGCCUUCAGUUCAUUUUCUUAGCAAUAGGCAGUUACAAAAGGGUAGACAAUGCUGUUUUGUUGGUAGCAUUCACAACCUUAGAUUCAUCUCCUUGUUCAAAUGUAGGCAAAAGCAUUCUUAGAGGUUUGGUUUAUGAUUAUCUUAGUCUACAGUAUUCAAACUCCUUUUUCAAAAAAAAAAACACAUUUUAUAUUGCUUAUUCUCUACCUAUUGUUUUUUUGCAACUGACUUGCUAAAAUUAAGGUUUCAAGUCUUUUCUUGUUAGUUUCCUCAUAACUAAGAGGAAGGGAGAAAGGAAAAACAAGAAGCAGGCAAGCAACACAAGUUGUAUAUGUUGCAAAUAAGUUAUGAUUUGUAAUCGUAAAUAGAUUUUAUACCUCUUCACUUUGAUUAAGGAAAGAUUUAAGUAUUCAGCCACAGAACUCAUAAAUAUAAGCCCAAUAUCAUAAUAAAGUGUCUCUAACAAUGAGCUCACCUUGCUACAGUUAUAAUCACGCCAAUGGCAACAAGGAAGCAUCCAAGUAGCUGAUUGACUUUAUAUCUCCUCCCAAGAAAAGUAAUUGACAAGAGAAUCUGCCAAACAAGAAAGGUCUGCAGAAGAAGAAUAUACAAAAUUAACUAUCCAAUGUCAGUUCUAAUUUUUUUGUUAUUUCAUCUUUUUCUUAAAAAAAAUAAGAGGAGAAAAGGAACACGCAAAUUUCCUUAUGAUGUAUUAGUGCAUAGUAUCAUGAUCAUUUUUUCUCCAUUGAGGAGCAUAUUUGACCUUGGCUACACAAUGUGAUGAAGCCUUCACCUCUCUAUAUCUUAGCAACAACCUUCCUUUCAAAGGAGUAGCUGGCCUAGGAAUUUGACCCAGAACUUCUUUGCACCAAUAAUACGUUUAUUUUGAGGCACCAAAACCAUAAAUCUAGUAAUUUUCUCAUUUGCUUUACAUAAGCAUAGCAAAAUAACUAAAAGAUGUCAUAGACAAGUGAACCUAAUAUUAACCAAGAGGUGAAAAUGGAAGGUGCGAUCACUGAAUGUUUCAUACCUGAGAUAAAAUUGGAAUUGAUGCUCCAGAAAGCAUUGCUGAUUCAAGGCAGGCAACAACAAAGAAUAUGCACAAGAUUCAGCAAAAUCUUGAUAUAAAAGGCAUUAAAUAAUUGUUUUCACAACCAUCAUAAAAAAAUAAUAAUAAAUAACAGUCAAAAUCUCAAAGAAAUUUUUUUUUUACACACCUAAAAAUUCAUAAGGUUCAAAAGAAGUAAAAUAAGAAAAGAUCCUCAGAAAGCUACAACAACCCCACUAAAACAAAAACUCCAAAUACAGUGACAAAUAUGUUUUUCAGUAUGUAUACAAUAAUUGACGUUUAAUGGAUCACAAACAAGUAAUUUCAAUUUCAAGCCAGCUGUGAAAAUGGACUAAUAAAAAAGAGGCAACCUGCUUUUCUUUAAUACAUAGGAAGCUUUCAGAGAGGGUGCCAAUGAUUGAACCCCUAAUUUCAUGGAUUAUAAGAUAUGCACUUGACCCUAGUGGCAAGUCGCUUACUGUGGAAGAAUGAAAAGUCAUAGUCGACAUGCCUUAAUUUAGAAAACGAUAAUCCAUAGCAUGCCUUAAUUCAGGAAAGGAUAAUGCAUUAAGCAUAUUAGAUGGAAUAUUCUAGAGCUACGUUAGCAUGUAAGCUUCCCACUAACAUGCCUUGGAUAGAAGCAUCACGGAAGGAAUGGUUUAAAUAAAUCCAAACAAUAUCUGAGGUAGUGAAUCAUCAGAAUUCAGUACCAUAUUGCCAUUAAAUUUUAGAACUCCAGAAUCCUUUUAAAACCCAGUGAAGCAAAGAAAAUGAAAAAAGAUGGGAAUGAUGAGACUUAAAGGUAUGUUUGGCAUUAUUGUUGGACCGCUAGUGAGAAAGCACUUCUCUAAAUAUAGUCGUUAGAGAGUACUAAAAGAUCAUUUAAAUUAAAUUUGAUAGCUUUGUCAAGAAGAAUACUAAAUCAACAAAAUAACUUUCCAAACUGUUUUUUUUUUCCACAGCAUUUAUGAAGAAUUUUAGGAGAAAUUUUUUAUUUUAUUCCAAUUGAAUUGAUCUUAGGUUUGAGUAUUUAUACACAAAAAAUCAAACUAAAUUAAAAAUAUUUAUAAUAAGAAUAAAAUCCCUAUAAUCAAGCCUAAUUAGGAUUCCAAAGAUUUAAAUCCUCCUAAUCAUAAUUAAGAAACUUCUAUAUUGGUCAACACUCCCCUUAAGUUGAUACAUAGAUAUCACAAGUGUCCAACUUGCAAACUAAGGUGUGAUAGAUCUUGUUGCUGAGCCCUAACUGUUUAUCGCGAUUCACAUGAUUUAAUCUCAAAACACCAUUUAUUAACUUUUCUUUAAUAAAGUGUCAAUCAAUCUCUACGUGCUUUGUUCGGUCAUAUUGAACUGGAUUGUGAACUAUACUAAUGGCAAUUUUGCUAUCAUAGUACAAAAUGAGUUUAUCCUCUCCAAUGGUUUCAAUUCCUCCAACAAUCUCUGCAACCAUAGGGAUUCACAAAAACUUUAUGUUAUCGCUCUAUAUUCCGUCUCAGAACUUGAUCGAGCAACAAGACUUUGUUUUUUGCUUCUCCAAGUGCCAAGGUUUCUUCCUACAAGUGUGCAAUAACCACUAGUCGACCUCCUAUCAUCAAGGAAUCCAGCCCAAUAUGCAUCUGUGAAUGUAUAUAUGUGGAGAUGACCACGUUUAGAGAAUAGGAGACCUUUUCCAGAAACAAACUUCAAAUAUCGCAAAAUGCGAAAAACAGCUUGCAUGUGAGACUCACGAGGAUCAUGCAUGAACUGACUGACUAAGCUGACUCCAUAUGCUAUGUCUGGUCAAGUAUGCGAAAGAUAAAUCAGUCUACCUACCAACCUCUGAUAUCUGUCAAUAUCCACUGAUUCUACCAACCUCUGAUAUCUGCCAAUAUCCACUGAUUUACCAAUUUCUGUUUGUAGCUUGUGAUUGCUCUCAAUGGUAGUUUCUGCUGGUUUGCAGCCUGACAUACCAGUUUCUUCCAAAAAAAUCCAAAAUGUAUUUUCUCUGAGAAAUGAAGAUUUUCUUCGUUGAUAUGACAACCUUGAUUCCCAAAAAAUAUUAAAGUUUUCCUAAAUCUUUAGUUUCGAACUCCUAAACCAAAAGCUUUUUCAGCUGAGUCAUCUCUUUAGUGUCAUCACCUGUCAUUACUAUGUUAUCAAUAUAAACUAUGAAAAGAGUAAUUUUACCAUUGUGAUGUCUGAUGAAUAAACUAUGGUCAACAUUGCUCUGUUGAUAGUCAAAUAAAAUCAUAGCUCUACUAAAUCGAUCAAACCAAACUCUCGGUGACUGCUUCAACCCAUAGAAAACCUUCUUUAGUCUGCAUACCUUUGCUUGUAUUUUUUCAUCAGCAAAUCCAUGAGAGAUUUCCAUAUGCACUUCCUUCUCCAAGUCUCCAUGGAGAAAUGCAUUUUUCACAUCAAAUUGGUGUAGAUCCCCGUCAAGAUUGGCAGCGCAAGAUAACAAUUCUCUGAUUGAGUUCAUUUUGGCAGCAGAGUCAAAUGUCUCCUGCUAGUCCACUCCAUAGGUUUGAGUGCAUCCUUGGCAACUAAUCUGCCCUUGAAUCUUUAAAUUGAUCCAUCUGCUUUGUGUUCCACAGUGAAUACCCAUUUACAGUCAAUUGAUUUGUUUCCAGAUGGAAGAGACAUCAAGUCCCAAGUCUCAUUUUUAGUCAAGACUUUCAUUUUUAUAAUCAUUGCUCCAUUUCAAUUAGAAUAUUUGAGAGCUUCCUUCCAAUUCUGUGGAUAGAUACAGGGGAAAUAGACAAGACAAAGACUCUAUAGAAUGGAGACAAAGAAUCAUAAGAGAGAAAGUUAGAAAUAGAGUGCUUUAUGCAAGACCUAACUCCUUUUCUUUGAAUAAUUGGUUUAUCUAGAUCAUUAAUGGGCUCAAAGUUUAGGAUGACUCACCAGAUGGAGAAAAGGAAGAUUCAUGACACUAAAUAGGUUGCACAAUAGCUUUUUCUGCUUCUGUGGUGUCUCUUCUUGAGUAUCUCCUUAAAUUUGAAUUGUCCAAACGGCUAAUUAUUAUCUUGUCCUGAUCACCAUUAGUCUCCCCUGUAUAGUAGUCUCCUCUAGAGUAAAACGCUCUAGAGUUAUAGGACUACGAAUCACCUCUUCUCUCUCAUUAUUCUCUCUCUGAAGAGGUGAUAGAGUAGUAUUAAAAUAACGUUUUGUUUCUCUAUACGUAACAUCCAUACUGACAAAAUAUUUUCGAGAUAGAGGGUGGUAACAUUUGUAACCCUUCUAUGUAGGAGAGUACUCAACAAAUACACGUUUAAGAGCUUUCGGAUCGAGUUUCCCACCUAUCCUAGUAUGAACAAAACAUGUACAUCCAAACAGUUUUGGUGUAACAGUAUAAGCAUUUUUCCCUUGUAGCACCUCUAAAUGGCUUUCAAAGGCAAGAACUUUGAAAGGCAUUCUAUUAAUGAGAUAAAUUGCAGUUAAGACUGCAUCUCCCCAAUAGGUAGGUUUUUGGAAGGUUCAUGGUGAAAAGGAGAGGUCGAGCUACUUUCAAAAUGUGCCUAUUUUUUCUUUCAGCAAUAUCAUUUUAGACACUAGUGUAACGACAACUAGUUUAAUGCAAUAUCCUUUUAGACUCCAAAUAAGCAGAAAAAGUCCAUCCAUGUACUCUGUGUCAUUAUUAGUUUUCAAAACUUUUAUCUUAAUAUCAAAUUGAGUACAAACCAUCUUAUGAAAAGAUCGAAAGCAAGAAAAUACAUCACUCUUUACCUUUAUCAAAUAAACUCGAGUCAUACGAGUGCAGCAAUCAAUAAAAGUAACAAAACAACGGUUAUUAGAUAGUGAGACCGUUUGAGUAGGUCUCUAAACGUCAGAAUGGAUUAUCAUAGAAGGGAUUGUACUCCUAUUGUUACUAGAGAGAUAAGAGGCUCUUGUAUGUUUAGCAUACUCACAAGCAUUACAAACUAAAGAAUCACAUUGAGCCUUAAAAAAUAAAUCAGGAUAAAAUUUCUCUAAAACAAAGAAGAAUGAGUGUCCUAACCAUCGAUGCCACUAUAUGAUUUCUUGGUUGACAUCCUGAUUUUUUCCAGAAAGAGCCCGAGAUGAAUUCAAAUUCAGAUUCCCUUUAUAUAUAUAUAAGUCAUCAUGCAGUCUACCAUAGUCAAUCCUCUUCCCACUUUAAAGGUCCUGAAUAACACAAUGAUUAGAAAAAAACUCAAAUUUAUGGUUAAGAGCUUUGAUAAGAGUACUAACAGAUAAAAGAUUAAUAGGAAAAUGAGGAACAUGGAGGACAUAUACAAACAAUCGAUCCGAUUCCAGAGACACGCUUAUUCUGACCGUGUCUUUUUGUAGACACAAAAUGUAAUUAAAGAAGCCUUUAGAGGAACCCGUCAUGUGUCUAUUUGCACCAGAAUUAGCAAUCCAUAGAGCAGUAUCAAAACCACAUACAUCACCUCCAUUAGUGUCUUUCUUAUUUGACAUUUUAAAGGUCAAAAGGGGCUAGCAAUAAAAAGACCAGAAACGACCAAGUUACUGUUAAAACACCUUGAAAAACUUAAAGGAGAAUCCGGUCACGAAACAGGGCUGGUCAGAGGCGCGAUAUGCCGGAAAAAGGGCCGAAAAGGAGCGCCGACGAAAAAGGACGCCGGAGGAAGGCUCACGCGCUGGGGCGUGGAAGGAGACGCAAAAGCUAUGGCAGCGCAUGAGGGCACAUGCGUGCUCGGAGUGAGGUCGCAUCAGCCGAAAAUUUGAUGGGCUUUCUUGGUGUCGCACAACUCCCUUAAUAUAGUCGUCUAGAAGCUUGACUUAUUAGUUAACCUUAACUUUUUGUGACAGAUUUAAAAUCUAUGUCAUUUAAAGUGGUAAGGCUCUGAUACCAUUAAAAAUUUUGGGAGAAAUUUUUUAUUCUAUUCCAAUUGAAUUAAUCUUUACAAGAUUUGAGUAUUUAUAUACAAAAAAAAAUCUAAAUUAGGAAUAUUUACAAUAAAAAUAAAAUUUCUAUAAUCAAACCUAAUUAGGAUCCAAAAAAUCUGAACCCUCCUAAUUAAGAACCUUUUAUAUUGGUCAACAAUUUAAAGUAACGUUUUCCCCCUAAAAAGCAGUUUUAACCUGGAAACCAGAAUACCAAAUAAGCACUUAGAUUACCUGCAGCUGCCAUUCCUGCUGCAGCACCAAGAGCCUCCAAAAGUCCUACAAGAAGAAAUGGUGCUUUUGGCAGGGAAAGCAUCUCAUCUGUGACAAGUCCAGCAUUGUACCGGAUAUGCAAGAUAGUGAAGUAUACAAGGACAUAUCUGGAUAAUAGAUAAACAAAAGCGUCAAUGAUAUGAACAGUGGAUAAAUUAAUAAUCUCUCUUAGUAAUGCCAUCUGUUACAUCCAAAGUUCCCUAAAUUUGAAUCUAACAGCUAUUAAGCAAGUAAGUCAUAAGCCAAUGUGAAUAUUAAAGAUUACAAAAAAUAAAAGGAAUGGAAGAGAGAAUUGCACCCAAUAGCAUUUCCAUUGCUAGAAUUGCAAACUUCAGAAGUUACAUACCAAAUCACAUGGUCAAACUUAGCAUUUUGAAAAUUUUUCUUUUAUGCUCAUGGAACAAUAUUGCUGUUUAAUUGUCCACUUAAUAAUGCAACGUUAAAAGGCAUUCAAGUUAAACAGACCGAUGUCUCAGUUAAUUAAUUAUAGUUUUAUUGGCACACAAUAAUUUUUUUAAAAAAAGAUACUGCCAUAAUUCCUCCAUGACAAAUUCCAUUUUUUUCAUUUAAUAGUUCUAAAGGAGCAAAUCAACAAAAUUAUGUAUGAAUUAUUGAAAUAAUUGGGUCCACUAAUUCAAGUAGCAUACUUAGGCUAGGGCCUAGGAGGCAGAGGUAUUAUAAUUUAUCUAGCCAUAUCAACCCAAAAAAUGACAAAAGAAGUGAACUUGUCUGUGAUUUCGGAGAAGUGAAGGGUACCUGCUGUAAAUUAGCCAAAUGAAAUUUGAAAUGACAAAGGUAUUCAUCUGGACCACAAAUCAAAAGCAAAAAGACAGAAAGGGACUCUGACAGGCAUGUGCCCACAAUAACAACAAAAGCAGCAUCAACUUGCCCACCAAAGUGUUACGAUAUCUAAGAAAAAAACCGCAGGUGACAAUAUCACGUCUUUAUACGAUGGAAUAUCGAUGUGGCGAGGCACAAUCGUCUUUGACUCUGCGUAUGACUUCUGAGGCAUUCGUUAAGAUUGGACCCACCAAUGAACAAAGCACAAAACAAAUUUACUUCCUUUUUCUAUUUUGUUAAUCAUAUUCCUUUUCCUUUUCUUUUUUGCAUUCCUUUUGACAUAAAAAUCCCCAAGCUUCUCCGAUGGCCUUCCUUUCAAUGCUUUCCUCCUAUGAUAAUUAGAUAAUUGCUUGUACAAAAUGGAAAUCAAAAUUCGGUCCAAGUAUAAGCAUCAUCAACCAUUGAUAAUCACAGAAUGCCUUUUUUCAUAUCAAGUGAAGCAUCUAAAAACUUAUUACUGGUAUCACGAUGUAAUUGAUUUAAGAUAAAUCUCAAUCAUCUCAAGGAAGAAUAUUCUACACUUUUAGAAUUAAUUUAUCAGCGAGCGCAAAUUCUCUGAAAUAAAUAUUCUUUCUUUUGGUUCAAUUUGAAAAAGACAUGUUCAACGACUAAAAGUGAGAAGAAGAAAAAUAAGAAGAAUAAAGGGUUAAACUAAAGAAGGAUGUGCAUUGAGUGCUAAUAAUUCAUAAAAAAAUUCCCCAUAAAUGCCAGUGGACGGUACGCAAAUUAACAUAAUAAUAAAUAAUAAUAAUAAUAAUAAUAAGUGCGAUUCUGUCCCAUUAGGGAAUGUGAUCAUCUCAUUUGAGAUGGGAACAUGUUAGCCAAUUUAAAGUAUGUAACCAUUUUUUUGUUUUUAGUUAAUAGAUAAAUUGAGACACAAUAACUUGAAGAAGAAAAAAUUUGGGGGUAAAAGAAACGAAAGAAAAGAAAAAACUGUAUAGUUCAGAUAGAAACCUGGAGAAAUAUAUGGCUAUAAGCCCACAAGUGUAGGAUACGAGAAGAAAAUCAAAGUUAGAGAGGACAAUGGACAUGAGCAAGGCAUGUCUUAGGAAUUAUGGCCACUUGUGUUGAGAUGUUGAAUUUGGACACCUGUGGGUGCGCUCAUAUUUACGUGAAACUACUUCUAGCCGAGUGAUUAUAUGAUCAAUUUUACUUUUUAUCUAAAUUAGUCUAAAUAAUUCAAUAAUUCAAUUUAACUCAUAAAUCAAUAAAUUGAGUUUUUUUUUCUAAUUUUUAUUCUAAAUCAAAAAAAUUAACCCAAAAAUAAGAAAUUGAACAUUUUGAUUUUGAGCUAACUUUUACAUCUAAAUUUUUUUUACGUUAAAAUUGGGUUUGAAUUGAACGUUCUGGAAUUAAUUUAGACAAAAGUUAAAAAUAACUAAACUAACGAUACGAAUAAAUCAAGUGUAAAACCUUAUUGUUAUUGUAUAACUUGAUUAUCAGGCACAAAUUUUUAUAUAUUUGGUCAAUAUUUAGAUAAAUAAAGUACACAGAAAAAUUACUUAAGUAAAGACAUUAAAAAGAGAAAAAUAAAAUAAAAUAAAAACCGCUUCAGUGACCUACCACUAACAACGUGAACACAUGAUCACCAUUGGAUCAGAGUCAGUAUUUUAAUUAUCAGAUUACUCAAUUUCAGAUGUGACUUCUAUCACUUAGAUUCAUUAGAAAAUUUCAAACUUUGCAAAACUUACAUGACUACCCACAAAAAAAAUAAAAUAAAAUAAAACUUAUAUGACUUUUUCCGUAAAUCUUAUAUAAAAUAGUAUUUUUUUAAUUAAGUAAUUAUUUCAAAAGAAAACAUAAUAGAUUAAAUUAAAAAUGGUGACGCCUCAAAAAUAAACAUAUAAAAAUUAUAAAAUAAUUUCACUUACUAUUACUAAUAUAAAACAAUAUUUUAUUAUUUUAUCAAAAAACUAUAACUACAAAACUUUAUUUUUUUCAUUUUCUUGCUAAUUAUAAAUAAAUUUGUGAAAUAAUUAUUGCAUAAAAAUAAAUAUCAUUUUACACAAAUAUAAAUGAUAAAAAUAUAUAAAAUUCAGAUAUUAUUAAUUUUUAAAAAUAUAUUUUUACUUAGUAAACAAAACCCACCACCAUUCAGGAAAAAAAAAAACGCCACCAUUUUAGCUCGCAUAAUUCUUUACUUUAUAUGCCAUACCGAUCAAACAUUCAUAAAAUUUAAUUACAAAAAAGUCAUCAAUGUUUUCCAUGAAAAUACCGAGUGAAAUUGUCCAAUUAGCAGUUAAAAUAAAAAUAAUGAUAAUAAUAAGAGUGAGAUGAAGAGAGUAGUCAGACUCAGAGUACAAUUUGAAAAACAGUAAAAGACAGCGGAGGAAGUGAAAAUGAUCCUGGCAAAUACCAAAUUGCACACAAAACAAGAAAAAGCGAAACAAGCUACCAAAAAAGAAAAAGAAAAAGAAAAAUGGCAAGUAAAACAGUACCCGAAAGUCGCGAGCUGAGCGAGAAAGAAAGGAUAAUGCUUGAGCGGAACCAGUGCCAGUUUAUACAAAACCCGGUUUCCCACACCUAAGAUCACCGUAGCCGCCACAGCAACCGCCACCUCCAAUUUUCUAUUCUUACUCGUAGUCCUACUCCUUCCAAUACUGUUUAUCUCCACCGCCCGAUCGCUGCUCCCACUUUUCCCCGCCACAUCUCCUAUCGCCUGAUCCCCGACCGAAUACAAGCAGGGCCCCGCCUUCUCGGAUUGAUUUCCGUCAUCUGAUCGGUUCCAUACACCGCUGGGUCCCACCGCCUCGACAAUAAAUGGUUUGGAAGAUUUUUGAGAUCUCAAAAUAAUACCUAGACUUUGAUUUGCGUAAUUGCGGCUGAAAGGAAGAGAUAAAAUUUCCGGCGUUCUUGGCCGGCAAUGAAGCGGACCAUUAGGCGCUGCGGCACCGGCGGUUAACCGGUGGUGACACGAAGUCGUCAUAAAUUUAAAAUAUAUAUAUAUAUAUUAUUUAGUGUAUCUAAAUAAUUAGAUAUAUAAAUUGAUUAGAGCCCUGAGAGAGGGAAACGACCAAAUCUUUCUUCAUUUAUAGCAAGAGAGAACACGGAGCAUCGAUUUAAUUUUUAUUAAAUUACAAAAGUACCCCGGGCAUUGGUUAUCUGGCCAAAACGAAAUUUGUUGUUGCCACGUAAUUAAGCCUUCCCAUUAGGUGUUUGCUGACAAUAUUUUAUAGGUUGAAAAUACAUUCACUCCUACAACAGUUAGAACUAACCUGUUAAAUAACUAAAUUAAAAUAUUAAUUUAUUGAAUUGUUUAAUUUAUAAAAAUUAUAAUAAUUAAAUAUAGAUUAAUCAUAUUAUUAUAUAAUUUAUUAAAAAUAAAAUUAAUUAUAAAUAUUAUACACUACCCUCUGAAUUUUAUUAAUUUUUAAAAAAUUUUAUAAAUUAAUGAAUUAUAUUACAGUGAAAAUUUAAAUUAUUUAGAGUAGAUUGAAAACAAAUAAAUUUAAUUCUGACCAUUUUACACAUGGUUGAUUUUAUUUAGUUAUUAUAAUUUUUAUAGGUUAAAAUAUAUAUUAAAUUAUAAUUUUAAUUUAGGUAUUUAAUAAUUAAUUUCAAAUAAUCAAAUUUAAUGAUUUUUUAAAAAUUUUUCUCUAUAAUCCCUUUGUGACUCGAUAUCUCACUUUUUUUUAUAAAAGACGAUUUGCGUCAAUUGACUAUCGCGUCAAUUGACUAUUGAUAAAGAAGAAAAUGUUGUUGUCCCUAUUAAAAGUUUCAGAAAUAUUUCGAUCGUCACUUAUGAUUUCUGUAUGAUAAAAAUAUUUCUCACAUAUAAUCUAAUAAAUUUUAAGAAUAUACAACCCUCUUUGUCAGAUUUGUGACAGCAAUUUUCGGACAGUUAUUGCAUUGAAGGAUUUAAUUCCUAGUUAUAAGCCGGACAUUUUAUUUUUAAUAGAAACAAAAGCUCUUAGUUCUCAUAUAGAAUUUUUUUGUAAUUUUUUAUAUUUUGAUAGUUGCUUCUCAGUCAAUAGACAAUGAUUAAGAUGAGACCUUUCGUUAAUGUGGAAAAGUCAUGGGUCUGUUUCUAUGGUUGACUUUUCUUCAAAUUUUAUUGAUUCGAUUAUUUCGAAAGGUAAUAUACAACGGAAGUUUACUAGUUAUUAUAGGUUUUCGGAAUACGAUAUCAAUUUUGAAAUUUUAUUCGAGUUUUAUCUUGUAGAAUCUCUAUUCUGUGGUUUUGUUCGGAAGACUUUAAUUAUUUAUACUCGAGAGAUGAGAAAAAAUGAGGAGUAUUUUUGCCAAAUUAUCUUAUACAGUAAUUUAGACAGACACUUAAAAGCAUUUUUACCAAAUUAUCUUAUACAGAGAUUUGAUUUUGAAUGAUUGUAAAUUUUUGUUAUACUCUAUAACUGAUUUUUCUGUUAGAUAAAUUCAUUGUAAUACCAUUUUAAUUGCUCAUAUUUUGACUAAAAAAUCUAUCAGGCAUAAUCGUUCCCUCUGUAAUUUUACUUUAAAGAAAAAUAAUUAAUUUCAAAUAAUUCAAAAGUAUAAGUAAAUAUAUAACAUUUAGUAAGCAGGAGGUUAUAACCAUGUUUAUUGUGUGCAUUUAUUGGAACCUGCCUAUUUUACUACCUAAAAUAUCUAAAUCAAUGUGAAUUUAAUUAUUAUUAUUAUUAUUAUUAUUAUUAUUAUUAUUAUUAUUAUUAUUAUUAUUAUUAUUAUUAUUAUUAUUAUUAACUAAAUGACACUUAAAUCCCUUUAAUUUUAUAUAUUUUAUUAAUAACAUAUACAUAACAUAUUUUACAUAUUAUAAGUUUUAUUUUAAAUAUUUAAAAUUACUGCGUAUAAAUAAAAAAAUUUUAUAUUUAAUUAAUCAUUUGUAUAAACUAAUUUAAAUAAUCAAUAUUCAACAUUCAUAUUUUGAAUUUUAUGUGAAUAUAAUUAUUUUUAAACCCAAUUCAUUUAAAACUUGACUAUAUAUUAGCUCUUGGACAAUUAUAUAUAUAUAUAUAUAUAAUUAUUUUAAUAAAAUUCAGUUGGAUCAAGUCUUAUAUAAAUUGAAUAUUAAUAUUUAUUAAAUAUUAUUUAAUUAUAUAUAUUAAAAAUAUAUUUUUCUAAAAUUAACAAUUAAAUUAUUAAUGUUGUCAAAGCAUAGAAAUUGAUAGCGAAUUUUUGUAAUUUCGUUCAAAUAAAAGAUAAUAUAAAUUUUUUAUGUUAACUUAUUAUGUUAUUAAUUUUAUGCUAUUUGUUUUUCAUUUUUAUAGAAAAAAUACUUUUUUGCCCCACAUAAAUAGGUUUAUUUAUAUUUUUUUUAUUGAUAUGAUUGAUAUAGUUACAAAUAAUAAAUAUUGCUCUUUCAUAAUUUAUUAACUAUUUAUAUGACUACAUUAGAAUAACUCAUAUUAUUAAAUUGUGAUUAAAAUUAGUGAUUUUUUUCAAUGUAUAGCAAAUAUGAGUAUAUUAGUAAAUAAAUAAAUAAAAUAUAUUUUUAAAAAUAGAGUAAUUCGUAAUUUAAAAGGGAGGAAUAAAAUAAAUUUAUAUUUAUAAUACAUAAGGAAUAUUAAAGUUUACCCUUUCAAUUAAAUUUUUAGUUUCACUACUGUUUGAUAAGAUCCUCCUGCAACCAAUAAAAUUAAGAAAAACAAGGAAGAUUCAGAAAAGCAAUUUCUUGGAGGAGGGGCGACCAGUGGCUGGAGAUAACUACUAAACUGUAUCAAAAACUCCAUUUCUCCGGGUAAUUUCCGUUUGUAGCCCCUCAAGUUUAUCAUAAUUUCAGUUUGAUUAUUCAGCUUCAAUUUUUUUUUUUAAUUUUAAUUUUAAUUUAAAUAUCAGUAAACUCCCACUAAUAUACUUUUGCAAAGUUUUUAGGUAAUUCAAUUAAAAUAUUAUUUCUCUAUUUCUACAUCUUAUAUAAUUUUAUAUUUUAUAAUUAAAAUUUAAUAGAGGUUAAAUAUUUACGUUAACAAUGAUAUAUUUACACAAACCAUAUACAUUUAAAACUUUUUUUUGUUAUUUUUAAUUAUUGAAUAUAAACCUUUAAGUCUUUUAAAUGGUAAAACCAUCUUGCCAUGCGCUUUCAUGAUCACGAAUGAGUCCACCUGCCGAAGCAAAUAUCCUGUGGAAGCAAACCUCGCCCCAUCAGUAUUAAGCUUCACAAUACCUGGAGGAGCCGGAGCCCAAUAAACCAAUAGGGUAAUAUUAGCUGUCUAUCAUGGAUACCUGUGGAGCCAAGCAAACUUGCAAAUUAGAAACAUGAAAAUCCUUGAGCAACUUAAAGAUAGUUUAGUCGUAAAAUUGGGGCUUUGCUCUUCCGAAGAGAAGAUGAUAGAGUUGCGCCAUUUCCAACUGAUAAGUCUGAGAUCCGAUUAGAUCAGGAGACGAUGACACGUAGCUAAAAGAUUUGAUUUACGGGAAAGUCAAUGGAUCUGAUUGGAUAGUUGAGAGUUGAGAGUGGAUCGGGCUGGUUUUUUUAGCUUUUGGAACGUUAAGUUUCUCGGAGGGAAGUUGAGAGAUUCUAGAGUAUGGGUUUCAUAAAAUCUGUCCCUCUACGUAAUUGGUUAUGGGAGAAUUAAUUCCUUGACCGUCUUGGGGCAGUCUGAUGGAUUACCUUAUCGGACGCGAUGAUGAAGUGUUGUGGCAAAAGUGUCAGGCGGCUCAUUUAUGGCGAGCAGUCGGCUAAUAAAUGCUGAGCUGCUUCGUCCAUGCCCUGUCCAUCACUCACAUCUUGUCUGUCAAUCAUACUUGCACGUGCAAUUAUGAUCUUAAGGGGAUCUGUGUGUCUUAAGAGGUCGGCUUACUUGUUCCAAGCAUUGAUGAGGUCGGAGAUGUAGGAGGUCUGACCUGUAUUCUAUGACGGAUAGCCCUUUCGUAAGGUGGUCGGAUCGGACGUGUUGGGGUGGACCCUUCUACUUUCUUAUACAUGUGUCACAAUCUGAAGGGAGUCCAUCAUUAGUAUGUUAUCAGAUGCCCUUUCGCUUCUCCAAGGGUUAGUUAUGACAGUUGAGGGAGGGAUUUGAAAUUGGCGCUUUCAUUGCUAAAUGUGCAUCUAUUAAGUCCUCUUGAUUUAUGAAGUGUUGUCAUAAGUACGCGUGACACGCGUGCACAUCCUAUAGGCGUCUUGAUGGCCGCUGCUAUUUGAAUUACCGAAACACGGUCUAUUGAAAUCUCAUAAAUGCUUCGCUUGGAGUAUAAAAUCAAGCCUUCAUCUUCAUUUUCUCACUUUCGAUACUCUUGUUGUUCUUUGUUACCUCUAUUCCCCAUUUCUCAUAGUUCCUCUUGCUUUUCUCUUCUUCUUCCAUGUUUUUCAAAUCUCAAGUAUGCGCUUCUUUUUCAAUGGCUCUUCUGCCAUUCUCUCGAAUCGAAAAAAUUAUUUCUAGGGCAACUCCUACCUCCCUCCGAGAGACUUUCCAUCGAUCCUUCCUUUUCACAGAGACCUAUUAUAUUCGGGCUCCAAACCUAAAUAAAUGGAUUGCCUUGUUUUCCUUGCCUCCUCCCCCUGCCCUGGUGGAUACUCAAUCGGAGAGGAGGCUUGUUUUCUAUUUAAAACAGAUUGACUAUGGUCUUUUUUUCCCUUUUUAUGGAUUUGUGCAUUCUAUUUUUAGAUUUUACUAGAUCGCUCAUCGGAUGUUGAUCCCGAAUUCAAUUUUGCUUAUAAGUGCCUUUGAGGCGAUGUGUCCAAGGUGGAAUUUUGCCCCUUCUUUAAAUUUGUUUAGUUUUUUUUUUAAAAAAAUUUAAAGGUUAAUAAUAGAUUCUUGAGUUUUUUGUGGCCAGAAUGAUCUGACCAUUUUCACUGGCCACAAGAAUUCCAUCAACCAUUGGGUGGAUAGUUUCACUAUAGUUGGAGUCAAAGGGGGCCCCGACUGGGGUUUAGAGUUAGGAUGGGGGACCGUGGAUACCUUUUGUAAUGCUCUCCCCUUUCUUUAUGAGUGGGAGCAGUUGUAUUUUGCCCAGAUCUCUUCCUUUCCCUCUAAAUGCAAUGUUUUCAAAUGUCUGGAAAUCCACUCAGGGAAGAGGUGUUAUGCUGCUAGUAUAUGACUAUUCCUUUGUUCCUACUUCUCUGUUGAUUUCAUUCCUUUGUGUUUUUACUUGUUCUUGGUGUUUUUGUAGCUUCUAUCAUUUCGAUGGAGGGCAUUUCAACUCCUCAAAAUUUUUUUCUUAACCGUGAUUGUAAUACCCGGCUAGACUCCGGUAUCGAAAUUCCUACCGUCCGGUGGAAUCUCGGAUGUCAGAAACCUCUAGGAGGGUAAAACCAUGUUUUUAUAAAAUGUUUUCAUAUAUUUUAUGGUUUUAAGUAAGAAAGAAAUUGAGUUUUGAAUGAAAAAGACCAUGGAGGGAAAUCCAGGUUCGGCCGCCGAACUUGCAUGAGUUUUGGAGGCACUUUAGGCUUCCGAAUGUGGCUUGGCCAGCCCCUAUAAGAAGCCCCAUGGCCGAAAAUGGGCGAGUUUCUUCCCCAUUUUCGGCCAGAGGUGAGUCCAUGCCCUCCCAUGGUUGAUUUUGCUGAUUUUCCUCAAAUCUUUCAAGUUUUAACAAGUGUUUACUUGGUUUUUGAAGUUUUUGGAACUAAGAUCAAGUUGUGGAGCUUGGAGACCCAAGGAG